rnacentral:lncRNA from 1 species
AGCACUUUGCAGACAAGCAAAUGCCAAUUGUGAAAGAGAUCAUGCCAUGGCAGCUAUAAAUAGGCAUGUAGCAUGAUGACCAUCCUUCCUCAUUCAUCAUUCUCAUAAGUAGAGUGCAUCAUUCAAGCCAAGCAAGAACUGGUCAAUACAAAUACACCAUGAAGACUUUUCUCAUCCUUGCCCUCCUUGCUAUUGUGGCGACCACUGCCACAACUGCAGUUAGAGUUCCAGUGCCACAAUUGCAGCCGCAAAAUCCAUCUCAGCAACAACCACAAGAGCAAGUUCCAUUGGUGCAACAACAACAAUUUCCAGGGCAGCAACAACCAUUUCCACCACAACAGCCAUAUCCGCAGCCGCAACCAUUUCCAUCACAACAACCAUAUCCGCAGCCGCAACCAUUUCCGUCACAACUACCAUAUCCGCAGCCGCAACCAUUUCCACCACAACAACCCUAUCCACAACCGCAACCACAAUAUCCGCAACCACAACAACCAAUUUCGCAGCAACAAGCACAACAACAACAACAACAACAACAACAACAAAUCCUUCAACAAAUUUGCAACAACAACUGAUUCCAUGCAGGGAUGUCGUCUUGCAACAACACAACAUAGUGCAUGCAAGCUCACAAGUAUUGCAACAAAGUAGUUACCAACUGUUGCAACAAUUAUGUUGUCAGCAGCUGUGGCAGAUCCCCGAGCAGUCGCGGUGCCAAGCCAUCCACAAUGUCGUUCAUGCUAUUAUUCUGCAUCAACAACAACAACAACAACAACAACAACAACAACAACCAUCGAGCCAGGUUUCCUACCAGCAGCCUCAGCAACAAUAUCUAUCAGGCCAGGGCUCCUUCGAGCCAUCUCAGCAAAACCCACAGGCCCAGGGCUCUGUCCAGCCUCAACAACUGCCCCAGUUCGAGGAAAUAAGGAACCUAGCGCUACAGACGCUACCAGCAACCUGCAAUGUCUACAUCCCUCCAUAUUGCUCGACCACCAUUGCGCCAUUUGGCAUCUUCGGUACUAACUGAGAAGAGAAGAACUCUAGUACUAGAUAUAUCAAACAUCGUGUUCUUAGUCCAUGGUUUGGUCGUUGUACUGGUGAAAAUAUAAAGUGACAUGCACUACCAUGUAAGAACCCGAACUAUACUAGUUCAAACUUGGGAAUAAAAGACAAAGCCAGGUCUUGUCUGCAUAUGAUUAUUUGUUUGAGUUCCAUUCAUGUGCCCGUUCACAAGUUCACCCCUAAUUAUAUAUAUUACGCAUUAAGUAGAUAUCUAUGUUGCAUUAAUUUGAAGAUAACAAAAUGAGUCUAAAACUUGAAUUAAAUUGAAUUGUUUUCUUGGACUUUCAAAUUGUGUAUUAUUAAAGUAGUAACGACUAUCCACAUCCUUGGCUUGCCCUUGAUCAAUUAUUUCCAGAGAAGCAUUCAAUUCAUCAAUCAAUUACAUUGAUUUUUGAGACUGGUACAUCUCCUCAUCAUGAGUAUCAUUGCGGCUACUCCAAAUCGCCCACAUAACCGAAGCAUUAAUAGCGCUCUUCUUGCAUCAGGAAAUAUGGAUUGAAGAUAUCAGGUGACCAUGUUUCCGGGUGCAACCUUGGGAGUUUUAUGUCAAAAUAUUCUCAAGAAGAAUCCAAGAAUAAACUUGCAUGCUCACGUGUGAUAAGGGCAUAUGAAGUAACAUUUCCUCCCCAUGGCCACAUAGGGCACACACAUAACCCCAUCACAUGCAUUUUUAGUUAUGCAUAUGAAAGGUAGGAUGUUUUUAAUUACUCUCCACCAAAAUACUCUUAACUUGGCUUGUACCCUAAGAGUUUGUUGCCUUUUCAUUUCUUCUUCCCCAUUAGACAAACUAGACAGUCCAUCCACCACACCAUUCCUUGUGUCCAUCAUGGCUCUGUACAACAAUUGGACAGAACAAAUGUCAUUUCUUUAUGAUACCCACGACCAAAUGUCCUCUGCUGGAUUGUUUGGUCGUGGCAUAUUAAGGAUGGCCACCUCAUCUGAUGGGAUAAACACCUAAUGAAUGAAAGGAUUGUUCCAGUCGCCCGUGUUUUUCAUCGAUAAGAUCAGCUACAAGUUGGACCGGAGUUUCUCACAUGCAUCGUAGUGGUUUCAUUAGCGGCAUGCCCUGCACCCAUUUAUCAUGCCAUAUCUCUGUAGUAUGUGCAUUCCCAAUUUGUCACAACAUACCCUCCUUCAAACCUUCUUGACCUUUCAGAAUUGCACGCCAAGUUAGCGAUGCACUAUGCAGGAACCCGCAUUUCAAAAAAAAAAGAAUCUCAUUUCAUGGUAUCUUCCAUAAAGGACCCUCAUACAUGAGCUAUCUAGAUAGAAACAGCCAUGUAUGUUUAGCAAACUUUGCAUAAGUGAAUAGAUCAAGGUUGUGGAACCCCAAGCCUCCAAUUACACCCGGCCUCUCUACCAACAAGAUGUCUAAAGACAUGAAGGAUACACACAGCCAAAAAAGAAAAUAAAAAGAACAAAAUAAAAAAUACCCCACCAUGGUGGUCAAUCACAAGCAUCAACAACACUCUAACCACCACCGAAGACAAUGCCCGGAUUACAAAAAGGUUAUUCAAAAGCAACACCCACAAGAAGGAAACAAUGCACAAGCGUUGUCGUUGCCCGAUAGAAGAUCGUGGGUUUUCACCCUGGAAAAAUUUUGAGUUCACCCAAAAACAAUGCCUUCAACAAGGCCAUUGCCAAGUACAGCCAAUAAGGGGUAGACCUUGGGUUUUCAACCUAGGAACUGAGACUCGAUAGUCGACAAGUACCACCGAAAAUGCAGUCCACCGGUGUUGCCGCCCCCGCUUGCCGAGGCCGCUGUUGCAAGUCACCAAACAUACAGUUGUCAUCGCAUCCAAUACAUCCUUCCGCCGAAGCUUCAAGACCUCAAAUGGCAGCCGCCGUGACUUUCUCCACAUCUAUCAAUGCCUUGAGGAUCUUGACUUAGACAUGUCCCGUGACAUAAAUAAGAAACCGAAGCUUCGCACCGCGUCCUCUUGAGGCCGUGUUGGCUGAUAAUAUUAGCGCGUAUGACGGGAGCCUUUCCAACCUAGAUAUCCAGGGGCGACAUACACCAAUCAAUAUAGAUCUCCGCUCGGAAAGACCGGAACUCAUCAACGGCCAGAUCCAAGUGGUCGACAUCCGGCAAAAAGACGACUUGGCGGAAGAAGAGCAUCAGGGCCAAACCACCAUUAUUAGUCCGAAGCUAAUAGCCCCCACGCCGCCCUCCUCUCGAUCCAGACCUGCAGAAAAAGAUCAACGACGCCGCAUCGUGCCACUUGCAUCCGUGGAGGCUUGAACUUGGCAAGAUGCCAACCAUGGCUGGAGACGGGGACCAGCCACUCCUGGCUGGAUCCGGUGACUCCUAGUCCUACCGCUGCCGCUACGGCGGCACCGCGUGUGGCCUACAAGCCCAUCCACGAUGAUGUCUGAUUAGAAGGAUACAUGGAUAUACAGAUGAAAAGGCCCUUGUUAUCCCUCCAACAAUAUAUAUAUAGCUUAUUGGGACGUGAGAAAGCUCGCACAAUUUUAUAGUGGCUAUGGAAAUGUGUUGCCAGACAGAGAUAUAAGAUUUUUGUUUGGCAUCCAGACCGUUUGUGUCAUGCUUAAUCGAUGGUCACUCUAAUUUUUCCGGCGGGCCUUCCCCGUGGUACUGCAGCCUUAUAUGUGUAUGGGUUUCAUACAGCUAUUCUGUCCUGUCUAGAAAAGGAGAAAACCAAAAUUACUUGGAGUUAAUAACUAAUACGUUUCCUUUAACUACCAUGUGCACGGCGAGGAUUUACGUGCAUGAUGUUUUUUCCUCUCCCCACGUCAUAUUGGGCCGGCCCAUUCACGCGCAUAUGGUUAGAAAAAGAGAUGAGGAAAGGGAGAACCAGGAUUGAUUCCUAGUCUCAAGGUGACCGUGGGUGCUGCUACCAGUCCGCCCAAGUCCCGUUCGUGAUAAGUUGUAGGUGCGCGUGGUACUUCAAGCGAUUCAAGCCGGUUUUAUUUGAGUUUUUUUUCUCUUUUUUUUCUUCUUCAUUUUUUUCAUUCUUUUUUACACUCCGUUUCUUCGAUUUGUCAUUCUUUUUUUCUUUUGUUUAUUUCCUUUUUUUCGGUUUUCUUUGUUCUAUUGGUUAUCAUUGUACAUUUUUUGUAUAUGUCAACAACAUUUUUCUCUAAUACACGUCUAACAUUUUUCAAAUACAAACCAACCAUUUUUGUAAUACAUUGUCAACAUUUUUUCUAUACACAUUUUUUAAAUGCUUGAUUAUCAUUUUUCAAAUACAAGAUUAACAUUUUCUCAAUACAUGGUCACCAUUCUUUUUCUAUUUUCACAAAAAACUUAAAUGCUUGAUUAACAUUUUCUUAAUACAUGGUCAACUUUUUCUCUAUACACAUUUAACAUUUUCCAAACGCUUGAUUAACAUUUUCGAACCCUUGUUCAACAUUUCUUUUAAAUGCCUGAUUAACAUUUCUGUAUACAUGAUCAAACAUUUUUAUCAUUUUAAUACAUGGUCAACAUUAUUACCAUACACAUUUAACAAUUUCCAAUUCUUGAUUAAUAAUUUUUAAAUACUUGUUCAACAUUUUUUUCAAAUGCAUAAUGAUGACAUUGUUCAAAAGUGGCAUCACAAGUUUCAGGGAGUAGAAAAUAGAUUAAUCAAUGAAACCGCGCGAACUUUGUGAUGCUAUUGUGUUAUAUCAACUACUUUCUCCGUCUCAUAAUAUAAGAGUGUUUUUCACAUUAGUAUAUAGUGGAAAAACGCUCUUAUAUUAUGGGACGAAGGGAGUAUGUGUUUGUUAUGUCAUACUGAGCACCAAAUUCACUAUAUAUAUAUCUAUACCAAUAUAAAAAGACCUAAAGGGGCAGAUCCAAAUAAUCUUGGCCAUUAAAUCAUGUCAAUCCAAUGACAUAGACUGCUUCACUGUCGAGCACUUAAUACGUUUAGCAUGCAGUUAAUUGCAUGCCAAAUAUAGUGCUAAUCACAUAAUAACAUGCAAAUAAUAUCCUACUUAAUAUCCGAAUGCACUUAAUAUACUUCCAAAUUAACGCGCAUUACACAUACACAUUAACUAAUCACAUAAUCAAAGAAAUUAACACACAAAUAAUAGCAUACCUAAUAUCCACGUGUAAAUAAUAAAACAAUAUAAUGCUUAAAUAUUAACCUGUGUUGCACGUGCACAUUUAGUAGAACAUGGGAAUACAGUAACAGUAAGCUCACUAGACGGAAGCCCGUCACGGCCAUGUGAAUAGGAUCCUCCUCGUACUGCUCCUCUCCUGCCCUGCCCUGAGCAGUAUCAUCCGUCGUCGUCGCCGGGCGGCGCAGCAGCCGGCGGCCGAGGGGAGACCGAGAUUUCCUCUUUGGAGGCGCCGAAUGCGGCUCGUAAGUCCAAAUCCCUCCCAGUCCCGCCUCUCGAAUCCCCACCGGUCUCCUACUUCCAUGCCGCCAAUGCCCGCCUUUUCUUUGGACUCCGAGCGAGGAAUCGGAGGGAAAGCUGUGUGCUUCUUGCAGCUUCAUGCCCCGGCAAUGGCGGCCCUGCUUGCUUUCUGUUGCCGCUGGGUCGCUCUACUCUCUGCGUGCCCGUCCGCAAGGUGUUCGAUGGAUUGUGCGCAGGGUGUCGGCCCGGCUGGUCCCCUGGUCUCGUUCCAGUUCUCCCAGGUUUCAGUCUGCUUACUGUCAGUUGCUGAAAAUGUGCACGAAACGGAUGAAAAUGCUGGGAUAUGCGCUCUUUGUUUACCGUUUACCGUCAUUUGUUUGGUUGCAGGAAGCACCCGGCCUUAAGCAUAGUACUACAUAUAAAGUUGUAUGUUCUGUUCUGUUUGUUUGUUUGCUGUCUGAUGAUUGAGACAAGGGCAUAAUCUAAAGUUUGGCACCUGCACUUGCACCUGCUCCUGCACAUUUAUGUGCUGGAAACUGGAAUCUGUUCAGAGUAGUAUGGCCACGCCACAGGUUUUAGCUUUCACUCAUGGACCACAUUGCUUCUUGACUAUCUUGGAUGCUUGUUGGCCCAUCCUUGUAAUUCUAUAUCUUUCUAGUAGUCUUAUAAAUCAGAAACAUAACAACUUUUUGUGUUGCUUACUAUAUUUUGUGUAUUUACUUAGCGUGUUUAGUCAAAUCAUCUGUCAUUGUUCUCUCAAGUUGUUUUUCCUUGCGAUAUUCAACCCAGCGGUUUAAAAUUCCUGCAAUUGAUUCAUUCAAAGUGAUUUUUCCUUCUUUGUUGUUGUUUUCUUUUAAAUGUUUGGGCUGAGGCUCCAAAUGUUGCUACUCUUUUACAUGGACUAUGUUACUUUGGAGAAUACAAGAAUUAUGCAUUGGUACCACGAUAACAUAUGCCUAAUGGUUUUUCUUACAGGAUGGGGUUUCCAACACAUAAAUAGUUUGCUAGCAUGCAGACAAGUGUCCAGUAGCCUUUGCGCCAUUUGAGGCGUAAUGGAGAUAGUUUUUCUCAUGUUGUUGGUUCUUUCUCUGCUCCUUUUCCCUAAUGGCAUCUGCAAGAGUUUAGCCACAGGGCCUCCUGUUGUGAAUAUUGGGUCUAUUCUUCAAUUUGACUCCACCACCGGAGGUGUUGCGGCAGUUGCCAUCCAUACAGCCUUGGAAGAUAUCAACUCCGAUCCAACAGUUCUAAAUGGAACUACACUAAAGGUUCAAAUGAAGGAUACAAAUUGCUUUGAUGGUUUCCUUGGCAUGGUUCAAGGUAGGCUAGCUUUAAUGUCACUCAUUCAUUUCGCAACCUUCAAAUAAUUUUUUACUUCUGUUGUGGAGUUGUGGCAAUGAUGCCGUGUUCCUUGUAUCAGCUUUGCAGUUCAUGGAGACUGAUGUUAUUGCACUCAUUGGCCCUCAGUGCUCUACUAUUUCUCAUAUGAUUUCAUAUGUAGCAAAUGAGCUUCAAGUCCCUUUAAUGUCCUUUGCUUCUGAUGCAACUCUUUCAUCGAUACAGUUCCCGUUCUUUGUCAGGACGGGUCCCAGUGAUCUCUAUCAAAUGGCGGCUGUGGCAGAAGUUGUUGACUACAACCACUGGAAGAUAGUGACUGCCAUAUACAUUGAUAAUGUUUAUGGUAGAAAUGGCAUUGCUGCUUUGGAUGAUGCACUCACUUUAAAGCGCUGCAAAAUAUCCUACAAGGUUGGGUUUCCUUCCAACGCUAAAAGGAGUGACCUCAUAAAUUUGUUGGUUAGUGUCAGUUAUAUGGAGCCUCGUGUUAUUGUUCUCCAUACUGGAGCUGAACCUGGACUCAAGCUUUUCUCUGUGGCAAACCAACUGAACAUGAUGGGCAACGGCUAUGUGUGGAUUGCAACUGACUGGCUGUCUGCAUAUCUUGAUGCUAAUUCAUCAGUUCCUGCUGAGACUAUAUCUGGCCUGCAAGGUGUUCUUACUUUACGGCCACAUAUUCCCAACUCAAAGAUGAAGAGUAAUUUGGUCUCCAAAUGGGGCACGCAAAGUAAAAAGUACAACUACAGUGAUCUUCGUGUAAAUACGUAUGGUUUUUAUGUUUAUGAUAGUGUCUGGGCAGUAGCUCGGGCUCUGGAUGCCUUCUUUGAUGAUGGUGGUAGGAUUUCCUUUUCAAAUGACUUGCAUGAUGGAAUUGGAGGAACUCUUCACCUUGAAGCAAUGAGCAUUUUUGACAUGGGAAGCAAAUUACUGGAGAAGAUUAGAAAGGUAAACUUCAGUGGGAUAUCUGGGCAAGUGCAAUUCGAUGCUGUAGGCAACCUCAUUCACCCUGCGUAUGACAUCAUAAAUGUCAUCGGAAAUGGCAUGCGGACCAUUGGUUUUUGGUCAAACUAUUCUGGCUUGUUGUCGACUGUCUCUCCAGAGGCUCUAUAUUCAAAGCCUCCUAAUAUUUCUCUCGCCGAUCAGCAUCUCUAUGAUGUUAUUUGGCCUGGGGAAACUGCACAGAGGCCUCGAGGAUGGGUCUUUCCUUCUAAUGCCAAGCAGUUGAAAAUUGGUGUUCCCAACAGAUUUAGCUUCAAAGAGAUCGUCACGGUAGACAAUGCUACUGGGUCAAUGAAGGGUUAUUGCAUCGAUGUCUUUACUCAGGCAUUGGCUUUGCUUCCUUAUCCUGUUAGUUACAAGUUUGUACCUUUUGGGAAUGGUACUGAAAAUCCUAAUUAUGACAAACUCGUACAGAUGAUUGAAUCAAAUGUAAGUAUGGAAUGCCUCUUUUCUUCCUCUAACCAUUUCAUCAUAUACCAUGCUGACCAGGGUCAUCUUAUCCUGCAGGAGUUUGAUGCAGCUAUAGGGGAUAUUGCAAUUACAAUGAGGCGGACAGUAACUUUUGAUUUCACCCAGCCAUUCAUUGAAACAGGCUUGGUUAUCUUGGCUCCGGUUAAAGAGCAUAUAACAUCGUCCUGGGCAUUCUUGCAGCCAUUUAGUUUGGAGAUGUGGUGUGUUACAGGGCUGUUCUUUCUUAUUGUGGGUGUGGUUAUUUGGGUUCUUGAACAUCGGAUCAAUGACGAUUUCCGUGGUUCAGUAUGUCAACAAAUAAUAACUAUUUUCUCGUAAGGAGCUGGCAUUUACCUUUUGUAUCGUCUUCUUGUAUAUCAUUCCUGUUUUCGAAGUGUUGAUGUUUUAACAAGUCUUGUGCAAUAUGUUGCAUACAGCGAGCACCUUAGAGCAUUGGCCAGUUAACAUACCUAAAUGAAGCAUCUAGUGAUUACCAAUGAACUACUCCCUCUGUCCCAUAAUAUAAGAGUGUUUUUGACGGCGGGAGUAUUAUCUUAAUAAUCUUGUGAGACAUAUAUACAUGCACAGUAUAUAUAUUCGCUUAAUGAUAUUUAUGUUCAUUGCUCUAUUUUUUCCUGUUUUCACGUACUUCUCCACAUGUAUUUGCCAAAUGCUCUUAUCAUGACGUGAUUCCUUACUGUGAGUAUAAUUUCAAAUUUUAUUGCCUGCAGGUUCAGCUUUUCAACUUUGUUCUUCGCACACAGUGAGUAAACCAACCUUUUCUCUUAUGUGUUUUUUUGGCUAUAACAUUUUGUUCUGAGGCAUGACUCGUGAUUUCAUCCAUGUCUGCUCGCAGGAGAAAAUACUAUGAGUGCCUUAGGGCGUGGUGUCCUGAUCAUAUGGCUGUUUGUUGUUUUGAUAAUUGUAUCCAGCUAUACCGCGAGUCUUACUUCCAUCCUGACCGUGCAACAACUUGAUACUUCUAUAAAAGGAAUUGAUGACCUGAAAAAUAGCAAUGAUCCUAUUGGUUUCCAAGUUGGUUCUUUUGCACAAGACUAUAUGGUCAAGGAGCUCAACAUCUCACGGUCAAGGCUAAGAGCUCUUGGUUCACCACAAGAAUACGCGGAAGCCCUCAAGAUAGGCCCUAAGGAAGGAGGUGUUAUGGCCAUUGUUGACGAGCGCCCCUAUGUUGAACUGUUUUUGUCAACCUACUGCAAGAUUGCGGUAGCUGGCACAGAUUUCACCAGCAGAGGAUGGGGCUUUGUAAGUACAGUUCAACCAUAUACUUUUAUAUAAACUACUCCCUCCGUUCCUAAAUAUAAGUCUUUGUAGAGAUUCCACUAUGGACCACAUACGGAUGUGCAUAGAUGCAUUUUAGAUUGGAGAUUCACUCAUUUUGCUCCGUAUGUAGUCCAUAGUGGAAUCUUCCCAAAGACUUAUAUUUAGGAACGUAGGGAGUAGAAUAUAAGAACAAAAUAUUAUGCUGUUAAUGUCCUGGAAUAGAGGUUUUAACUUUGAAUAGUUGUGUCUAGUCUCUAGUUUAUUAUGCAACUUUUCUUGCACUUAUCUGCGGCUACUUUGUUUCGCAAAUCGAAAUGUAGCACCUUACAAAUUAAUUCUGCCAGGCAUUUCCAAGGGACUCCCCUUUGCAAGUAGACCUCUCCACCGCAAUCCUGUCUCUGUCAGAGAAUGGGGAGCUGCAGCGGAUCCAUUCCAAAUGGCUCAAUACAGGGGAGUGCACAACUGACAACAGCGAGUUUGUCGACUCGAACCAGCUCCGCCUUGAGAGCUUCCUUGGUCUGUUCCUAAUCUGUGGUGUGGCAUGUGUUCUCGCGCUGCUACUCUACUUUGGUAUCAUGCUAUGCAAAUACCUGAGGCAUGAACCGCGGAAGAGCCUCAGAAGAUUCAUCUCGUUCGUCCAUGGGAAGGAGCCGCCGAAGAACAUGGAGAGGCGAUCCAUGAGCCUGCCUGGAAGCUCGACGCCAACAACGCCGAUGGGCAGCUUUAGUUCCCUUGACAUGGAAAGGCCGGCCAGGCCAGUCAGAAACGGCAGCGUUAUUGAUAUGGAAAGCUAGUUCAUGUGUAGAAAGCUACGCGGUCGACUAACAUAGGUUCUGGUAGUCGGACAGCAGGGGUGUAUAGGGGGAUUCAAAAUACUUCUUAAGUACUCCCUCCGAUCCAAAUUAUUCCAAAGUUUAGGAAAUAAGAGAAGGAAGGAUUAAUAAGAAAUAAAAAUAUUGAAAUGCUCCUCCUGUCCUACAUAUAUUGUUUUUACCUUUUCAUGACUGUAUUUUGGGGGGAGUGUGGAUUUUCUAUCAUGCACGGGACCUCCCGUGCAUGCAUCCAUCACAUUUUUUAUUGCUGUGUGGGGCCCCUAUUUUCUCUCACCUAACAUACAUUCACAUGUUAAUUUGUACUGACUAGGUUUCAUUCACUAGUGCAGAACAGGCCUUUAUCACUGGUUCAUAAGGGCCUUUAGUGCCGGUUCUGUAACCGGCACUAUGGAGUGGAGACUAAAGGCCCCCCUUUAGUACCGGUUCGGCACGAAUCGGCGCUAAAGUGCCACCACGUGGCACGAGCCAGUCCCGGGUGCUGGUAGACCAUUAGUACCGGUUGAUAACACCAACCGGUACUAAAUGUUUGGGGGGGUUUUGGUUUUAAUUUUUAAUUUUUCAUUAACUUUGGGUUUUCCAUUUAAUUCUUUUUUGUUUGCUGGUAUUUUACGAUACUACAUAUUGUACACGUUAUGCAUAUAUAUAUAAAUAGAUUUUCUCGUAGAACUGAUCAUAUAUAUAAUCGAAUGUCUCACAACCACCAUUAAUUAUUCACACAUACACNNNNNNNNNNNNNNNNNNNNNNNNNNNNNNNNNNNNNNNNNNNNNNNNNNNNNNNNNNNNNNNNNNNNNNUUUGCUGGUAUUUUACGAUACUACAUAUUGUACACGUUAUGUAUAUAUAUAUAAAUAGAUUUUCUCGUAGAACCAAUCAUAUAUAUAUAUAAUCGAAUGUCUCACAACCACCAUUAAUUAUUCACACAUACACAUGUAUAUAUAUAUAUAUAUAUAUAUAUAUAUAUAUAUAUAUAUAUAUAUAUAUAAUUUCUCCUCCAUGUUGCCUUGGUGCCUUCGGAGCACGAUGACAAGUGGUUCAUGGAGACGGUAGCGGGUAAUAGUAUUUUCCUUUGGGAUCUAUGACCUGCUCGAGCAAAAAUCUCGUUAUUUCCUCUUGAAGUGCUCGUAUGCGCUCUGUUGGUAGGAGCUGGUCCCGCAUGUCUUUGAACCGUUAAGAAGGAGAUCAAUAUGCAUGUGUAUUAGUUGUGUGACUAGAUAUCGAUAAUCAUGUAAGAUUUGUGAAUAGUGUUCUGGCAAACGUACCCAUUGUUGUCUAUCAUAUCUGCUCCUUUCGGACGCCAUUAUGCGAAUGUUCUUGAAAACGUAGUAUGCACACACUUCAGUCCCCGGCGCCUGCUUCAGGGCCUUUACGAGAAUAGAAUUUAAUCAGAUAAUAAUUAAUCAAGUGUGUUAAUUAAUUAAUGGUAUUGAAACAAGAAUUAAAGAGAUGGUAGCUAGCUAGCUAGUACUACUUAAUUACUUGCCUUGGGUCGAUACCAAAAUAGCUUUUGUCGCCAUUUUCCUGAAGUCACCUUGAUGUACUUUACCCAAGCCCUUCCCGUCGGCAAAGAAAAUUGAUAAAGGGGUUAUUAAAAAUAGUUCAUAUCAGGAAAUGAUAAACUAAAUAGGCCAAGAUAUAGUUAAUAAUGAUUGAAAUUACCUGUUGACUAUCCCUUCAUUAUGCUGUAGUCACUAUCUUUUUUAAGUAGUGAGUCCAGUACUUCAACUUUUCCUUCGUCAACUUUAAUGUCUAACAAGAUCCAGUGGUACCUGCAUACGCAUAAGUUUGCAUGUAUAAAUUAAGCGGGCAUGUGCAUAACACUAAUCAACUAUAACCCUAAACCCUUUACACUUAUUAACAUCUAGCUAGUAAGCAAAAACAGAAUUUGUAGUACAAGACAGUGUGACUCACUCGAAGUUGUAAGGAAGUAGUACAUCUUCAUUGCUAUUGAGGUGCUUCAAGAACUCUAGCAUGUUUUUCUCUACAUCUUGUCUACACCAUUCCAAUUUCCAUGUGUAUUCAUUAACAGUAUUUGGGUCAAUGAACCCAAUGCCAUAGCGUCUAGCUUUUUUCAUUUCAUACAUCUUCAUCCUGCAUAAUACCACAGAAAAGAAUAUAUAGUGAGGAUAUUUAAUUACAGGUAAUUAAUGAUCAAUCAAUGAGCACUAGAGCUAGCUUGAGACUUAAAUUACAGAAAGAAAUCACUUACAGACAAUAGCAACUGACGAUAGAUUUGUCGAGUGCAUCUUGAUUGAAUAACUGAAAUAGUUCUGAAUACUCAACAGUUAGAGCUUUCUUAUUGAAGUAAUGAUCUUCCUUGACUUGCACCAUGAGGGACUCUCAAUUGGAAAUCUUGAUAAUUUUCAUGUACCAAUCAUGCAAUUCAUACAUUCUCGUUGGGAGGUUCUUGACCUCCUCGGGCUCGACCAAAGGUUGGCCCCGGACAUAUUUCCGUUUUAUUUUCUCCUCUCUAAGCAGAGACAUGGGCUCGAUAUCGAGGAGUUGUCCAAUAGUGAUCUUGAGCAUUUCAGCCUGCAUUAUAUGAUCCUCGGUUAUUACCACACCACCCACCUCGGGAACGUAAAUGGUUGCGCCGCCUGUUCUCCCAGCUGGGGAACGGUUUUCCCGUAUUUUUUGACAGCUGCUUGUUGGCUCGAGCUCGAGCUCGCUUCUUUCCGUAGUCGUGCUCGAUGUGCCUUUCUGAUUUGGCGCUCAUAGUCUGAGUCAACAGGCUUGGGAGCUGGUGGCCUAGCCAUACGAAUGAAGUGGUCAAUAUUUUUCCUCAGGCACUUUCUCCCUCGGCGGCGUUGCCGGUUUCGGUCCAAAAUGGGCGUCCACUUGGGCCUUCACUAUGGCUGCAUUUUGCUCCUCGGUCAUGUUGUAAGGCCUCUGAGGAAGAGGAGCGAGGCUGCUUGGACCAUAUUUAUAUCGCUUGUCUCCGCCUGUACUUCCUGUACUACCUUGACUCGUACCACUACGCACCAUAGCUGCGGCGUGUCUCUUCUGCGAUUGCUGAGGCGGCGGAGACGGCUGACGUUGCUGAGUUGGAGCAGGAGGAGUGGCCUGACGCUGUGCCAGACUUGAAGCAGGAGGUGUGGCCACUAGUAGAAAAAGGGUCAAAUGUGAAGCACAUUAGUGCCGGUUUGUGAAAAAACCGGCACUAAUGUGAUCAAUAGUACCGGUUCGUGGCGGCGAUCAAUAGUAUCGGUUCGUGACGAACCUUUAGUACCGGUUCAUGCCACGAACGGUACUAAAGAGGAUGUGGCAGCCUGCAGUCAGGCUAUGGCCCCACCAUCACCAUUUAGUGCCGGUUCGUACCACGAACCAGUACUAAUGAGGUUAUGGCAAGCUGUUUUUAGUCCCACCUCGCUCCCCUAACAAGGCUUUUACCACCUUAAAUAUGUUACUUCUCAAACUAUCACAAGCACUUGGUCUUCAUUGAACUCUAUGUGUAGAAUUUGUGGCUGCAAUAUGAGUCUUCACCGGUUUAUAAAUCGUUGAGGACUCAUAUUGACAAUUCAGAUUGUACACAAAAAGAUCAUUGAUGAUCAAAGUAUUUUUAAUGUAUAAGAUCAUAGUGACAAUUCAGACUGUAAAGAAAUAUAAUAUCAUAAUCUAAAUGCUCUUAUAUUUUUUGCAUUCAGUAUGCACCAUUCAAAGCGACGCCAUCAACUUUCAACCAUUUAUGCCUUCAUUUGCUAUUUUUCAUGCAUUUAAUGAUUUGUUUUGAGAACUAAAUAACCUGGAAAUUGAAAAGCACUACAAAUGAACUCUGAAAAAGUUGAAACUUGGCAUGGUAUCAUCAUUUCACCCACAUAGCAUGUCCAAAAAAGUAGAGAGGGUUAUGGCAAAAACUGGAUGCACUUCGUUUACAAACUGGACAAUCUCUUUCGAAGUAUUUGGGUUUUGACGAAAUUAAACUCAUCUGUUACAAAGGCAUUUCAUUUUUUAAACUUAUUACAACCCCAGACUUUUUGUUCAUUAGUAUGCACUAUUCAACUACUAGGCGGGAGGAGCUCUUUAGUACCGGUUCCAACUGCUAAGCGGGAGGAGCUCUUUAGUACCGGUUCGUGGCGAACCUUUAGCACCGGUUCGUGCCACGAACUGGUACUAAUAAGGUUGUGUUAGGUAAGGCUGGGGCCCCACGAGCACCUUUAUUACGGGUUCAUGGCAUGAACCAGUACUACAGUUUCUUAGAAAGCUGUUUUUUAGUCCCACCUCGCGAAGAGAGAGGGACUAGGAGCGGUUUAUAAGCCCUGAGUGCAGAGACGAUGAAGAAGAGGCUCAAUGCUCACGUUGCUUAGCUUCAAGCCUUGAGGAAUAUGGUAGACUGCAUGGAGCUAUGUGCAAUGCAGUUUACACUAUUCCGAAAGGCUUGAAACUAAUUAACGAGCAUUGCAUCUCUUUUUUAUUUUUAAUAACUUAUUACAACUCCGGACUUCUUCUGUUAUGGCAAAAACUAGAUGCACUUCGUGUACAAACUGGACAAUCUCUUUUAAAGUAUCAGGGCCGGUUUCAGACGAAAACUCUGGUUAUAACUCCAGACUUUGACCAUCAAGUUUUAACCAUCAACUUGGCAUGGUAUAUGAAAAUAAAUGAAUAGAAGAAAAUAAAUAAAGCAGAAAAGAAAAAAACUAUAGCAGAAAAUAAAAAACUAUAUAAAAAACUACUCAGAAAUAAAUAGAAGAAAAUAAAUAUAGCAGAAAAGAAAAAAACUAUUCAGAAAUAAAUAGAAGAAAAAAUAAAGCAGAAAAGAAAAAAAACUAUAUUUGCUAUUUUUCAUUCGUUUACUGAUUUUUUUAGAGAGCCAAAUGACCGUGAAAUUAAAAAUCACUACAAAAUAAACUCUGAAAAUGUUGAAUUUUGGCAAACUAGAUAAAAAACUACUCACAAAUAAAUAGAAGAAAAUAAAUAUAACAGAAAAGAAAAAACUAUACAAAAAACUACGCAGAAAUAAAUAGAAGAAAAUAAAGCAGAAAAUAAAAAAACUAUACAAAAAAAUUGGGGCGCUGCCCAAUGGGCCUGCUAGGCCACGGGCGUGCAAUUACAGGCCCUAACGGCCCAACAGGCUCACAGGGCAGCGCACAGAAGUUAGGCCCAGAAGCCUGCUAUAUAUAGGAGUUCAAAGAGGCAGCCGCGGCUGGGUUUAUAAACCAGUGAGGCUGCCCUUCGCACGGGGAGAUGGGACUAAACGUCGUGCACCGCGGGUGGCAGCGCAAGGCCUUUAGUAUCGGUUGGUGGCUCCAACCGGUACUAAAGCUCGUGCCUUUAGUACCGGUUGGAGUCACCAACCGAUACUAAAGGCCAUCGGUUCCCGUCGUUUGGCCUGGCGAAAAUAGGCCUUUAGUACCAGUUGGAGGCACCAACCGGUACUAAAGGCCCAUCCUAUAUAUAUAGCACUUACGAAAUUUUCAGUUUCAUCCCCCACUUCGUCUCUCGAACCGCGUGCGCCGCUCGAUCCCCGUCGUGUCGCCGCACGUCGCCCGUCGUCCGUCGUCGUCGUCGCUGUCCCCCGCCGCCGCCCGUCGUCGUCGUCGUCUCACGCCGCUGCCCUGAACGCCGCCGCUGUCUGUCGUCGUCGCCGCGGCGCCGCCCGAUACGUCUCUCCCCGCCCCGUACGCCGACGCCCCUGCCCCCGCCCCGUACGCCGCCGCCCCCGCCCCCGCCCCGUACGCCGGCGCCCCCGCGGCGUACUGCACAUACACACACACGUAUACAUAUACACGCAGUACACACAUAUACACACACAUACACAUACACAUUUUUUUACUAGUUGAAUAAUUUAUAUAAUUAAUAUAACUAGUUUAUUUUAGUAAGAAAAUAAUCGAACUAGUUUAUUUAGGUAUAUGAGAUUUGAACUAGUUGAAUAAUUAAUAUAACUAGUUUAUUUUUAGUAAGAAAAUAGUCGAACUAGUUUAUUUAGGUAUAUGAGAUUUGAACUAGUUGAAUAAUUAAUAUAAAGAAAAUUUAGGUAUCUGAGAUUUGAUGAUCUAAUUAAAAUAUUAUUUGUUAAUGAGUUUUUCUGUUUAUUUAAUUUUUUUUAUAUAUUUUUAGUUUAUAUAAAUGUUAGAUUAAUGUCGAAUGUUAAAUGAAUUAGAUAGAAAAGUUAAAUAUAUAGUAAUGUCAAUUGUUAGAGAUGAAUAUAGUUAGAUAUAUUAAUGUCAAAUGUUAGAUGAAUAUAUAUAUUUGAAUUAGCUAGAUAUUAAUUAAUGUUAGAUAGUAAUAAGUGUUUAAUGUUUCACUUAUAUGAACAUAGGAAAUGUCAUCUGACAACGAAGAAGAUUUCAUUAUGUGCGAACACUNNNNNNNNNNUCUCCUACAUGUUGCCUUGGUGCCUUCGGAGCACGAUGACAAGUGGUUCAUGGGGGCGGUAGCGGGUGAUAGUAUUCUCCUUUGGGAUCUAUAACCUGGUCGAGCAAAAAUCCCGCUAUUUCCUCUUGAAGUGCUCGUAUGCGCUCCUCUGAUAGGAGCUUGUCCCGCACCUAUUUGAACUGUUAAGAAGGAGAUCAAUAUGCAUGUGUAUUAGUUGUGUGACUAGAUAUCGACAAUCAUGUAAGAUUUGUGAAUAUUGUUCUGGCAAACGUACCCAGUCCUGUCUAUCAGAUCUGCUCCUUUCGGACGCCAUCAUGCGAAUGUUCUCGCAAACGUAGUAUGCACACACUUCAGUCUCCGGCGCCUGCUUCAGGGCCUUUACGACAAUAGAAUUUAAUCAGAUAAUAAUUAAUCAAGUAUGUUAAUUAAUUAAUUGUAUUGAAACAAGAAUUAAAGAGAUGGUAGUUAGCUAGCUAGUACUACUUAAUUACUUACCUUGGGUCGAUAUCAACAUAGCUUUUGUCGCCAUUUUCCUGGAGUCACCUUGAUGUACUUUGCCCAAGCCCUGCCCGCCGGCAAAGAAAAUUAAUAAAGGGGUUAUUAAAAAUAGUUCAUAUCAGGAAAUGACGAACUAAAUAGGCUGAGAUAUAGUUAAUAAUGAUUGAAAUAACCUGUCGACUAUCCCCUUCACGAUGCUGUAGUCACUAUUUUUUUAAGUAGUGAGUCCAGUACUUCAACUUUUCCUUCGUCAACUUUAAUGUCUAAUAAGAUCCAGUGGAAGCUGCAUGCGCAUACGUUUGCAUGUAUAAAUUAAACGGGCAUGUGCAUAACACUAAUCAACUAUAACCCUAAACCCUAUACACUUAUUAACAUCUAGCUAGUAAGCAAAAACAGAAUUUGUAGUACAAGACAGUGUGACUCACUCGAAGUUGUAAGGAAGUAGUAUAUCUUCAUUGCUAUUGAGGCGCUUCAAGAACUCUAGCAUGCAUUUCUCUACAUCUUGUCUACACCUUUCCAAUUUUCAUGUGUAUUCAUUAACGGUAUUUGGGUCAAUGAACCCAAUGCCAUAGCGUCCAGCUUUUUUCAUUUCAUACAUCUUCAUCCUGCAUAAUACCACAGAAAAGAAUAUAUAGUGAGGAUAUAUAAUUACAGGUAAUUAAUGAUCAAUCAAUGAGCACUAGAGCUAGCUUGAGACUUAAAUUACAGAAAGAAAUCACUUACAGACAAUAGCAACUGACGAUAGAUUUGUCGAGUGCAUCUUGAUUGAAUAACUGAAAUAGUUUUGAAUACUCAAUGGCCAGAACUUUCUUAUGGAAGUAAUGAUCUUCCUCGACUUGCACCAUGAGGGACUCUCGAUUGGAAAUCUUGGUAAUUUUCAUGUACCAAUCAUGCAAUUCAUACAUUCUCGUUGGGAGGUUCUUGACCUCCUCGGGCUCGACCAAAGGUUGGCCCCGGACAUAUUUCCGUUUUAUUUCCUCCUCUCUAAGCGGAGGCAUGGGCUCGAUCUCGAGGAGUUGUCCAACAGUGAUCUUGAGCAUUUCAGCCUGCAUUAUAUGCUCCUCGGUUAUUACCACAUCGCCCAGCUCGGGAACGUAAACGGUUUGCCCACAAUAAUAUUGGGCGCGCGUACUCUCAUGUGUUGUUGGCACAACAAGCGAGGGGGGGGGGGUGGUCGAUUGCGCCGCCUGUUCUCCCAGCUGGGGAACGGUUUUCCCGCAUUUUUUGACAGCUGCUUGUUGGCUCGAGCUCGAGCUUGCUUCUUUCUGUAGUCGUGCUCGAUGUGCCUUCUUGAUUUGGCGCUCAUAGUCUGAGUCAACAGGCUUGGGAGCUGGUGGUCUAGCCAUACGAAUGAAGUGGUCAAUCUUUUCCUCAGGCACUUUCUCCCUCGGCGGCGUUGCCGGUUUCGGUCGAAAAUGAGCGUCCACUUGGGCCCACACUAUUGCAUCGUUUUGCUCCUCGGUCAUGUCGUAAGGCCUCUGAGGAAGAGGAGCGAGGCUGCUUGGACCAUAUUUAUAUCGCUUGUCUCCGCCUGUACUUUCUGUACUACCUCGACUCGUACCGCUACGCACCAUAGCUGCGGCGUGUCUCUUCUGCGAUUGCUUAGGCGGCGGAGACGGCUGACGUGGCUUAGUUGGAGCAGGAGGAGUGGCCCGACGCUGUGCCGGACUUGAAGCAGGAGGUGUGGCCUGACACGGUGUCGGACUUGAAGCAGGAGGUGUGGCCUGACGCCGUGCCGGACUUGAAGCAGGAGGUGUGGCCUGACACGGUGGCGGACUUGGAGGAGCGGGAGUCUGCUGACACGGUGGCGGACUUCGAGGAGGAGUCGGCAGACGCGGUGUCGGUGGACUUCGAAAGAUGAUGCAAUCCUUUUUCCAUAGGAUGAAACGAUGUAUGGCCUCUCCCAGUGUUUGCUCGUCGUCACCUCCAGGAAUGUCAAGCUCUAGCCCCGAAUAUGGGCCCACCACCUCAUCAACCAAGACACGAGCAUAGCCCUCUGGAAUCGGGGCACAAUGGAAGGUUGCUCCGGGGGUAAUUGUAAAAGCAACGGCGUUCGCCACCUUCAUGGAUAUGUUCUUCAUUUUGUAGUGUAGCUCACAGUUAGUGUUCUCUAUGAUGUCAUCCACAGGGUAUGUAUCCAGCAGUGCGUCGCCCGGGGCGGAACCAACGCUGCUUCUCGGCAUGGAUGGGACGGCGCUAUCCAAUGCUGGAUGAUCAUCCGCUUGCUGCUGCCGCUGCUGAGACCCCCUUUCCUGGCUAAGUGAGUCGAUCUGCUGCUGUUGCUGCUGCUGGAAUUUGAGUGCCAAGUCCGCGUGCCUUGCUUCUAGGCCUUGAAGGCGUUCCGCGUCCUGCUUCCUCUGCUCCUCCUCCAGCUUCCUCUUCUUCUCCUCCUCCAUCUUCUUUCUUGCACGGGUCCUGUAGUCGUCGUUCCAUUCCGAAAAGCCCUCAUACCAGGGAAUAACGCCCUUGCCUCGCGUUCUUCCCGGGUGUUCAGGAUUUCCCAGGGCACGCGUAAGCUCGUCGUUCUCUCUGUUGGGCGUGAACACCCCCUUUCGAGCAUCUUCUAUUGCGUCAAGUAACUUUUCUUCUGCUCCGUUUAGACUUGCCUUCUUCGAAACCAGGCCUGUCUUCGGGUCCAACGCCCCCCCAUGCGCAUAGAACCAAGUUCUGCACCUGGGGGGCCAGCUCCUAGUAACCGGAGUGACCCCUGCAUCCUCCAUCUCUUGCUCAGACUUAUCCCACUUAGGCAUUGCCACCGCGUAGCCACCUGGACCCAGCCUAUGGAACUGCGUCUUUUUUGCGGCAUUGGCCUUGUUUUUUCUCGACGUUCCUUAGAUAAUUCUGAUUCCUUGAAUUUCACGAAAGCGGGCCAGUGUUCUCUUUGCUUCUCCAGUGUUCCCUUGAAUUCUGGAGUCUUCCUUUCUGCAGUGAGGUAGUUGGCCCAUACAGUUUUCUUGUGGGUGUUGAAUGCAAUUGCCAUCUUCUUAAGAGCAGCGUCCUUGACUUUCUGCACAUCUGCAUCAGUGAAAUAAUCUGAUAGGGUGAAAUGUUCCAUCAGAGAUUUCCAAAGCUUUUGUUUUGCUCUGUCGUCGACCCAAGUAAUAUCUGGGCGUUUAGUUUUUGGCUCUUUCCAUUCUUGAAUGGAGAUCGGGAUUUGGUCCUUCACAAGAACUCCGCACUGACGAACGAACUUGCUCGCAAUGUUCUUAGGCGUGAGGGGUUCGCCACUAGCUUUGAUGGAAUCGAUGUUGUACUUUACACCCUCCUUCAACUUUUUGCUCGGGCCGCGCUUUGUCCUGCUGUCUGUAGAAGCAGAUUUGCUCGAUCCGGAGGGCUGAAAGAAGAAAGAUCGAUUCGUUAAUAUAUCUUCAAAUAAAAAAACAUGUGAUGAUCACUAGAUGACUGCUUAUAUAAAUAUACCUCGCCGGUAGUCUUUGUUAUUUCAAGAUCAACAUUGUAUUCGUCAUCAUAAUCAUUGUCUGCGUCAUCAUAAUCAUAAUCAUAGUUCAUGACUUCAUCAGCUCGGUCGUCGAGAUUGAAUAUCUUAUCAUCACCCUCCCCGGUAUUGUUCAGAUAUUGGGAGCCGUCAUUUGCUUCAUUUAGAUCAUCUGGCCUGCUAGGGCUGCGUAUGAUCUCGAACAGGGCCUCUUCUCCCUCUCUGCCGGUAUUGUCCGCCAUAGCUUUUAUUUAACUAAUACAAAAGAAAUAUAAAACAAUUAAGUAUUCAAAUUACAAUGCAUGGAUGCAAUCAAUAAGGAAAAACUGAAUCAUAUAGUACAUAAUAUGCAUCGUCUCGAAUAAUAUAUAAUCUCGAAUACAUCGUCUCGAAUAAUAUAUAAUCUCAAAUACAUCACUGGCUAGGUAGCUAAUAAAGAUCGAAUACUAUAGAAGAAUCUAGGCCACUCGCGGUUCCUGGGGCGCGGGCGGUGGACACCCAAAGACAAGGAACCAUCACAGAAUCAUAUCUCUGGUCAUCUGCCCAAAGAACCUGCCAGGUAUUGGAGAACCUGACGUCCAUAGCAGCCAUGUAGCGAUGGACGUGCUCGUCCUCCUCCCUGACACGACGACGCACCACCUCUGGCGGGGCCGGCUCCCUCUGCACCGAAUGUGGCCCACGCGAACGCCACUAAAGGAGAUCAGGGUCGACAACGGGACCCGAGGCUGGGUCCCUCACCAAGCGGCGCGCCCCUCCAGGUAGCACCUCCCAAUGCCAGCCCGGCGGAGCCCAAUCCCGGACAUGGGUCAGCCGGACGUCGUCGCGAACGGGUCGACGGCGAGGAUGCAGGCCGGGCAUCGUCGAGAACAAAUACUAUAUGCCCGCAAAAAGUAACAUUUUUUAAAAGAUUGGAUUGUGAUAACUAAAAUUCUAUAUGCAAAUUCUAACAAUUUGACAUUAAUCUAAUUCAUCUAACUAAAACUAAUUCUAAAAUUUCUAACAUUUCUAUAUAUAUAACUAACAUUUCUAUAACAUUUCUAAUAUUUCUAUAACUAAAAAACAGAAAAAUUGCUACGAUGACGCGGAUGGCGACGAGGGGGGCAGCGACGGGGGCGGCGACGACGGGGACGGGGACGGCCGGGGCGGCGACAACGGNNNNNNNNNNNNNNNNNNNNNNNNNNNNNNNNNNNNNNNNNNNNNNNNNNNNNNNNNNNNNNNNNNNNNNNNNNNNNNNNNNNNNNNNNNNNNNNNNNNNNNNNNNNNNNNNNNNNNNNNNNNNNNNNNNNNNNNNNNNNNNNNNNNNNNNNNNNNNNNNNNNNNNNNNNNNNNNNNNNNNNNNNNNNNNNNNNNNNNNNNNNNNNNNNNNNNNNNNNNNNNNNNNNNNNNNNNNNNNNNNNNNNNNNNNNNNNNNNNNNNNNNNNNNNNNNNNNNNNNNNNNNNNNNNNNNNNNNNNNNNNNNNNNNNNNNNNNNNNNNNNNNNNNNNNNNNNNNNNNNNNNNNNNNNNNNNNNNNNNNNNNNNNNNNNNNNNNNNNNNNNNNNNNNNNNNNNNNNNNNNNNNNNNNNNNNNNNNNNNNNNNNNNNNNNNNNNNNNNNNNNNNNNNNNNNNNNNNNNNNNNNNNNNNNNNNNNNNNNNNNNNNNNNNNNNNNNNNNNNNNNNNNNNNNNNNNNNNNNNNNNNNNNNNNNCGGGGGCGGCGGGCGACGGGGCAGAGGAGAAGAAGCAGAUGAAAACUGACGAAAUUUCUAAGUGCUGCUUAUAUAGGAUGGGCCUUUAGUACCGGUUGGAGCCACCAACCGGGACUAAAGGUCAAAUUUGGCCAGCCCAAGCGGCGGGAAGCGCACCCCUUUAGUACCGGGUGGUGGCACCAACCGGUACUAAAGACCCCCCUUUAGUACCGGUUGGAGCCACCACCCGGUACUAAAGGGUGUGCGCUGCUAGGCGAGGGGCGCAGAAGUUUAGUCCCACCUCGCUAGUUGAGGAGCGCCAGGACCAGUUUAUAAGCCCCGAUGCGGGCACUGCAUUGAGCUCCUCUCAAUAGUAGGCCUUCUGGGCCUACCUCUCCUACUCUGCCUGUGGGCCUACUGGGCUUGCGGGCCUGCAUCCUGGCCCAACUACAGGUUGGGUUUCUAGUCGUAUGCAGGCCGCUCUGGCCGAGUAGGUGGGCUUUUUUAUUUUCUUUUUUUUUUACUUUAUUUAUUUUUGAGUUGUUUUUUGCUGUAUUUAGAGUUUCUUUGGGAAUAUUUUUGCUUUAGGUACAAAAAAUUACAAAGUUUCUGUUAAUGCCGGUAGUUUACAAAUUUGAAUAGUUUAUAUUUUGAAUUAUUUGAAAUUUGUGUGAAUCACUAGUUUGUGAAUAACUUAACUUUGAAAAUAGAUUUUCAGUGAUUCUUUUAUCUUAUGUUUAAUAUUAGUGUGUUUUAUCAUUAUAUUCAAUUUGGUAAUGCUUAGGUUAUUUAAAAAAUGAAAUCCCUUUGUAACGGAUGAGUUUUUGUCCGAAACCCUGAUACUUCGAAAGAGAUUGUCCAUUUUAUACACGAAGUGCAUCCAGUUUUUGCGGUAACCCUCUCUAUUUUUUUGCACAUGCUAUAUGGGUGAAAUUAUGAUACCAUGCCAACUUUCAACCUUUUCUGAGUUCAUUUGAAAUGCUUUUCAAUUUCAGGGUCAUUUAGCUGAAAAAAUCAGUAAAUGCAUGAAAGAAUUUGUUUGCACAUAAAAUUUCUUCGCGUUUCAAAUGUCAAAACACAUAACUACCCUAACUAUUACAGAGAUUCCUUCCUGGGUGUGAAACACAGAAGAAAUUGAUGAUAGUGAAGCCGAUCACAUCCCAGAUCUUUGGGUGUGUAACUUUUUCUUCGCAUAUGUCCCUUUGCGCCGUAGCCAUGGAAAAUCUUCAUCAUUUAACUGGAUGCUCGGGUCAAUAUUCACUGUGAAUGGAGCAAUUUCAUCAAUCUUUUCAUAAUCUUCUGACAUGUCUGUCUUGUCAUCCACUCCCACGAUGUUUCUCUUCCCAGAAAGAACUAUGUGGCGCUUUGGCUCAUCGUAUGAUGUAGUCGCUUCCUUGUCUUUUCUUUUUCUCGGCUUGGUACACAUAUCCUUCACAUAGAAAACGUGUGCCACAUCAUUAGCUAGGACGAAUGGUUCAUCUGCAUACGCAAGAUUGUUGAGAUCUACUGUUGUCAUUCCAUACUGCGGGUCUUCCGUUACCCCAUAUCGUGUCAUAUUGACCCAUUUGCACCGAAACAAAGGGACCUUCAAAUCACGUCCAUAGUCAAGUUCCCAUAUCUCCUCUAUGUAACCAUAAUAUGUUUCCUUUCCCGUCUUGGUUGUUGCAUCAAAGCAGACACCACUGUUUUGGUUGGUGCUCUUCUUAUCUUGGGCGAUCGUGUAAAAUGUAUUACCAUUUAUCUCGUACCCUUUGAAAGUCAUUAUAUUCGUAGAUGGUAACUAGGACAGCGAGUACACAUCAUCUUCAAUAGAGGCGUCAUGCAUGGUACGUGUCUGCAACCAGCCGGCGAAACUCCUGGUUUGUUCACGUGUAAUCCAGUCAUCAGACCGCUCCGGGUGUUUGGAGCGUAGAAAAUUCUUGUGUUCGUCCAUAUACGGAGCCACCAAGGCGGAAUUCUGUAUAACUGUGUAGUGUGCUUCAGUGAGAGAAUGUCCGUCCAUACAUAUUUUUUGAUUCCCUCCUAGCGUGCCUUUUCCAUCUAGUCUGCCCUUAUGCCGCGAUUCAGGAACACCAAUCGGCUUAAGGUCAGGAAUAAAGUCAAUACAAAACUCAAUGACCUCCUAAUUUUCAUGGCCCUUGGAGAUGCUUCCUUCUGGCCUAGCACGGUUAUGAACAUAUUUCUUUAAGACUCCCAUGAACCUCUCAAAGGGGAACAUAUUGUGUAGAAAUACAGGACCCAAAACACUAAUCUCUUCGCAUAGGUGAACUAGGACGUGCGUCAUGAUGUUGAAGAAGGAUGGUGGGAACACCAACUCAAAACUGACAAGACUAAUCGAACGUUGAGGAAUGCACGCAUAGCUUCACAAUGGCUAAUCGAACGUUAUCCGGUAGAAGCCCCCUCAAUGCAACCGGAAGCAGUUGCGUCAUAAUCACGUGGCAGUCAUGAGACUUUAGGUUCUGGAACUUUUUCUCUGCCAUGUUUAUUAUUCCCUUUAUAUUCGACGAGAAGCCAGACGGUACCUUAAUACUGAGCAGACAUUCAAAGAAGAUUUCCUUCUCUUCUUUGGUAAGAGCGUAGCUGGCAUGACCCUGAUGUAUGCCGUCUUUUCCAUGCAUACGUUGCUAGUCCUCCCGUGCCUCAGGUGUAUCUUUUGUCUUCCCAUACACGCCCAAGAAGCCAAGCAGGGUCACGCAAAGAUUCUUCGUCACGUGCAUCACGUCGAUUGCAGAGCGGACCUCUAGAUCUUUCCAAUAGGGCAGGUCCCAAAAUAUAGAUUUCUUCUUCCACAUGGGUGCGCGUCCGUCAGCAUCAUUCGGAACAGGUUGUCCGCCAGGACCCUUUCCAAAGACUACCUUCAAAUCCUUGACCAUAUCAUGUACAUCAGCACCAGUACGGUGGCGAGGCUUCGUCCGGUGAUCCGCCUCACCUUUGAAAUGCUUGCCUUUCUUUCUUACGGGAUGCCUGCUCGGAAGAAAUCGACGAUGUCCUAGGUACACAUUCUUCCUACAAUUGUCCAAAUAUAUACUGUCGGUAUCAUCCAAACAGUGCGUGCAUGCGCGGUAUUCCUUGUUUGUCUGUCCUGAAAGGUUACUGAGAGCAGGCCAAUCAUUGAUGGUCACGAACAGCAAGGCCUUUAGGUCAAAUUCUUCCCCCAAGUGCUCAUUCCACGCACGUACACCUGUUCCAUUCCACAGCUGUAAGAGUUCUUCAACUAAUGGCCUUAGGUACACAUCAAUGUCGUUGCCGGGUUGCUUAGGGCCUUGGAUGAGGACUGGCAUCAUAAUGAACUUCCACUUCAUGCACAACCAAGGAGGAAGGUUAUACAAACAUAGAGUCACAGGCCAGGUGCUAUGGUUGCUGCUCUGCUCCCCAAAAGGAUUAAUGCCAUCUGCGCUUAGACCAAACCAUACGUUCCUUGCGUCAUCUGCAAACUCCUUCCCGUACUUUCUCUCAAUUUUUCUCCACUGCGACCCGUCAGCGGGUACUCUCAACUUUCCGUCUUUCUUACGGUCUUCUCUGUGCCAUCGCAUCGCCUUGGCAUGCUCUUUGUUUUGGAACAAACGUUUCAACCGUGGUAUUAUAGGAGCAUACCACAUCACCUUGGCAGGAAUCUUCUUCCUGGGGCACUCGCCCUCGACAUCACCAGGGUCAUCGCGCCUGAUCUUAUAGCGCAAUGCACCGCAUACCGGGCAAGCGUUCAAAUCCUCGUACUCACCGCGGUAGAGGAUGCAGUCAUUAGGGCAUGCAUGUAUCUUCUGCACCUCUAACCCUAGAGGGCAGACAGCCUUCUUUGCUUCGUACGUACUCUCGGGCAAUUCGUUGUCCUUUGGAAGCAUAUUCUUUAUCAUUACCAGCAACUUUCCAAAUCCCUUGUCAGAUACACCAUUCUCUGCCUUCCAUUGCAGCAAUUCCAGUGUGGUGCCCAACUUUUUCUUGUCAGCUUCGCAAUUCGGGUACAACAAUUUCUUGUGAUCCUCUAACAUGCGCUGCAACUUCUUCUCCAAAUCACUUGCGCAGUUUCUCUUUGCAUCGGCAAUGGCCCGACCUAGAUCAUCAGCGGGCUCAUCUGAUGCCUCUUCUUCAGCUUCUUCCCGCAUUGCCGGCUCAGCUUCUUCCCUCAUUGUUGUAUCAUCGUAUUCAGGGAACCCAUGGCCAGGAUAGUUGUCGUCGUCCUCUUCUUCUUCAUUGUCUUCCAUCAUAACCCCUCUUUCUCCGUGCUUGGUCCAAACAUUAUAGUGGGGCAUGAAACCAGGACUUAAACAGGUGGACGUGAAUGGUUCUUGACGUAGAGUAAUUGUGAUCAUUCUUACAGACUAAACAUGGACAAGGCAUAAAACCAUCCGCCCGCUUGUUUGCCUCAGCCGCAAGCAGAAAAGUUUGCACGCCAUUAAUGAACUCGGGAGAGCAUCGGUCAUCGUUCAUCCAUUGUCGGCUCAUCUUCAUUACACAACACCGAAUAGACCAAAUUAAUACAAGUUCAUACAUAAAGUUCAUACAAGCCUUAAAUGCAACAAACAAAUAACUCUCUAACUAAAAAAUUUAAAUGCAACAACAAAUGCGAUCAAGAUCGCAACUAAGGUGACAAUUGAUCCAACAACAUAAUGAUACCAAGCCUCACUAUCAAUGGCAUAUUUUCUAAUCUUUCUAAUCUUCAAACGCAUUUUCUCCAUCUUGAUCUUGUGAUCAUCGACGACAUCGGCAACAUGCAACUCCAAUUCCAUCUUCUCCCCCUCAAUUCUUUUCAAUUUUUCUUUCAAAUACUCGUUUUCUCUUUCAACUAAAUUUAACCUCUCGACAAUAGGGUCGGUUGGAAUUUCCGGUUCACAAACCUCCUAGACAAAAAUAUCUAUGUCAACUUGAUGGGCAUAAUUUGUCAUAAACACGAAAUGCAACAACUAGUUUUAAAAGAGAAUAUACCACAUCCGAAUCAUAAUAAGGAUGAGGGCCGACGGGGACGGAUAUCAAAACCAUGGCACUAUGUAUAACAAACAAUGUACGGGUAAGAUAAUUAUACGAGUAACUAUAUAUCCAAAUCACACAAACAUCAAUUUGGUAAUGUAAAACAUUCAUGAACAAGAGGCUCACCACAAGGUGGUGCCGGCGACGGAACGGUGUGGGCGAUCGACUGUGGUUACGAUAGAGAUUUAGAAGGCACUAAGUAAACCACACCUACAUAUGCAAACUAAGUGUUAGUUUUGACCACAAAUUGCAUAUAAGUCAAAUACUAGCACAUAUAUUUUCUACCAAAUUACUAAACUCAUAAAUUAAUCACUAUACAAAGCAUUGCAAGAGCUAAUCUAGCAAUGAGAGAUGAAAGGACAAAGUUGCUAACCUUUGUGGUCAUUUGAAUGGAUGGGGGCCUUCAAAUCUUGACAAAUUUUGGGCAAAAUGUGUGAUGAGCUCGAGAGGAAGAGGGGAAGAACAUAGAGGAGAGGGGAAAGGGGAAGAACAGAGCGAGCUCGGGUGGACGAAAGGCUUAUGUACGACGACCUUUAGCAUCGGUUCGUGCCACGAACCGGUACUAAAGGUGCUGGAGGGGCCCCGGACUGACAACAUCCUUCCACCUCUCACUUUAGUACCGGUCCGUAGCACGAACCGGUGCUAAAGGUCGGCCACGAACCAGUACUAAUGAAAGCAGCUGGCUAGCCGUUGGAACCGGCACUAAUGCACACAUUAGUGCCGGCUCAAAAGCAAACCGGCACUAAUGUGCUUGACAUUUGACCCUUUUCUACUAGUGAUUCAAGUAAAUAGAUGCCUAAUGCAUGUUGAAAUAAAAGUUUGCUUUACAUUCUGUUUGCACAAUUGUGUUUUUUACAAAGUCUUUAAAACAAGACCAAUAUUGAAUAUAUUUUUAGAAAUUAAUUUUUGACAACUAAAUCACCAUGCUUCGAACUUGUUCCAUACAUAUUUAUUAAUUCCAUGUGAAAAUUUUAAUAAUGUACAUUUCACAAAUUAUUAUCUUAUUGUUUCACUAUGGCUCCCCAUGUUCCGUUGCAUUUCAUAAUGAUACAUUGUGUGCCAAUGUGUAUCAAACUGAUUCUUAGUAAUCUAAAAGUUUGUAAAUAUUAAUAUAUUUUAUUGCAACAAAACUUUGGCCUUAUCUAGUGUUUAACAAAACAUGGCAUAGUUAUGUGUACUCUUAUAGUGUUUCACUAUGUUUCAGAAUUUAAAUUUUAAAAAUUAUUGAAAUAUAUUCAAAAGUGGUCUCUUUUCAAAGGUCUCGUUGUCAAAAACACAAAUAUGAAACCGGAUCAUAAAUUGUACUUUUGGUUCAUAAGACCAAUUAGAUUUGAACUUGGAAAUAAAAUGAAAAAGUAUGAAAUGGUGGAACGUAGGUGGAACAGUGUACUUGCAUGUGAUGAAAGAAAUAACUAACUAACUGCCAGCGGUAUAAAUGCAUGGCAUCGGAUCUCCAAACAAACCAACGGCGCAUGCAUGCACGGUACCUCCCGUGCAUGGGAGAUUAGCUUUUCUCUAUUUUGGGGGAUACUGUGCCAGUUCAGACUUGGCGUUUGGCAGCGUGGCCUGUUCAUGUGUUUGAUUGGGCGUAGUAGUGUGUGGGUACUUCAGUUAGAUGGUAUGCAGCGGAUCGAGUCUAUCGACCGUGUGGCGAUGCCUGUAGAUUGUAGCACUAAAAUAUGAUGCUCAUUCAUAAACUAAUUUAGAUAAAGCCGCAAAAAAAAUGUGCUAGUUUUUUUUUGUGCUCACAUACUCUGUUUUGUCUCAGUUUUAGUCCAGGGCAACUUUGAAGCUUAUCUUAGGGUGGUAGCCAGAAAAAUGUGUUAAAGACCUUAUUAAGAAGUGAAGAAGAAUAGGCGUCUCCAGUUUUUGUUUCUCCAACUCUAUGCCUACACUGUAAUAUUAUUGAUGGAUUAGCUCCAGUUGAUGCAACUGUACUCUUUCUGGUAGGUCUGAGAUGCGAGUGAGCCAGAUCGAUCCUGAGCUAGCUACUUGUCUCCCUUAAGUCUUACAGCAAGACAAAUGCACUGGACUACAAAGAGGAAAUUCCUGCAGGUUCGUAAUGCAUCUGUUUUGGUUCUGGCAUUUGUCAGAUGUGUAUAGUCCCUUUUCGGUUCUUUCCCGUUGUAUAAGGGGUUUCCUGCAUUUCACCACACAUGUAUAUGUAAUGGCCUUUGACCCUCAGUGAAUACUAGUUGCUGUUUAUCCAACAUGGUAUCAGAUGUUAGGUUCCUCUCUCUCCUGCACGCUGCAACUCCGUGCUAGCUCGCCUCCCCUGAUUCGCUUCGUCCCCUUGCCAUCCGGCUGAUGCUGCUCUCUGGCCGAUUCCGGCUGCCCCCGACCUGAGCUCCGCCCGGUCCUCCUCGUCGUGGAUCCGCCGGGGCCUGCUCGAUCCGGCCUCCCCGGCCUAUCCACGGCCAGGCUCGGCCACCCCUCGCCGCGGAUCCAACCGGGACCUGCUCGUCCCGUGCUCGGCCGUAGCCCUCCUUGCCGCUCGGCCACCCCGCGGAUCCGCCUAUGCCCGACCGGGGCCCUCCUCGCCGUGGAUCCGGUCUCUCCGGCCCGUCCAAUGCCAGGCUCGGCCCGGCCGCCGCCGCCUCCUGCCGGCCGGCCGCCGUCGCCCCUUUCUCCGCCUCGCCUUGGAUCCGGCCGGGGUCUGCUCGUCCCGUGCUCGUCGGGUCCUUGCUUGGCCGCUCGUCUGCCUGGCCGCUCGUCCCGUGCUCCUGCACUCGGGUUCGGCCCUCUGUGGUCAAUGUGUGUUGCCUAUAGUUGACCCUGUGUAAAAAAACCCAAUGAGCUCGUCAUGUCUCCGUCAGGCUAUGUGGCUGUUCCUCGGUGCUCGGUGAUCUUCGAUGGCACCAACUAUGCUGAGUUUGUGGGUUUCAUGCGCAUUCACAUGCGUGGUCUUCUCCUGUGGGGCGUUCUCUCUGGCGAGGUUCCAUGUCCGCCUUGCCCUGUUGCUCCUGUGGCUCCUAUCCCGCCGGUGCCGCCUGUUCUUGCUGUUGAUGCUUCUCAGGCUGAUCGGGAUACAGCCAAGGCCCUUGACGAUGCCGCGGUUGAUGCUUAUGAUCAGCAGGUAUCCGCCUACUCAGAUGCUCUUUCUGCUUACCGAAACGAUUUGUCUGCUUACACUCAGUGGUGCAACGAUGAUGCUCGAGCUACUGCUGUUCUCACUUCGAGUGUCUUACCUCAGUUUGCAUCUGAGUUCAUGGGUCUCAGUAUUGUUGCUGCGAUGUGGUCCUAUCUUUGUCAGUGAUAUCAGCCCUCUGGUGAUGCUCUCUACUUAUCUGUGGUGCAUCAGGAGCACGCUCUUCACCAGGGUGACCCUUCUGUUGAUGAGUUCUACUCACAGAGCUCUGCCAUCUGGCGCCAGAUUGACUCUCUCAGGAUAGUUGUUUGUGGUUCUUGCCGUUGUUGCCAGACUGUACGGUCAGACUUGGAGUUUCAUCGUCUCCAUGAGUUCUUAUCUCACCUUCAUCCAGAGUUUGAGCCUCGGCGUGCUCACCUGCUUGCUCGUGGUCGUGUUCCUAUUUUGGAGGUGCUUGUAGAGCUUCCUGCCGAGGAGACACGCCUCCGUUCUGCUGGUCUGCUUGUGGUUCCCACUGUGCUUGCUGCCCGAGCUCCUGUGUCGUCUGCUCGCCUCACCACUCGACCACUCCUGCCCACACCUCCAGGGGGUGGUUCACCCUCCUUCAGGCGAGGGUCGAUCGCGCUCGCACACCUUCCGUGGCUACUGCAACAGGCCAGGUCACCCAAAGUCUGAUUGUCACAAGAAGCGGAAAGACCUGAAGCGCUCUUCUUCUAGUGGGACUCGUGCGUCUUCCUCGACUUCGUCGCUCAUUGACCAGGAUAUUGUGCGGCUCAAGCGCAUGUUGGCUUCCUCUGGUUCUUCCUCGACGGGUUCUGUUGCCGCUGUGACUACCACUACCACUCCGCCGCCGUCGGAGCCUACUCAGUGAGGUACAUCCUCGUGGGUUCUGGAUUCUGGAGCUUCUUUCCAUAUGUCUUUUGACUCUUCUGCUUUAUCUUCUCUUCGACCUCUUGAUUUUCCUCUUAAUGUUCUCACUGCCGAUGGCACACCCCUUCCUGUUACUAGUCGUGGCAUUCUUUCCACUCCGUCUUUUUCGGUUCCUAGUGUUUCUCAUGUUCCUCGUCUUACCAUGAAUCUUUUUUCCGCUGCCCAACUUACUGAUUCUGGUUGUCGUGUCAUUCUUGAUGCCGACUCUUGUUCUGUUCAGGAUCGUCGCACUCAGGCUCUGGUUGGCGCUGGCCCUCGGCGCGGUGAGUCUAAGGGACUUUGGGAGGUUGACUGGCUUCGUGUUCCUUCCGCUGCUACCACAUACACCAGCUCUCAUGCUCUUGUUGCCUCCUCUUCUGCGUCCUUCCAGCAGUGGCAUCAUCGACUUGGUCACAUCUGUGGCUCUCGCUUGUCCUCCUUAGUUCACCAAGGCGUCUUAGGGUCUGUCUCUGGUGAUGUUUCGUUGCAUUGUGAUGGUUGUAGGCUUGGAAAACAGACUCAGUCACCUUAUCCUACCAGUGAGUCUAUAUCUCAGCGUCCUUUUGACUUAGUUCAUUUUGAUGUAUGGGGUCCUGCUCCUUUUGACUCGAAAGGGGGUCAUCGCUAUUAUGUUUUGUUUAUUGAUGAUUUCUCUCUCUACACUUGGCUUUAUUGUAUGAAAUCUCGCAGCGAGGUUCUCCCCAUAUACAAGCGUUUUGCUGCCAUGGUUCGCACUCAAUUUUCCACGCCUGUCCGUAUCUUCCGUGCUGACUCAGCUGGAGAGUAUAUCUCUCACAUGUUGCGUGGUUUUCUUGCGGAGCAGAGUACUCUUGCCCAAUUCUCUUGCACUGGUGCACAUCCUCAGAAUGGCGUUGCUGAACACAAACAUCGCCAUUUGCUUGAGACGGCUCGGGCGAUGAUGAUCGCCGCCUCUCUUCCACCCCAUUUUUGGGCUGAGGCCGUUUCAGUAUCCACCAGCUCGUCAACAUUCAGCCAUCGGCUGCCUUGAAGGGUGGUAUUCCUAUGGAGCGUCUCUUUGGUCCUGACUACUCUGCUCUUCGCAUGUUUGGAUGCAUGUGCUAUGUUCUCCUUGCUCCGCGAGAACGAACCAAGUUGACUGCUCAGUCAGUUGAGUGUGUUUUCCUUAGCUAGAGUGAUGAGCACAAGGGCUAUCGCUGUUGGGAUCCUGUUGGUCACCGACUGCGCAUUUCGCGUGAUGUGACUUUUGAUGAGUCUCGUUCUUACUAUCCGCAUCCCUCCUCCUCGAGCUUUUCCGUGGAAGAUAUUUCCUUUCUUCUCCUUCCCGACACAUCUCCCUCUGUGUCUCCUGUUAUUCCCUCUCCCCCGAUGAGUCUCCCUACACCAUCGGUACCAUCAUCCCCUCCCUCCUCCUCCUGUCCCUCGUCAUCUCCCUCCCCACCCUCCUCCCCAGUCUUUCGCCCUCACUCCCCUUCUCCUCUCCACUACACUCGUCAUCCUCAUGCUGUGGAUGAUCCUACUGAUGUGCCCUCUACUUCCGGUGCACCUCCUCUCACGCCUACACCGGUCCAUAACCUUUGCGUUAGGCCUUGUCCCCCACCUGAUCGCUAUUCUCCUGACCAGUAUGGUCUUUCUGCCAUUGCUGAGCCCACCACCUAUCGAGCUGCCAUGACUCGGCCUGAAUGGCAGCUUGCCAUGGCCGAGGAGCUUGCGGCGCUUGAGCGCAAUGGCGCGUGGGAUCUGGUUUCUCCUCCUUCUGGUGUUUGUCCCAUCACGUGCAAGUGGGUCUAUAAGAUUAAGACUCGCUCUGAUGGUUCUCUUGAGCGUUACAAAGCUCGUCUUGUGGCUCGUGGCUUUCAGCAGGAACAGGGGCGUGAUUAUGACGAGACUUUUGCUCAUGUGGCCCAUAUGACCACUGUCCGCACUCUACUUGCUGUGGCUUCUGUUCGUCAUUGGCCUGUGUCUCAGCUUGACGUUCAGAACACCUUUCUCAAUGGCGAGUUGCGUGAGGAGGUUUAUAUGCAGCUACCACCGGGGUACUAUGCUCCUGAUGGUAUGGUCUGUAGACUUCGCCGCUCCCUCUAUGUGUAGGAUCGGAAGUAUGUCUAGAGGGGGGGGGGGUGAUUAGACUACUUGACCAAAUAAAAAUCUAGCCUUUUCCCAAUUUUAGUUCUUGGCAGAUUUUAGCAACUUAGCACAAGUCAAACAAUCAACCUACACAUGCAAUUCUAAGAGUAUAGCAGCGGAAAGGUAAAGCAAUUGCAUAUGAAGGUAAAGGGAUGAGUUUGAGGGAGCAAACGCAAUGUUGACAUAGAGAUUUUUUAUCCGUGGUUCCGAUAGGUGGUGCUAUCGUACAUCCACGUUGAUGGAGACUUCAACCCACGAAGGGUAACGGUUGCGCGAGUCCACGGAGGGCUUCACCCACGAAGGGUCCACGAAGAAGCAACCUUGUCUAUCCCACCAUGGCCGUCGCCCAUGAAGGACUUGCCUCACUAGGGUAGAUCUUCACGAAGUAGGCGAUCUCCUUGCCCUUACAAACUCCUUGGUUCAACUCCACAAUCUUGUCGGAGGCUCCCAAGUGACACCUAGCUAAUCUAGGAGACACCACUCUCCAAGAAGUAACAAAUGGUGUGUUGAUGAUGAACUCCUUGCUCUUGUGCUUAAAAUGAUAGUCUCCCCAACACUCAACUCUCUCUCAUAGGAUUGGAUUUGGUAGAAAGAAGAUUUGAGUAGAAAGCAACUUGGGAAGGCUAGAGAUCAAGAUUUAUGUGGUUGGAAUGGAAUAUCUUGAACUCAACACAAGUGUAGGUGGUUCUCUCUCAGAAAAUAUGUAUUGGAAGUGUAGGCAUGUUCUGAUGGCUCUCUCCACGAAUGAAGAGUGGGUGGAGGGGUUUAUAUAGCCUCCACACAAAAUCUAACUGUUACACACAAAUCACCAAACUCGGUGGGAGCGAUUCAAAGAACUCGGUCAGACCGAUUUGGUUCAUAAUGUGAACGUUAGGAUUCUCGGUGGGACCGACAUGUCAACUCUGUGGGACUGAUGUCAUUAGGGUUAGGGCAUAACGUAAUCUCGGUGAGACCGAUUACACAAACUCGGUGAGUCCGAUUUUGGUAAUAGCCAAACAGAGUGUUGGUCUGGCAAACUCGGUGGGACCGAUUCGCUCAUCUCGGUUGGACCGAAAUGUUACGAAAGGGAAACAGAGAUUUUGCAUUGUAAUCUCGGUGGGACCGAUCGCUCAUCUCGGUUUGACCGAAACGUUACGAAGGGAAACAGAGAGUUUGCAACCCCAUCUCGGUGAGACCGAGAUCCCUAUCGGUGAGACCGAAUAGAUUAGGGUUUCUGGCAGUGGCUAUGUCAACUGAACUCGGUGGCUCUGGAUGGAAAGAAUCGGUGGGGCCGAGUUGGACUUUUUGGUUUAGGACAUAUGUGGAUAUGAGAAAGUAGUGGAGGGUUUUGGAGCAUAUCACUAAGCAUUUUGAGCAAGAAUCUCAUUAAGCAACACCUCAUCCCUUCUUAAUAGUAUUGGCUUUUCCUAUAGACUCAAUGUGAUCUUGGAUCACUAAAAUGAAAAAUGUAGAGUCUUGUGCUUUGAGCUUGAGCCAAUGUUUUGUCCUUAGCAUUUUGAAGGGUCCACUUCCUAAUCCAUGCCAUGCCAAACAUUGAGCUUUCCUAAAAUAUUUAUCUUGGAAUAGCAUUAGCUCAGUGAGCUAUAUGUUGUUAGGAAUUACCAAAACCACCCAGGGAUAGUUGCACUUUCAAUCUCCCCCUUUUUGGUAAUUGAUGACAACAUAUAGAUCAAAGCUUCGACAAAUGAUAAAUAAGAUUGAAAAACAUCGUCGCUUUGAGAAGUAUGUGAUAAGCAAGAGCUCCCCCUAAAUUUGUGCAUUAUUUAAGAUUUGCUUUUGAAUGCAAAUGCACAAUCGAUUAGGAUCAUGGGUUACUCUUCCAUGUCACAUACAUCUUGGUGGAGCACUCAAAUGAUAGAGAUUAAAAGCAUGCACUCAUCACCAAGCAAAGUGAAUGAUCAUAAUAGGAUAUGAAAGAUAGCAUUAUCCAACAAGCAUUAAGGGUAGCAUAUGAUCAAACACUUGACCAAAUAAGUAUCUCACAAGGACACAAAGUAGUAUCACACAAGCACGCAGUAAAGUUUCAAACCAACCAAAAAAGAGUGCAAAGAGAGAUAAAAACCAACACUCUCUCUCUCGAAGCCUAUGAUCUAUACAUUUUUCUCCCCCUUUGGCAACAAGUUACCAAAAAGUUUGAAAAUGCAUAGUUCUAAACGACUCUCAGGCUUGAUCUUCGGGAGGUGGUGUUGAGAGAACGCCAAGGACGAAGGCUUCUGAUGAAGUGGCUGGAGCUGGUGGAGUAGCUACUGGCGUUGGAACUGGAGCUGUGGCUGCUGGUGCUGAUGUUGUAGCUCUAGUGUCUGUCACUGGCACUGCAGUAGAUCUCUGUCCUCUGGGCACUCUAGCAAAUGCAUCUGUGGUAGACUUGCCCUUCUUCUCCUCUGCUUCCUCCUGAGGUUGCUCAACUGCUCUUUGGAUCUCAGUUACCUUGACAUCAAGGUCAUAGAAUUUUGUCUCAACAAUCCUUUCCAAGCUCUCCUGGUUCUUGGUCAGGGUGGCCAAGCCCUGCUCAAUCCUCAGAGUGGAUUGGAUCAGAUAUGCAAGCUGGUCGUGCUUGCUCUUCAAGAAUACAUGAGAUGCCUCUUCCAUAGUUGGCAUCUUUGCAACUUUCGCAGCUUUAGCCUUCUCUCUCUUUUCUUGUGCUUGCACAAAUGAUGGUUCAUUCUCAGUCAUGACAACAGUGUUGUCCUCAAAUUCAGGAUAGAUGGGUAGAUGCUCCUUGUCCAAGAUGUACUUGCCUUUGCCCAUCUUUGAGUUGAUGAGCUCCUGGAUGUGUGGGGCAUAUCCACAACUUCGCUUCUGAUCGGCUGCAGUCCUCUUGAUUGUUUCCACAAUCAGGCUCAUAACCUUGAAUUUUUGUGGGACAUCAAAUAUGUGCAGCAAGUUGAUAGCAUGUCCUCUGAUCAUCUUGUGAUCACCUGACUUGGGUAGAAGUGUGUGCCUCAGAAUCCAAUUGAUUGUUGGCAGACCAGACAACAAAUAGUGUACAGAUCCAAACUUAUGUGUGUCCAAAGCAUCAUCAGGGAUCUCUUCGUACAUAUUUGCCAUAGAGUUGUGGUCUUUCUUCUUCUUGUCAUAGACAUCCAAGUCAUCCUCAUGUUCCUCAGGAGCAUUUAUUAGUUUUGCCCAUUCUUCAACUGUAAACUGGUACCUAGUACCCUCAGACAUCCACACAAUCCUUCCAUCUGGAUAGAAGUGUGCAGUGGAGUAAAAUUGCAUAAUGAGCUCAUCAUUCCACUUGGUGAACUUCCGAGCCACAAACUCAUCAACUCCACAUGCCUUGAAGUUUUCAUAUACACCAGGGAAGUGAUCCUCAUUUUCCUUAAUGAAUUUCCAAUCAACCCAUCUCAUGUCACACACUAUGGGCUUCUUGUCAAGUAAGGCAGCCUCAUAGAAGUCCUGUUGUUCCUUAGUGUGGAAUGUGUAGUCCAUAGUAGUCCUUCUCCUGGUGGCAUAUGGAUCAGACUCUCUCCAUAGCCUCAAUCCUGAAUCCUUCCUGAUUUUCAUGUUCUCUGCAACUGGGUGUGCAUCAUUGUGAUCAGGGAUCUUGGGCUUCAGCUUUCUCAAAAUGACAGAAUCAUCUUCUUCUUCUUCAGCAGCUUGAGGCACUGGGGCCUUGUUCUUCUCCUCAGCAGGGAUGUUCCUAGUGCUCCUCUUGGGUUUUGGUUUUGGAGCUGGAGCAGCAGCCUUGGGAGCAGCUUUGGGCUUAGAUGGAGCAGCCCCUGAUCUGAUUGCAUCUCCCAUGAGCUUUUGAGCUUUGGGUGCUGGUGCAGCAUCCUCUUCCUCUUCCUCUUCAGAAUCUUUCCUCAUUGAGGGCUUCCCAAGAACUCUAGAAGUAGUGGUUCUGGCCCUCUUCUUCUUCUUAUCCUCACCAGCUGCUUCUUCUUCAGAUUCAAUGGUGAACUUCAUAGUUUCACCUGUGGCAACUUUUCUUGGCUUAGACAUGGGCUGUCUUCCUGCUGGCCUCUUUGUUUUCAGACCUGGCUUAGUUGCAGCAGCUGAGCCAUACUCUUUCUUCAGCACUUUCUUCUUUGAAGUGGCUUCAUCUUCAACAGCCACAUAGUCUUCAUCCUCAGAGUCAGAAGUUCUCUUCUUCCUUGACCUGGUGGCAGCUUUUGGCAAGUUGCUUGGAGUGCUCCUGCUGCCUUCAUCAUAGCUGCUAGAGGGACUAGUGCCCUCACUCAACUGAACCUGUUCCUCUGACUUGUUCUGGCUGUCACUUUGGUCAGACAUCUUGCAGGCAAACUGUCAGCAGACCCUGUGAACAGGUUAUAGAUGAGGUAGAGUAGAUGAGCAUCACAAAGCACAGGAGUUUUUGCAAAAUAGAUGACUUAAAAACUUAGUUUUAGUUCUUCAUAGAAAGCAUUUCGGAUCUACCGUUUUGUAAACUCGGUGAUACCGAAGCAGCUUUUGGAACCUGAACUAGUGAACUCGGUCAGACCGAGUCACAGUUCGGUGGCACCGAGACUGCUAGGGUUUCACAGAGAAUUGAACUCGGUCACACCGAUUUGCAAUUUUCGGUCGGACCGAAAAUGCGUGUGCUCUGGCCUAAGCCAAAAUCGGUGAGACCGAUUUCUACAACUCGGUCGGUCCGAGAUGAAUUCGGCGGAGACCUAACCCUAAAUUUUCAAAUCAAAACUAAUCUACGGGACGUUUUCGCUGGACAGGAUGAUUUCAGUUGUGGCAAGAAACAUGGCAAAGCAAUGUGCUAAGAAUUGGAGUUAAAGAUUAGCACAAUGAUAAAGUCCGUACCCUAGUGCGGCGACGAACUUGCUACGUCGGCAACGGCGGAGAUGAUUUCCGUUGACGGCGGCGGAGACCAGCGGCGGGAGGACGCUGGCGACGAGAGGACGAUCCGGAGACCAGAGGAGGCAGAGUAGGUUACGCGCGGGCGAAGGGGUUCGGAGAAAUUUCCAAAUUUUGACCCAGCGGUAUAUAUAACCUGACCCUGUCGGUGUGACCGAGUGGAACGACUCGGUGGCACCGAGAUGCAAAACUGCAAGCAGUUACUGCAACUCGGUGUGACCGAAAUGUUCUAAUCGGUUGCACCGAGAUUGAAAACUCUAGAUCAACUUGGUGACUCGGUAGGACCGAAAAGGAUGAAUCGGUCAGACCGAGGUGCACAAAGAGGUUUGGAGGUUUAAGUCUAUGACGAAUCGGGAUCUCCGAGUGCUCCUCACACAGAGUGGUUCGAAUCUGACUUGAUCAAACUUUGUGAUGUAGCAUGAAUAGAGUUUGAGACGAGAAAAGCAUAGAUAGCUAGAGGGUGUUCUUAGGCAUUCUUGUCCAUCCAUUUGGCAAAAGAGAAAGAGCCAAACAAUCAAAACAACAAAUGGAUGUCCUCGAAUGAGUAAAAUAUGCAACCAACAUGCUCACACAAUAAAAUGGCAAAUGAAAUAUGUGAAAAAGCAUGCACAAACAUUCUAGCAUCUAUCAAGCAAUUGGCGAUGACUAGGUCAUCUAUAUAUGAGUAUAUUGACUUAGGAGUCAAAUGAGAACAUUUGAUCAUAGGUCAUACUCAUCGUUUAAGCACAAGUGGGGUUACCACUUUUACAUAAAGAAUUGUUGUGUUCACACCAUUAGAGUUGCUUUAGCUCAUUGAUUUGAGUAAAGCUCCCCCUAGAUGUGAUAUUCCCCCUAAAGGGAAUGAACUAACCUUGGGUUUUGUCGAUGAUGACUUCAUGUAGGUGUUGAAGAUGUAGAUGCUCAAUGUUGAUGUAGAUCAUUUGGAGCAAUCCUUUGGAGUGAGUUGCGCUUUCAAUACCUUGUCCCUUGUCUUACCAACAAGAGGGUUUGUGACUCCUUGAACUAGUGCAAGAUAUGGAAGUUGUUUGCACUUGUCCUUGCCAAAAUGAUAGGAGUGAAGUAUGUUGGCGGAGUCACCCUCAAGAACUCUCUAGUUCUUCUUCUUCUGGAUCCACACCAUCUUGAUGGGAACCCUUGGAGUCGUAGUUGUACUUGAUGAAGUGGAACUUGAUGUAGUCUUGGGAACCCACUUGACAAAGGCCUUAGGUGCUUCUUCAAAUGCAUCAAUUUCCUCUUGAAGCUUAUCCUUGCAUUUUUGCUUGUGGUCUUGUGGUGGAAGAUCAUCUUGAGCUUGUGUUCCUUUGAGAGAAGUAGGAUCAUACUUCUCUUGUUGAGGAACAAACUUCGUCUUGGGGUAUUGAUCUUCUUCCCACUCAACUCCAUUGGCAUCGAACUUCCGUUCAAAACCAACACCUUGAUUCUUCCGGUGUCUUCCUUGCUUGCGCACAAUUUCCUCAAAAUGCUUACUUCCGGCAAGACUCUUGUAAACACCUUUCUCUAUGAUUCCCUUCAAUAAGCUAUUUUCUUGCUCAAGUGUAACUAGGCUAAGAGAAUCAUUAGUGGAAUCAAGAGAACUACUAGAAGCAUCAACAUUGGAUUUAGCAUGAUUGUUGUUACUACUAGAUGAAGAAUCUUUCUUGUUCUUGUUGCUAGAUUUAACUUGUGGCAUGUAAGUAGACAAGAGUAAACGCUUGGCAAUGUAAGAAGAACUUUUCUUGCGAAGAUCAUCAUUGAUUGCCUUUAAAAACUCAUGCUCUUGCUCAAGGUUGAGCUUUUCAAAGCGUAGCUUAUCAUGAGUCUUUAAAAGUUCUCGAUGAUUUUCCAAGGUAGUUUCAUGAGCUAACUUAAGAGUGUUUAGUUCUUGAGUUAGACGCUCAAUCUCCUUCUUAUCUUCAUCAUUCGUUUUAUCUUGAUUAGCAUGUUUAAUUGACGUUUCAUCAUAGUUUUCUCACUAGAGUUGUCAACAAGUAAAUCAUCAUCACCUAGCAAAUCAUCUUCAUCACUAUUGAAAUCAGAAUACUCGGGAUGUGUUACCUUUGGACCUUUGGCCAUGAAGCAUCUUCCAAUUCCUUCAUUUGGUGAGUCAAAUAUAUCAUAGGAGUUGGUUGUCACAACUGUUAGACCGGGAACACCUUCAUCUUGAGUAUAUUCGGAGUCGGAGUGAUAACUUCUUUCGGAGUGAUUGUCGGAGUCGGAGCCGGAUACCCAUUCACCAACAUGAGCUUGAUGUCUUCUUUUUGUGUAGCUCCUUGAUGACUUUUCCUUUCUUUCCAAAUCCUUGCUUCUCCGAGAGGGUCUUUGUCCAUAACGAUCAUCUCUACUCCUCCUUUCUCUCGGUGGUGAUUAUUCUCUUCUACUUCUUCUUUUGGGAGAAUCUUCUCUUCUUUUGUAGGGGGCCGUACACUCAUUGGAGUAGUGUCCGGGUCUUCCACAAUUGUAGCACUUACGCUCACGACUAGAAGAUCUUUUGUCAUUGUAGGACCUUGACUUGGAACCUAUUUCUUUGCUUCUACUUUUGUAGAACUUGUUGAAGUUCUUCACCAUUAAGCUCAAUUCUUCAUUGAAGGUUUGUUUCUCACUUGAAGAUGUGGGAGUAUCACAUGAGGCUUUGUAAGCACCACUUGACUUGUUGUGAAGCUCUUCCUUAUCCUUGAGUGACAUCUCAUGAGCAACAAUUCUUCCAUUGACUUCCGUUGGCUUGAGAUCUUUGUAACUGGGCAUCAUUUGGAUCAAUGUGCACACGGUAUCAUAUUUUCCAUCCAAGGCUCUUAGGAUCUUCUUGAUGAUGAAUUUGUCGGUCAUCUCUUCACUUCCUAAGCUGGCAAUCUCAUUUGUGAUGAGAGCAAGCCUAGAGUACAUUUCAGCGAUACCUUCACCAUCCUUCAUUUUGAACUUGUCAAGUUGACUUUGAAGCACAUCCAAUUUGGAUUCCUUGACGGAGUCGGUACCUUCGUGCAUAUCAAUCAAAGUAUCCCAAAUUUCCUUUGCAUUCUCAAGACGGCUGAUUUUGUUGAAUUCUUCGGGGCACAAUCCGUUGAAGAGAAUAUCACAAGCUUGAGCAUUGUAUUGUAGCAUCUUCAACUCUUCCGCGGUAGCUUCAUGGUUCGGUUCUCUCCCAUCAAAGAAUUCACCUUGCAAGCCAAUACACACAAUAGCCCAAACGGCGGGGUUAUGUCCAAGAAUAUGCAUUUUUAUCUUAUGCUUCCAACUAGCAAAAUUAGUGCCAUCAAAGUAAGGACCUCUACGGUGGUAAUUUCCCUCGCUAGACGCCAUACUCUCCUAGGUUGUGAAACCAAGGCUAUGACCACCAAAAGCUAUGGAAAUCAAAGCAAAUGGAGACCAAAGCUCUGAUACCACUUGUAGGAUCGGAAGUAUGUCUAGAGGGGGUGAUUAGACUACUUGACCAAAUAAAAAUCUAGCAUUUUCCCAAUUUUAGUUCUUGGCAGAUUUUAGCAACUUAGCACAAGUCAAGCAAUCAACCUACACAUGCAAUUCUAAGAGUAUAGCAGCGGAAAGGUAAAGCAAUUGCAUAUGAAGGUAAAGGGAUGAGUUUGAGGGAGCAAACGCAAUGUUGACACGGAGAUUUUUUAUCCGUGGUUCCGAUAGGUGGUGCUAUCGUACAUCCACGUUGAUGGAGACUUCAACCCACGAAGGGUAACGGUUGCGCGAGUCCACGGAGGGCUCCACCCACGAAGGGUCCACGAAGAAGCAACCUUGUCUAUCCCACCAUGGCCGUCGCCUACGAAGGACUUCCCUCACUAGGGUAGAUCUUCACGAAGUAGGCGAUCUCCUUGCCCUUACAAACUCCUUGGUUCAACUCCACAAUCUUGUCGAAGGCUCCCAAGUGACACCUAGCCAAUCUAGGAGACACCACUCUCCAAGAAGUAACAAAUGGUGUGUUGAUGAUGAACUCCUUGCUCUUGUGCUUCAAAUGAUAGUCUCCCCAACACUCAACUCUCUCUCAUAGGAUUGGAUUUGGUAGAAAGAAGAUUUGAGUGGAAAGCAACUUGGGGAAGGCUAGAGAUCAAGAUUUAUAUGGUUGGAAUGGAAUAUCUUGAACUCAACACAAGUGUAGGUGGUUCUCUCUCAGAAAAUAUGUAUUGGAAGUGUAGGCAUGUUCUGAUGGCUCUCUCCACGAAUGAAGAGUGGGUGGAGGGGUAUAUAUAGCCUCCACACAAAAUCUAACCAUUACACACAAAUCACCAAACUCGGUGGGAGCGAUUCAAAGAACUCGGUCAGACCGAUUUGGUUCAUAAUGUGAACGUUAGGAUUCUCGGUGGGACCGACAUGUCAACUCGGUGGGACCGAUGUCAUUAGAGUUAGGGCAUAACGUAAUCUCGGUGAGACCGAUUACACAAACUCGGCGAGUCCGAUUUUGGUAAUAGCCAAACAGAGAGUUGGUCAGGCAAACUCGGUGGGACUGAUUCGCUCAUCUCGGUUGGACCGAAACGUUACGAAAGGGAAAAGAGAGUUUGCAUUGCAAUCUCGGUGGGACCGAUCGCUCAUCUCGGUUUGACCGAAACGUUACGAAGGGAAACAGAGAGUUUGCAACCCCAUCUCGGUGAGACCGAGAUCCCUAUCGGUGAGACCGAAUUGAUUAGGGUUUCUGGCAGUGGCUAUGUCAACUGAACUCGGUGGCUCCGGAUGGACAGAAUCGGUAGGGCCGAGUUGGACUUUUUGGUCUAGGACAUAUGUGGAUAUGAGAAAGUAGUGGAGGGUUUUGGAGCAUAUCACUAAGCAUUUUGAGCGAGAAUCUCAUUAAGCAACACCUCAUCCCUUCUUAAAAGUAUUGGCUUUUCCUAUAGACUCAAUGUGAUCUUGGAUCACUAAAAUGAAAAAUGUAGACUCUUGUGCUUUGAGCUUGAGCCAAUGUUUUGACCUUAGCAUUUUGAAGGGUCCACUUCCUAAUCGAUGCCAUGCCAAACAUUGAGCUUUCCUGAAAUAUUUAUCUUGGAAUAGCAUUAGCUCAAUGAGCUAUAUGUUGUUAGGAAUUACCAAAACCACCCAGGGAUAGUUGCACUUUCACUAUGGUCUUAAACAGGCCCCUCGCGCCUGGUUCGAGCGCUUCGCCUCUGUGGUGACUACCGCUGGUUUCUUGCCAGUGAUCAUGAUCCCGCGUUGUUUGUUCACACGUCUCCUCGUGGUCGGACUCUUCUCCUUCUCUAUGUUGAUGACAUGAUCAUCACUGGUGACGACUCUGACUACAGUGCCUUUGUUAAGGCCCGCCUUCGCGACCAGUUCCUCAUGACUGAUCUUGGUCCACUUCAAUAUUUUCUUUGGAUUGAGAUCUCCUCGACCUCUGAUGGCUUCUACAUCUCCCAGGAAAAAUACAUUCAGGAUCUUCUUGCUCGUGCUACUCUUGGUGAUGAGCGCACUGUUGUGACUCCUAUGGAGCUCAACGUUCAGCUUCGUGCCUCUGACGGUGACCCUCUUCCUAAUCCUACUCGCUAUCGCCACCUCGUUGGCAGCCUUGUCUACCUUGUUGUUACGCGUUCCGACAUCUCCUAUCAUGUUCAUAUACUGAGUCAGUUUGUUUCAGCACCCACCUCUGUCCACUAUAGUCAUCUCCUCCGUGUUCUCCGAUAUCUUCGUGGCACUUUCUCUCAUCGCCUUUUCUUUCCCCGCUCAAGCUCUCUUGAGCUCCAGGCCUACUCUGAUGCUACAUGGGCUAGUGAUCCCUCUGAUCGACGCUCGCCGUCUGCAUACUGUGUCUUUCUUGGUGGCUCUCUCAUUGCCUGGAAGACAAAGAAAUAGACUAACGUUUCUCGCUUGAGUACAGAGGCUGAGUUGCGAGCCAUGGCUAUGUUGACGGCUGAGGUGAUUUGGUUACGGUGGUUAUUUGAGGAUUUUGGAGUGCCUGCUACUACCUCGACUCCCUUACUGUCAGAACCGGUGCUAUCAGUAUUGCGCGUGACCCGGUGAAGCAUGAGCUCACCAAGCACAUCGGUGUGGAUGCCCACUUUGUGCGUGCUGCUGUGCAUGAUCAGACUCUUGCUCUUCACUAUGUUCCCUCUGAGUUAUAGUUGGCGGACUUCUUCACGAAGGCACAGACUCGAGUGCGGCAUGGUUUUCUUCUCUCCAAACUCAGUGUUGUUGAUCCACCAUGAGUUUGAGGGGGGUGUUAGAUGUGUAUAGUCCCUUUUUGGUUCUUCCCCAUUGUAUAAGGGGUUUCCUGCACUUCACCACACAUGUAUAUGUAAUGGCAUUUGGCCUUCAGUGAAUAUUAAUUGUUGUUUAUCCAACAACAUUCACGCCAAUCAUAAAACAGUGUUUGUUAGUAGUGGAGUGGUAGGCGGACGCAAAUCAAACCAUCAUUUUUCUUCUAAUUACACUUGUAAAAGCAUCGAUGCAUCUCCGUCGCUUAAUUUUAUUUGUCAUUCUGUUCAGUACCUGGUUUGGUUCAGGAAGAGCUCUUUUUCCUAUGCAAAAUGUAUAACGUAUAUGCUCCUAAUUCUGAUUGCAGACAUAUUCAUCGCGCUAGUGUUUUGACAUGACGCGGGGAACCAAGAGCCGUUCAACAGCGCGUUUCUGGGAUACGCCACCGGUCUGGCACUAAAGGUAGCGGUGAUGAUCUGGUUUCAAGCCGCGCUGCUAAUAUAUCAUGGCAUCUUGCAGCCUGCUCUGUUGCACAUCGUUCCUGGCGCAUGACUGGUUUGGUCGCCGUUCACUCUCCGUGGAAUGGAGAGGUGAAAGCGGGCAAGUAAGCCUGUCUACUUUGUCCCUUUUGUGUAGUGCUGGGAUCAGAGAAAAUAACUGGCAAUCUGGAUCAGCCUGGUUUUGAGACGCGACUUGUUUGCCACUGACUGUUUUGCGUUGGCAGUUACUGCAGUUGGAGUGGGAAGCUGGAGAGGAGGAAGAAGACGAAGGUCCCAACCGGCAGAGCAAAAAGGUGAACCAGCCCUCGCCUUUUUAAUUACUAGGAGAAAGAAACAUUGAGGCAGUAAUUUCUUCAGGCAAGAUCGAUUGGCAGCUAAUUAAGUAGGCUGGAUGGCAUUGAGAAACCCAAAAACGAUUUACAUACACAUGGUAGAUCGUCUCUCUCUCUCCUUCCACCCCUUCCUUUCAUGGCCAUCGUAGACUGCACCAUGUGGCAUUCAAACUUUUCUCAAGGGGAGAGUUUCCUCACACACACACACAUGCACAUACGCAAGCACACGCACACACGUGUAGUACAAACUUAGAAUUUUUGGAAAUAAUGGGAGGCCGAGCAACGGCCAUGUGAAAAUAUGAGGUAUAUAGCUUGUGGAUUUCCAUUCAGUGUACAAGGCCUGCAUGAGGAAUGGAUAAAGAAAUAUAUCUUUGAUUCCCUUAGUUAAAUCUUAUCCUUCAUCGUCAAUUAUGACUAAGCAUACAUAGUAAUCGCUAGUUUCUCUUAUAUGCUUCCGAGAAGAUAAGACUGGAUAUUUUAGUUGCUAUUAAUUAUUUCCCUUCUUUCGCUAAAUAGUAGUCAAACAUGUUAUUAAUGUAUUUUGUAAGGAUAAGGUCGAGCAUCAUGGCCACUAUGUUCUAUAUAUACUGAAUUUGGUGUUCAGUAUGACAUAACAAACACAUAUUGUGAGAAGGAGUAGUGUACAUUGUUCUCUAGUGCACUUUGUUCAGCAAGUUGGGUGAAAAUGUUGAAUAAACCAUCAAGUUUUCAUACAUUUUUUCAUGGCACAGGUUUGCCUUCUCAUGAUGAUGGCUGCACCGUUUGCACAAGCUGCUGGGAGGCCUGUGGCAUCCUUACCAUGGGUAGCGGGGUGUUGCCUGAGGAACUAUUUGUGUUGUGGUGUUGGUGCUGUUGCCCCGACAUCCCAUGCAUCGCAGGCCACCUCUGUACCUUGAAUUAUGGUUUCGCCUGAUCUCCUCUCAUAACAUAGUUGAUAUAACAUAGUAGCAUCACAAAGGUUGCAUGGUUUCAUUGAUUCAUCUCUUUUCUACUCCGUGAAACUUGUGAUGCCACUUUUGAACAAUGUCAUUGCUAUGUCUUCUUAUAACUAAUAAAAUGGGAGGAUAUUUUCAUAUUAUUUGAAUUGUGUUGUAACAUUACCUACUAAUGUGGAUGAUCUGAGUGGACUACAUAGAUCGGAUCUUCUAAAGAUAUAAUCUAGGACUUUGCGAGAUGAUGAAAUUGUCCUUUAUCUUGGUCGACACCUUUUCGUAGAAGUGUUGGUCGGCCGUCUGUGUCUUUUUGCGGUGCAUGCCGUAGAGUCCUCCAUGUUUUGUAGUUGUACAAUAACCUUUGAGGCAACCGGGGGUGGUACGUCUGAGGAAGUCGGUGGCCCAGGAAUAUUCAUAAUGAGAUCUCGACCAUGGAUGCCAAGUAAUUUGCCCCGUGCUGAUGUCGUCGGGCGACCCGGUCACUUAUGUUUUGACUCAAGGAGUCGCUAUGUUCAUCGAGUCGCGAGACAGCGGGAGGAAGGAGACGAAGGUCCCAAACGUCAGACCAAAAAGGUGGACUAGGGCUCGCCCUAGUUGUGCUCUCGGGUAUUUUCAGUUACUAGUAGGAGUAAGAAGCAUUGCAAAUUGCUCCCUCUGUUCAAUCCGUAUAUAUGUAGUCCGUAUUCAUAUAUUCAAAAUAUUUUAUAUUUGUGAACGAAGGGAGUAAUUAAUAGUAAUGCAACAAUUUCAGGGGAGGCCAGUCAACAGCUAACUAAAUGUGCUGGAUGAGACUGGAGACAUGUAUAAACGAUUUACACAUGAUAGAACUACUCUUUUCUUGUCAAGGAAUGGAAGAAUGGAUGAUUUUAUCCGUUCGGAACAAAACCCAAUAUUCAUCCAGUUAGACGUUGUUCUGAAUUCUGAAGCUUUUGAAAGUUUUCUCGCAGAAAUAUGUGUGUGUAUUCCAGUUGUAUCAUUAGCAAACCAAGGUUGUAUAUAUUAUAGCACAAAGAAUGUUUGGUUGAUUCGUUCAGGCGAAUCAGGUUUGUGGCUGACUGCCAAAGUCAGGCCAACUCCAGCGCACGACCCCAAACAGACAUCUGUUUUGUCUGGAUUCUGCCCGUUUGGAUAUAGCAAUGGGGUCGUGUCCAGGCCUGUCCUGUGAUGCGGUCGCCGUGCGCACAACGCGCGGACGCAUCCUUUGGCCUCAUCAUGUCCGCCACGGCCAAAAAUGCCCAUAUAUUCAUAUUUCAAUAUUCAAAACUAGUUUGCACGUCCAAAUAUUAAUUGUCUGAAAAUAAAAAUAGUUUUACAACCCAAUCAAAAUUGUCUCUAAUAAAAUAGUUUUACAACCAAAUCGAAAUUGUCUUGAAUGAACAUAAUGAAACCAAUACAUCUAUUGGUUGCCAAUGUGAUUCCACAUGUGCUCAACCAAGUCAUUUUGAAGAUCCAAAUGAGUGUGCCAAUCAUGCAUUUCACGAUGACAUUGGGCAAACUGCUCAAACGUGGCCGGUUCUUGGUGCAGGGGCUGAACAUUUUCACCUUGAAAAUCAAAUCCUUGGUCGAAGAUGCUGUUAUCACGCUCGUCCUCGACGAUUAUGUUGUGCAUGAUCACACAAGCAGUCAUCACCUCCCGAAGCUUCCCUUCAUCCCAUGUCAAUGCAGGGUUUCGAACGAUACCCCAUCGGGAUUGAAGCAAACCAAAAGCACGUUCCACAUCCUUUCUAGCACUCUCUUGCAUUUGGGUAAAUCUCUUUCUCUUCUCACCUUGGGGGUUCGAGAUUGUCUUCACAAAAAGUUGACCACUGAGGAUAUAUACCAUCAGCUAGGUAGUAUCCCUUGUUGUACUGGUGGCCGUUGAUCUCAAAGUUGCCAGGUGGGGAGUGGCCUUCUGCAAGCCUUGCGAAGACUGGAGAACGCGGCAGCACGUUGAUAUCAUUGUGAGAACCUGCCAUGUCGAAGAAAGAAUGCCACAUCCAAAGAUCUUGCGAAGCCACCGCUUCUAAUAUGAUAGUGCAUGCUUUAACAUGCCCCUUGUACUGGCCCUGCCAAGAAAAUGGACAGUUCUUCCACUCCCAGUGCAUACAAUCUAUGCUACCAAGCAUGCCUGGAAAGCCUCUAGCCGCGUUGGUCGCCAACAAGCUUUCUAUAUCAGUGGCAUUUGGCUGCUGAGGGAGUCCUGGAUUAAGGGGUCCUCGGGCGUUUGGGCUGCGUAACAUGGGCCGGACUAAUGGGCCGUGAAGNNNNNNNNNNNNNNNNNNNNNNNNNNNNNNNNNNNNNNNNNNNNNNNNNNNNNNNNNNNNNNNNNNNNNNNNNNNNNNNNNNNNNNNNNNNNNNNNNNNNNNNNNNNNNNNNNNNNNNNNNNNNNNNNNNNNNNNNNNNNNNNNNNNNNNNNNNNNNNNNNNNNNNNNNNNNNNNNNNNNNNNNNNNNNNNNNNNNNNNNNNNNNNNNNNNNNNNNNNNNNNNNNNNNNNNNNNNNNNNNNNNNNNNNNNNNNNNNNNNNNNNNNNNNNNNNNNNNNNNNNNNNNNNNNNNNNNNNNNNNNNGAUUCCUUUCCCUGUAAACCGACUCUGUACAACCCUAGCCUUCUCCGAUGUCUAUAUAAACCGGAGGGUUUAGUCCGUAGAGGCAAGGAUAAUCAUACAGGCUAGACAUAUAGGGUUUAGCCAUUACGAUCUCGAGGUAGAUCAACUCUUGUAAUCCCUAUACUCAUCAAAGUCAAUCAAGCAGGAAGUAGGGUAUUACCUCCAUUAAGAGGGCCCGAACCUGGGUAAACAUCGUGUCCCCUGCCUCCUAUUACCCUCUAUCCUUAGACGCACAGUUCGGGCCCCCCUAUCCGAGAUCCGCCGGUUUUGACACCGACAGCUGCCUCAAGUACUCAGGGCCAAACACUGCCACCACAGCCUUGUAGAACUUGUAAAGUGACAACAGACAUGCCGACUCACUCAUGCGCACGUACUCAUCCACCAGAUCGCCUGGAAUUCCAUAUGCAAGCAUGCCGAUGGCCGCGGUGCACUUCUGGUAAGAGGAGAAUCCAAGCUUGCCAAGGGCAUCCGUCUUGCACUCGAAGUAUGGGUCAUGAGCAACCACUCCCUCUCGGAUACGAUUGAACAGAUGUCUUGCCAUACGAAAACGGCGACGGAAUUUAUCCGGCUUGAAGAGCGAGGUAUUCGCAAAGUAAUCGGCAUAGAGCAAGGCGUGGCCUCUCUCUCUAUUGCGUUUCAGGUUGGGAGCACGGCCAGGGACUGACCCCAUGUACCGAGGAAGCUGCCCAAUGUGAUCGUGAACGACCAGUGCAACCACCACCAGAUCUUCGUCAUCCGAGGACGAAUCAUCCAAUGAAUAAAUGAAGUGGUGGAAGAAAAAUUCAUCUCCACUGUCCAUACAUUUGUGGGCAAAGUGUUCAACACCUUGCGGUCGUGGUGGCAAAGAGGCCGCGAUGAUCAUCUCGAUGCAGCAGGGGUGGUUGGCGGCCGGCUACUGGCCGCUCUAGAGCACCCGGCGGAAGCUGCCGUGGUCCAUAUCCGUCGCCGGUGGUCGUAUCCCCUCUAGCACCGGCUACAAUGGCGACGGCCAAAUCUCCUCCAAGCGAUGGCCAGAACUCCUACGAAAGCGCGGGCGUUGUGGCGGCCAUGUCGAGACGUGGUUUGGUAUGGAUGGGCAGGGGGAGGGAGCAGUGAGGAGGCGGUCGGAGAAUACUGGCGGCGCCGGUGGCGGGAUGCGGCGGAGGAGAGCGGGUGAAGGCGUUGGAGGCAAAUGGAGUGCUAGUGUCCCCGACAGGCGGGCCACGGGGAGGACAAGGGCGUGUGUCCAGCCCGUCCGCGUGAUGUCCAUUUCACCCCAAACUCGGCACAAGUUUGGGCCGGGAAUGGGUAAAAAACGGACGAAAUCCGGACAUUUGUCUAUUUGAAGCCGCGCCUUGAGUCAUGCUAUUCGUCUGUUCUACCCUAAACGGACGCACCAGAACGGAAUGGGGUCGCGUGCUGGAGUUGGCCUCACGGCCGUUUCUGCCUUUGGCGCAGACAAGAGAUUCUACACUGUAAAGGAAAAAGCUGAAAGCUCUCUUGUCUCGUGUGUUUCUCUUCUCUUGCACCUUGUCGGAAAACAGUGUGCACCAGGGACGCUCGAUUCCAUGGCAGGCAUCAGUUCAAUCGAUCAUGCUACAGGGAACCGGCACUAUCUUCUUUUUCUUUUUCUUUUUCUUUUAGGUCGUGAACGCAAGUCAUUUGAGAUAUUCACGUAGGACUUACAUAAUUGGUACGUUGUGACAAAACUGGACGCACACGAUGAAAUAUAUAAAUAUUCCUAUGGUAGAUUUAUCAGCAUCAGUGUGGAGCUAAAGUGUUUGAUGUUUUGUAUGAAUGGUUUGGUCUGAACAAUAAAGCCGACCACUCAGGACCUACUUUUGGGCUUUUUUUUUUGUAUUAUUCUAUACUAGCAAAAGGGCCCGUGCGCGGAGAAAAAAAUUAUAAUCUUGAAUGACCAUGAUCACAUUUUUUUUCAUCACCGAGAUACACUAUCACUUUCAACUUCGGGAAAUCAUCUACAUUUUUUAAACUUGUGCACAUUUUUCACAUUCAUGAACACUUUUACAAAUUUGCAAACAUAUUCUAAAAUCAAGAACAUAUUUUGAAUUCAUGAACAUUUUAUAGUAUUUACAAACAUUUUUAGAAAUUACGUUUUUUUAACAAUUUUCUUGAAUAGGCAAACAAUUCUAAAAUGGACGAACAUUGUUUUAGAAAUCGGUGGAAUAAUUUUUGAAAUUCCCGAACAUUUUCUUGAUUUUACAAACAUUUUUUGAAAUGCAUGAUCAUUUUUGUAUAAACUAUUUUGUAUGUCACGAACAGUUUUCCAAAUAUUUGGUUAUUUCCCCAUUCAUGAACAUUUUUUGAAUGGUGAUAUUUUCUUAAAUUUCAUUAACAUUUUUUGUACACGAAUUUUUAAAAAGUCAUGGACGUAUUUUGGUUUCAUGAACAUUUGUUUUCAAAAUUUCAAACAUUUUUCGAGCCAGAUUCUUUAAUAAAAUUGCAAAUAUUUUUUGAAUACAUAAACAUUUUAUGAUUUAUUAAAACUUUAUUUGGAAAUUAUUUUAAUUUUGAAAUAUUUUUUGUAUUCUGAAUUUAAUUAAAGUAGAAAAACGGAAAAAGAUAAAAAAGGAAAUGUUAAAAACAGGCUGCCCGGACAUGGGCCGGCCCAAAUGGGCGGGCCGCGCCUUAUCCCUUCGCGCAGAGCCCAGUAUGGCAGGUCGCUACUACAUGGGCCAGUCCAGACGGGGAUUCCCCUGUGUGAAACAUUUAUAUCACUUAUACGUGACAUUUGGAUCCCCUCUAGUUAGGGUUUUCUCUCCUCCCGGCGGCGCCUGGCACCGACGUGGAGACCGCGAUCCCCUGCGUCUCCUAGACCACUGAUCGCCGGCGGCUUCGGACGUCGGGCUCGUGUGCGCGCUGGGCGAUCUGUCUAGGGUUCUCCCGCCCGCGGAAACCGACUUCUCGGGCAAGAGAUCUGAUGGAAGGCUCAACGUCGGCGUCAGCCGCAGCGAUGAGCGACAUGGAAGCUAUGAUGAAGGAAUUGGGCCUGAAAGAAGAUGAUCUGGAGGAUGUUGUGGUUCAGGAUGGCGACAUACCAGAGGAAGCGGCGCGGUGGAUGGUGAUCCUGCGGGUGCACAUGGAUAAGCCGUACAGUCAGUAUUGGUUUUUUCGUAACAUGCGGGUUGCAUGGGAUCUAGCACAAGAAGUCAAGUUCCGCCCUCUAGAAGACAACCUCUAUACUCUGCAAUUCUCCUACCUGGGUGAUUGGGAGAGAGUCAUGGAGGACGGCCCCUGGACAUACAAAGGAAAAGCUGUCGUAAUCGAGCCCUAUGAUGGUUUCACCAGAUCAUCGUCUAUUGUUCUUAACAAGAUUGAGAUGUGGAUCCAGAUCCAUGAUCUCCCUGAACUGUUCUUCCAGUUGAUUAAAUCGCUAGCAUCUACUGUUGGUGACUUCAUAUUUGCUGAGCCCAAAUCCCAGGACUUUGAGGGGAACUUUUUUAGGGUUCGAGUGAAAGUGGAUGUCACAAAGCCGCUCAAGAACGCUGUAUCGCUGGUGAUCAAGAAGAGGAGAGAGAUAUUCAGGGUGAAAUAUGAGAGGCUUCCAGAUUGGUGUGCUGUCUGUGGUAUGCUAGGUCAUCAGUUCAAAGAGUGUGGCGAUGGGAUCCAUCCCCAAUCUGCGCUUGUGUUCAAAAAUCUGAAAGCUGACUGGUUCAGGAGCCCAGGCCGUGGACCAGGUGCUGCAAGAGGCUUUGAAGGUGGUCGAGGGAGAGGUAAUGGUCGUGCAGGUCAUGGAGGCCGGGGCUCGGGUUGAACACAACAAGAUAACUUUGACCAGGCUGUUGAUCUGGAUACAGACAUGGAAGAAGGAGACGGGAACCGCAAGAGAGGAGCUCAUGCAAACACACUCUUGCUUACUUCUUCAGGGACCAACCCAUCAUCUUCGAUGGAACCCCAAGCCCUCGCUACAGCCACCGUUCCACAGAGUCCCUCGUCGAAGCAAGACCUCAAAAGAACAAAGACCAACCCCCGUCAGUUGGAGAAGAACCCAGGGAAGAACAAGUCCUCAAACACCCAAAACAAUGCGCAAAUGGCGAGCCCUAUCAACUGGUCGCGCCUGGCGCAAUGAGUUGCCUAGUUUGGAACUGUCGCGGGGCUGGCAGACCUGCGACAGUUCGUGAGCUUCGAGAUCUAUCGAAGCUACUUGCCCCCUCUAUUGUAUGCAUUCUUGAAACCCAGAUAGAGGGCUCGCGUGUCGAGAAUCUGGUAGGAACUUUAGGUUAUAAUAAAAGCUUUGCUGUAAGCAGCUCCGGCAGGAGCAGUGGACUAGGCAUUUUUUGGAAUGAGGAAAUAAAACUCGAAGUUAUCGGUUAUUCUGAGUACCACAUAGAUGUUCUUGUUGAGCAGAUGGUAGAAACUAAAACCAGAAUCACCUUUGUGUAUGGUGAGGCCCAAACAAGUGCAAGGUACAAAACUUGGGACAUGUUGCGCGGAAUUGCUGGAACUAGCAACGACCCAUGGGUAGUGAUUGGAGACUUUAACGAAGUACUUCAUGCCCAUGAGCAUGAUGGAACCGGCCAACGAAGCCAGGCGCAGAUGGACGCCUUCUGAGAUGCUAUUGACAAAUGCGGCUUAUCAGAUAUUGGUUAUAAGGGGCAAAGCUGGACUUUUGAAAAGAAGGUGAUGGGCGGUACGUACACCAGGGUGCGCUUGGACCGGAGCGUGGCUAAUCCUGCAUGGGCUUUGGCCUUCCCAGAUGCAUCCCUUGAGCAUCUCACCGCAGCUACUUCUGAUCAUGUCCCGUUGUUGCUUCGGCUUCAAGCAAUGCAUGCAUGCAGAAGGGGACCACGGCCGUUUAAAUACGAGUUGUGUUGGGAGCGCGACCCAACACUGGAGACAAUGGUGCAUGCGGGGUGGAAUCAGCAUCCUGGGGAUUCGGUGGACCAGGUGAAGGCUAAACUCCAAACACUGUCGGGCGACCUGUCGACGUGGGAUCGGCAACAUUUUGGAAGCGUGUGCAGAGAGAUAGCCGAAUUAAAAAAAGGAACUACAGGUGUUGCGAGAAUUUCCAGGAAGAUCUGGCCCCUCUCGACGGGAGACAAAAAUCUGCGACCGCCUGGUUGAAUUGUUUCAUCGCGAGGAGAUCUUGUGGAGGCAGCGAGCUAGGAUUGAUUGGCUCAUGCAUGGCGACAAAAAUACUUAUUUCUUCCACAUGAGAGUGAGUAGGCGUCGACGGAAAAACCAAAUUAAAUCCUUGCAAUGAGCUGACGGGCAGGUAACGGAGAAUGAACUGGAGAUGGAAAACAUGACGAUCUCCUUUUACAAGGACUUGUACACGACAGAAGGGGUUGGUGAUAUGGCACAGGUGCUAGAAACAGUACCAUGCAAGGUUACGCAUGCAAUGAACGCCUCGUUGAAUGCCCCAUAUAGCCCGGAAGAAGUCAAGACUGCCCUUUUUCAAAUGUUUCCCACCAAGGCACCGGGACCAGAUGGCUUUCCCGCUCACUUCUUUCAGAGGCACUGGGAGACGUGCGGAGACGAAAUCACCAAAGUCGUUCUUAAAAUUGUUGAGGGCACAGAAUCUGCAGCAUGUAUCAAUGAGACAGUCUUGGUGCUAAUCCCUAAGGUAAAAAACCCAACCCUCUUGAGCCAGUUCCGACCCAUCAGCUUAUGUAAUGUUCUUUACAAAAUAGCGUCCAAAGUGAUCUCUAACAGGCUGAAGGUGAUACUACCUGACAUUAUAUCUGAGGAACAAUCUGCCUUUGUCCCUGGUAGACUUAUAACUGACAACAUCAUCACUGCCUACGAGUUCCUACACUUUAUGAAAAGAAAUAAAGCUAAAAAGCACCAGUCGUUUGCUCUGAAGCUAGACAUGAUGAAGGCUUAUGACAGGGUGGAGUGGCUAUACCUGAAAGCAAUCAUGGUGAAACUAGGGUUCACUGAGAGAUGGGUGGACAUAGUUAUGGGACUGGUUACCACUGUUAAGUUUUCUGUCAUGUUUAAUGGGAAAAGAUUGGAGGAAUUCGAACCUUCACGAGGAAUUAGACAAGGGGACUCAAUAUCUCCGUACUUGUUCUUAAUAGCAGCAGAGGCCCUGUCGUGCCUGUUAAAAUCAAAGAGUGAGUCAUCCAAUCUGGGUGGUGUGCAAUGGCUCCUACGGCGCCGCCAGUUAGCCAUCUAUUAUUCGCUGAUGACAGCCUACUGUUCUGUAAGGCAAAUUGUGCGGGAGCUAAUGAGGUGAACCUAGUACUGAAUACAUACUGCCAAGCAUCCGGUCAGCGAGUAGCAAGGGAGUGCCGGAAGCUACGAGGACAGAAAUAAAAGGUUUACUCAAUAUUCCCAAUGAAACUUUAAAUGAGAAGUAUCUAGGGAUGCCGUCAGAUAUUGGGAGUUCGAAGAACGGGGCCUUCAAAUACGUCAAGGAUCAUUUAUGGAGUAAGGUACAGGGCUGGGUGGAAAACACCAUGUCAUCCGCAGGCAAGGAGGUUUUGGUGAAAUCAGUUGCCCAGUCCAUACCUAUAUUCUCAAUGUCAUGCUUUAAACAUCCAAGGGGAUUAUGUGAACACCUUAAUAUGCUUAUUAGGAAGUUCUGGUGGGGGAGCAAAGAUGGCAAAAGGAAACCUCACUGGGUAUCUUGGAAAAGUAUGACACAGCCGAAGGGAAUGGGAGGACUAGGGUUCAAAGAUUUUGAACUCUUUAAUAUGGCGAUGCUGGCAAGACAGGCUUGGAGAUUAAUCCAAACACCAGAGUCCCACGCUUGUUGAAGAGCAUAUACUUCCCUGAUUCUACCGUCUUGGAGGCGACCUUGUGCAACCAUCCCAAUCAGAUAUGGCGAGCCAUCAUCGAAGGCAGAGAUACACUCAAACAAGGUCUCAUUCGUAGAAUUGCCAAUGGUCAAUCUACUCGUAUUUGGGAGGAUCCGUGGCUGCCAAGAGAUGAGAUGUUACGGCCAUAUGGGAGCAUUCACCCCAAUCCGCCAACCUUGGUUUCGGAACUGAUCGAUCACACUAGCGCUUCAUGGAACAGUCAGCUAAUCAACCAAGUGUUUAUGCCCAUGGAUGCUUGUACCAUUAUGGGGAUCCCGGUGUGCACUCGCAAUCUCCAUGACUUCUGGAGCUGGAUCUUUGAAACGAGUGGCAACUUCACGGUCAAAUCUGCUUACCGCAUGCUUGUAGCGACAAGACAGCGCCGGGAGGCAUGGCUUGAGGGCACUGCUGGAACAUCAAACAGCACGUCGAAGGAGGGGGCUUAGAAAACGUUGUGGAAGACCCAGGUUCCUGCAAUUCUAUGGCGUUUAUCAAAGCACUCUCUCCCAACGGAGGACGUCAGGGCUCAUCGGCAUAUGGCAGAUAACGCUACUUGCGGUUUAUGUGGCUCGGCUGAUUCGUGGAGACACUCUCUGGUUAACUGCACUAGCUCGAGAUGGUGUGUGGGCUUUAGUUGAUGAGGAGCUAGCACAAAACCUAGUCUCAACCACGGAACCCAACGCCAAGCAGUGGCUCUUCACCUUCAUGCACUCACUAUCACACGAUCAAUUUGUAUUGCUUGCGGUCACUCUCUGGGCGAUCUGGACAGCGCGGCGCAAGGCUAUUCAUGAAGGAAUAGUCCAAUCGCCUCAGGCAACUAACAACUUUCUCAGACGCUUCAUAGCUGAACUAAACAUGAUUAAAGUGGAAAGGCCUAUGAGGGGAGGAGCUCAAUCUAUGGGCCUGUCACGAGCUGCACGCCCCAAAGCUCCCCCGAUCGGCUACGCCAAGAUUCAUGUGGACGCGGGAGUAAGAGCAAGGAAAGGUGGAUCAGCAGCCGCUGUAUGCCGGGACAGGCAAGGCAAUUUCCUAGGCAGCUCCGCGUUGGUGAUCGCCGGUCUAGAGGACCCAGCCAUACUAGAGACUAUCACUUGUAGAGAGGCAUUGGCGCUGGCGGAAGACCUUAAUCUGCAUAAUUUUGUCGUUGCAUCUGAUUCCAAGCAAACAGUGGCUGACAUCUUAAGUGGAGGCAGAGGCAAGAGUGGUACUAUUAUCCAGGAGAUAAACACUAGAGCAACUCUAUUUCAUUGUAAUUUUUCUUUUGAAGGCCGUGCUGUUAAUGUCGAAGCACAUAGACUAGACAAAUAUUCGCUUAAUAUCGGUCCGGGGCGCCACCUCUGGUUAGGUCAGCCCCAUGACCCGAGUUGUAUCCCACCCAUUGUGGUCUUUGAUGAAUAAAAUUUGGCUUUCCCCUCAAAAAAAAAACUUAUACGUGACAUUUGUGGGUAAUUUGUACGACGUGCCAUAAGAAGAAAUAGCCCCUUUAUUAUUAUUAGCAAAAGUGUCCGUGCGUUGUAACGGGAGAAAUAAAAUCAAAAUCUCCAAUGACCAUGACCAUAUUUUGUUGCAUCACCAAGACACCCCUAUCACUCUCAAUUUCGUGUAAUCAUGAAUAAUUUUUGAAAUCACGAACAUGUUUUAAAAUUAUUACACAUAUUUGAAAUCGUGAACAUUUUUCAAAUUCAUGAACACUUAUACAAAUUUCCGAACAUUUCUAAAAUCAAGAACAUUUUUGGAAUUGAUGAACAUUUUAUACUAUUUGCAAACACUUUUUAAAGAUUCCGAACAUCUUUAUAAACAAUUUUCUUUAAUCGAGGAACAUUUUUAUGGAAAUUGAUGGAACAAUUUUCGAAAUUCACAAACAUUUUUUGAUUUAACUAACAGUUUUUGAAAUACAUGAUCAUUUUUUGAAUCAGUGGACAUUUUCUGAAUGACUAAACUAUGUUGUAAGUCACGAAAUAGUUUUUGAAUUUUAGGAUAUUUCUCCAUUCAUGAACACUUUUUGAAUUGGCUAUUUUUUUCAAUUUCAUUAACAAUUUUUGAUAGAAAAACUUUUUAAAAAAUCAUGAAUUUUAUUUGAUUUCCCAAAAAAUUGUUUUUAAAAUUUUGAACAUUUAUUGUGUAAGCAAUUGUUUUUUACAAAACAGCGACCAUAUUUUAAAUCCACUAACAUUUUAUGAUUUAUGAAAAUUUUAUGUCAAAAUACUCAUUUUUUUAAUUUUCGAAACUUUUUUGAAAUCCCAAACUAUUUAUUGUAGAAAAGAACGAAAACAGGAAAGAAAAAUGAAAAUAGAAAACAAAAUCAAAGAAACAGGCCAGCCUGAAAUGGGCCGGCCCAAACAUACGUGUAGCUUCUUCUCCCAGCGUGCAGAGAGCAUUAUAGGAGGUCCCAACUGCAGGGCCGGCCCAGAUGGGGGAAUUCCCCUGUGUGAAUUUUUUGUAUCACUUAUAUGUGGCAUUGAACUCAUGAAGCAUGCGCUAUCCCUUCCAGCUCGCCGCCAUGUAUGGCUCGGACAACCAGAUGGACUUUCUUUCGUCCAUGUAAACGUUAUGACGAUAUAAUAAAAAGCUUCGGAAUUUGUCUAAAAAGACUUAUAAGUGGCAUUGGUGGGUAAUAUUUUGCAACUUUAGAGGUAAUUCCAUGACGUACCACCAGAAGCACAAUAGCCCCUUUACUAUUAUUAGGUACUCUUUUUUCCUUGUGGAGCUUUGGAAAUGAGAGAAUUUGAAUAUAGUAACUCUCGGAAACUCUUAUUGGAUGAGAGAGAUUUAAUAUGAUAUUGGCAUGGGUUCUACCAACUAACGAAGAAGUAUUUGACUGGAUAAACAGACAAUUUCCUUUAAUGGACGAACAUUUUUAUGAAAAUUGGUGGAAUAACUUGGGAAAUUCAUAAAUAUUUUUUUAGUUAACGAACAUUUUUUUAACUUAACGAACAUUUUUUGAAAUACAUGACCAUUUUUUUGAAUCUGUGAACGUUGUAUGAAUGAAUAAACUAGUUUGUAAGUCAUGAGCAGUUUUUCAAUUUUUAGGAUAUUUUUCCCUUCAUGAACAUUUUUUCAAUUGGUGAAAUUUUGUUCAAUUUCGUUAACAAUUUUUAGUGCACAAACCUUUUUAAAAAAUCAUGAACAUGAUUAUUUACCAAAGAAGCAAAUUGUUUUUUACAAAAUCGUGGACAUUUUUUUAACCCAGAAACAUUUUAUGAUUUAUGAAACAUUUUUUUCAAUACACAAUAUUUUUAAUUUUCGAAUUUUUGUGAAAUCCUAAAUUAUUUAAAGUAGAAAAAUCAAAAACAGAAAAGAGAAAGGAAUAAUAGAAAACAAAGUUAAAGAAUAGGCCGACCGAACAUGGGCCGGCCCAAACGGGCGCACUGUAUCUUCUGCCAGCGCCUAGAGCGCAGUAUAGGAGGUCCCUACUGCAUGGGCCNNNNNNNNNNNNNNNNNNNNNNNNNNNNNNNNNNNNNNNNNNNNNNNNNNNNNNNNNNNNNNNNNNAAGAAAAUAAUGCCUAUGCAUAUGCUUUUAUAUUAUUAUUAUUGUUUCAAAUUUAUUCAUAUAUUAUUUUCAAUUGUACAACCAUAAUUUUUCUUAUCUCUCUCGUUCCACUACAUGCUCCUAGUCAAAGAUUUUUUUAAUAAUGGGUGUUUUUAUUAACUCAAAAUAUAGCAUCAAGCGGAUACAAAACAUAAUGAGCCACACCCGGUCUAUGCAUAACUAAGAUGCACACAGCCAAAAGCAGAAGUCUGACAAAAAUAAGAUAAGAAAAUCGACAUAUCGACAACAGUGAGUCAUAUAGUACCGACACUAUGCCUCUGUCGAAGGAGGUGGUGGAGCGAUCUGGAGAUUAUGCUGCCAUCCAUGUUGAGUAAAUAUCUCCCUGGCCACUUGCUCCAACCGCAUAGACGCCGCCAUGAACAACGGUUGGUACUCCAUUCGGUGUAGCAUACACCAUACUAGAGGCUGGGGCGCCACCUGAGGCGGGCCUAUGCACACUUAUUUUGUCUGGGCAGUUCGGUUGUCAUGUUUGGUCAUCAGUAUCACUUAUGUACAUCAAUAUGGGCGUAUGUUGUAUUGUUUGAGUUCAUUAGGAUCUAUCAGUAUCACAUCAAUCAAACUACAUAUACUAUGUUAUUUGAGUUCAGAACCAUCAUAGGCAAUGAUACGUCUAACAAGGAUAUAUAACAUUUAAUUCAAAAGGAAAGACAAAGUAGAAUUAAGUGCUUCAGAUUGGCCGAAGAAAGGAACCUCAUGAUGCCAUGACUAAGGAACCAAAUAUAAAAGAGCACCUUUCAGAGUACUCCAGAGGUAUGACAUCAUCCAUUUCCACAUCAGAAUCAUCGGAAUUCUCCUGAUCCUCAUUUCGAUGUACCCAACACAAAUGCUACAUGGAUUUUAGUCAGCUGCAAUCCCCACUACUUCUACACUUCCCCUUUUUCACACCGAGGAGCAGAGACUGAUGCAAGUUGAUCGAACACAGAACAACAUAUAAUUGCCUAGAGAUGCGCUGGGCCUGAACAACAACAACAACAACAACCGUUGAGCCAGGUCUCCUUCCAGCAGCCUCAGCAACAAUAUCCAUCAGGCCAGGGCUCCUUCCAGCCAUCUCAGCAAAACCCACAGGCCCAGGGCUCUUUCCAGCCUCAACAACUGCCCCAGUUUGAGGAAAUAAGGAACCUAGCGCUACAGACGCUACUUGCAAUGUGCGAUGUCUAUAUCCCUCCAUAUUGCACCAUUGCUCCAUUUGGCAUCUUUGGUACUAACUGAGAAGAGAAGAACUCUAGUAGUAGAUAUAUGAUACACCGUUUUCUUAGUCCAUGGUUUGGUCGUUGUAGCGGUGAAAAAAUAAAGUGACAUGCACUAUCAUGUAAGAACCCGAACUAUACUAGUUCAAACUUGGGAAUAAAAGACAAACACAGGUCUUGUCUACAUAUGAUUGUUUGUUUGAGUUCCACUCAUGUGCCCAUUCACAAGUUCACCCCUAAUUAUAUAUAUUAUGCAUUAAGUAGAUAUUUAUGUUGCAUUAAUCUAAAGAUAACAAAAUGAGUCUGAAAUUUGAAUUAAAUUGAAGUAUUUCCUUGGACUUUCAAAUGGAGUAUUAUUAAAGUAGUAAGGACUAUCCUCAUCCUUGGCUUGCCCUUGAUCAAUUAUUUCCAGAGAAGCAUUCAAUUCGUCAAUCAAUUACAUUGAUUUUUGCAGCCGGUACUUCUCCUCAACAUGAGUAUAUUCAUCGCGGCUACUCCAAAUCGGCAUGAAUGAGGUACCGGUGCUCUGGAGCACUAGUACCUAACAGCUUCUCAUGUGAAGGGGUGCGGGCACGGGAGAGGUGUUUUUGGUGGGCCAGGGGAGUAAGAAGCGGCCGUGGCAGCGGUGCAGACACCCACAAAGCCCCGUAGUUUGUUUUUCGUUUACAGGAAAAUGCACAUCCAGACCGGCCUGCGGGCCGAUAUAGGACCGUAUUGGAUGGCAAAACAUGUCCGGAUGGUUGCGAGCGGUUUGAGGGUUAGCUUUUGUAACGCCCGGUUAGUUAUGCUAUUGUAAUUCCCUGCUAAUGAUGUCACGUAACCACGAUUACUAUUGUUAACCUCACAAUGAUUCAAUCCCAUUCAAAUUCAAAUUUAAAAUAAAGGCAAACAUCAAAAUUUCCAAACAUUAAAACUUAAAUCUUCGAGAGGUGGAAAAUAAUGCAUAAGUAAUUAUGGUGGAGAAACCACACUUUUAUAAAAUGUUUAAAUACUGUAAAAGAAUAAACAGUGGCUUAAACUAUUAUUUAAAUCCUUUUAAAAUAGUAAAAAUGUUCUAACUAAAUUAAUUGGGUACCAAACUUUUGGUGGCAGUGGUAUAUUUAGUAGAACUAAUUUAGAUGCUAAUUAUAUAAUUUACAAAAUUAAAGUAAAUUGAAAAAUAGGAUAAAACAUAAAAGGAAAGACAAAAUAAAUAAAAGCAAAAGGGGGCAACCCCUCGCUGGGCCUCGGCCUAACUGGCCACUGGGCUAGCUAGGCCGGCCCAGCCGCCUCCCUUAACCCCCCACUCCCCAUCGAACCCUGGCCCGAUCGCCCCACUUCCCCCACACCCCGUCGUCAGCCUCCCCACCUGUCGAUCCCAUCUGGAUCGGGGAGGGGAUCGCCCCCAUCAACCCCGUCGCCGUCUCCGGAUCGCCCGCUCGCCCAUCGCCCGCCGGAGUCGCCGGGCCUCCUCCCUGCCGCCCGUCUCCGGCUCGCCUCCUCUCUCGCUCCUCUUCCCUGACCCAAUCUGGAUCGGGAAGGGGCAAUGCGCCCGACGCCCCCCUUCACCGACGCCGUGCGCCAACACCGCCGCCCGAAGACCUCGCCGUCACCGGACCUCGCGUCGCCUCCUCGUAUCCCUCCCCGCCUCGCCUCAAGCCAUGACGACCCCCUUCUCGGCAACGCUGUGAGCCGCCCCCGUUUCCCUCCUCCUCUUUCCACCGCGUUCACAGCGUCGCCCGCCGUGCCCCUCGCCGCGCGCUCGCCCACCACCGCGCCAGCCCCGGUCCGCGCCCUCUCCUGCAUGCUUGCGUGCGCAUGACCCUAGCCGCGCCUGCGCCGUGAUCCCCUUAUCCNNNNNNNNNNNNNNNNNNNNNNNNNNNNNNNNNNNNNNNNNNNNNNNNNNNNNNNNNNNNNNNNNNNNNNNNNNNNNNNNNNNNNNNNNNNNNNNNNNNNNNNNNNNNNNNNNNNNNNNNNNNNNNNNNNNNNNNNNNNNNNNNNNNNNNNNNNNNNNNNNNNNNNNNNNNNNNNNNNNNNNNNNNNNNNNNNNNNNNNNNNNNNNNNNNNNNNNNNNNNNNNNNNNNNNNNNNNNNNNNNNNNNNNNNNNNNNNNNNNNNNNNNNNNNNNNNNNNNNNNNNNNNNNNNNNNNNNNNNNNNNNNNNNNNNNNNNNNNNNNNNNNNNNNNNNNNNNNNNNNNNNNNNNNNNNNNNNNNNNNNNNNNNNNNNNNNNNNNNNNNNNNNNNNNNNNNNNNNNNNNNNNNNNNNNNNNNNNNNNNNNNNNNNNNNNNNNNNNNNNNNNNNNNNNNNNNACCAAGACCCACAUCCCCUAAUUAACCAUUUAAUAAAUUUAAACUCUUAAAUUAACAUUAGUGUAUGACAUGUGGGUCCCCUAUUAAUUAAACUAAUUUAAUUAAAAUCUAUUAACUUCAAGUCUAUGACAUAUGGGCCCCACUGAACAUUUGACCAGUCAACGGUCCAGUCAAAUGUUGACCGGAUAGUUGACCAGAGGGCCCCACCAGUCAGCCUCUGUGCUGUUCUCCUGGGUACCUUUCUGAGUACACCUAGCAUUUUGCAUUUACAAUAUUUGUUUUAAAAUAAAUUAGAAUAAUUUCAAAAAAAUGAUUGAAACUUUUAAAAUUAAAAAAAAUUAUCCGUAACUCGGAUGAAAUUACUUUAUACAUGGAAGUUGCUCAAAAAAUGAGACGAAUCCUAAUACACAGUCCGUUCUUCUGCCACACGUCCCUAGCAUAGCGAACAUGCAACCACCCCCCUCCGGUUCGACUGUCCGAAAAUGUCAAACACCGGGAAUACUUUUCCGGAUGUUUCCCCUUCACUAGUAGCACCUAGUACCGCGUGAGGCAUACCUAGCACCACUUAUUGUAAUGUCAUGCAUCGUCAUGCAUCUGUUUGCAUUGUAUUCAUUGUUUCUUGCUCCUCUUCUCUCCGGUAGACUACGAGACUGACGCCGGUGCUGCCCCGGUCGAUUACGGUGUCCAUGACCCCUCCUUGUCAGCAGAGCUUCCAGGCAAGCAAACCCCCUUGAUCAUCCCGAUAUCGCCUACUCUUUCCUCUACUGCUUGCAUUAGAGUAUUGUUACUGUUUGUCGGUUUGAUCCUAUACUGCUGCAUGGCCUGUCUUUGAUACUACUUAUGUGUUAUUUGUUAGUACGCUUGGAGAAAAUGCCUUUGAUUAGGGCAUCUUCAACAGCGACCAGUAAAUUUCCUCCCGCGUUCGUCCACGAAUAGGGGAUCAGUCCGCGGACACGGAUACAGGAAUUGGCCAUCCAACAAUGUCCGCAUAUAUUUAAAACACUUAAAAAAUAGGAUGAAAUUCAUGCAAACACAGUGGAUUUCAUACAAACCGGACAAAAAUGUUUACAUUUUGGACAUUUUUUUUUUACUAAAAACUCUACAGCCGGUGCCGGCGAAUAUCCACUCCGGCAACAUGGAUACCCUUGACUAGUCUACUGCCGGCCGCAGCAGAUCUCCAAUGUCGUCCCCAUGUUCGGCAGCUGUGAGCCCUAGAGGUAUAUGCUUCAGCGCAAAGAGCGGCUCGCCUCCUACCGCUCAUCGGAGUGGAACAACCAGUUGAUGCUUCUGCCGAUGGGGAAGGGUCCCUACGCUACACGAAUUAGAGUUGGUUUUGGGUUGGGGGAACGGCGGUGGCCUGUCAGAGGGCAAGACACCGACUGUGUACGCUGGUGUCACCUGGUGUGGCAUUCAUGGGACCCAAGCGGCAGCGCCUCCUCAAUGAUGGCAGCGAGCGCGGACGUGUUGGACACCACCUCGUCGAUGUCCGUGCAGCCCGCUUCUUUCUCUGUAGGAAGGACGCGGUUACGCUCGCGUUGACAUCGGAUGACUCGGUCACAUGCACGAGAGGGGCGGUACAACAUGGCACCGUCAAUGGCAGCCAUGAUGCCCGCGCCACCGUGGUCCCUCCCAGUGCCGACCUGGAGCAACUUGCCACUCCUCGGCUCGUGACCGGCGGGCUUUACGGGCCACCUAGCCAUUUUUUAUGCCAGCCAACUCUUCUUCCUGCUCGUCAGAUGUCAUGGAGAAAACUGUUCAAGGAGGAAAAUGAUGAGUGGACGUGUGAUGCGCUUCUUGCCCAACAUCUGACAUUGUUUAAAUAGCGAGGGGACACGAGAGGAGCCAACCGGCGUUCUGUUCAAUGCCAACUGGCUCGCGAACGAACAUGUGGCCGGAGUAAUUAUCCUGGCACACACGCGGGUUUAAUGGUGGAAGGCGGGCAGUCUGCAGGAAUGAGGUGAGGAUGCGUGUUUAGCCGGCGUGCAGCGGGCAGCGCCCUCGGCCGGCGUGCUGCUUCCAUUGCGGAGGUAGUGAGAGGUCGCGUCCGCUCUGCAGCGCAUGAAUGCGGGCAGCUGGCGCAGAGCGGGAACGCGUGCAUGGUUUGGGUGGGCACGGGUGGUGAGAAGAGGUCAUGGGUGUUGUCCGAACGCCUGGAAAGCCCCCCCUCCAUGUUUGUCUCCGGUUUACGGGAGAAAGUACGUCCGGACCGUUUGAUGGACCAAUACAGGCCCGCAUUGGAUGGCACAACACGUCCGGACCAUGUGGUCCGGAUGGUUGUGGACGGUUUAAUUGAGGGUCGACGUUGGAGAUGCCUUAGAGUUUAUGAAUCCAUUGUGUUUUUUAAUCAUAAAAAGCACUUAUAACAAGUUAUAAGGAAAGACACGUUUAUAUGUUAGGUUCGGACUCCAGCUUUCCUCUUACAUAUGCUUUAUUGUGAUCCGACUGAUUCCAAUAGAGUGAGCCUAGCGUUGUUUUUCUGGAAACUUGCGGGAUAAGGAGACAUGCAUACACAUUCAUUCAAGCAAAUCACAUCCAUUCUUUUUAACUCAUUUUUCUUCUUUUAAUAAUAUAAUAGAUCAUUUAUAUUUUUAUCUCAAACAGUUGACGUGUAAUUUAUACUGUAAUCUGAGGAUAAUGUUUGGAUUUACUUUCAAAUAUAUUUGAAAUGGCCAUGAUGGAAUCACAUCCAUUUAUUUUAUUAUUAUUUGAAUUUGAUCCAAAAGAUAAAUAAUGAGUAGAGGUCAUGUCAACUUUUCUGAGAACUUUGCUAAUCAAAAUAUAAUUUGUAUUUAAAAACAUCUUUUUAGCACGCAUGAAAAACAUAACGCCUAUCUUUUCACACAUGAUGAACGGUUGUCAUAAGAACUCAUGGCAUGCCACAAGCUCCCUCCGACCCUGCCAACAUUGUUACAGCUGCACUCGCAAGCUUUAUCGUAGAUGAUCAUUUAUACGAUUUGCGUAAAUCAAAAUAAGAUCUACAAACGAAUAGAAGCUAGAACGUACCUUGGCAUGCACACACAUUGCAAGCCAUACUAAGCUGAUAAGUGUUAAUAACUUCUACAACAUAUACAACACUUAAGACAAGUAAAAGCAAUUUGAUGAGUCAUGGUCUAUCAAAGGCACAUUACUAGUCUAAUCCAUCUUAACAGGUCACACAUGAUUAAAACCUUGUUUGUGUGCAAGUCAAGCUUAUCUAGUUUACAUGUAACAACUUGUAGAACAUUACAAAAUUUAUGUUUGCUAAUAACCUCUAGAACACUACAACACUUGACAUGUAAAAGGAAUUUGAUGAGUCAUGGCCUACUAAAGCAAGUUAUAUUACUAGUCUUAUCUACCUUAACAGGCCACACAAGAUUACAAACUAAGUUCUGUGCUAGCCAUGCUUAUCUAGUUUAUGCGUAACAAUUUGCAGAAAAUUACAAACUUAGUUUCAGAAAAAUAGGCAAUCUAGAUUAGUGUUUGAGCUGUAAAGUGAAUAAGAUGAGUCAUGUGUGUUAUCACACCUUUUUGGUUGUGGAAUAAUAGUGCAACAACAAGGAACUUUAAUGACCAGUCCAAGAAUACACUUGUAAGUAGUGCCACCGAACACAACAUGCCAAAUUUUGAUUUUGAGAAGCAUCCAAACACUUCCACACAAGCAAAUGCCAAUUGUGAAAGAGAUCAUGCCAUGGCAGCUAUAAAUAGGCCCGUAGCAUGACGAUCAUCCUUCCUCAUCCAUCAUUCUCAUAAGUAGAGCGCAUCAUUUAAGCCAAGCAAGCAGUGCUCAAUACAAAUCCACCAUGAAGACCUUUCUCAUCCUUGCCCUCCUUGCUAUUGUGGCGACCACCGCCACAACUGCAGUUAGAGUUCCAGUGCCACAAUUGCAGCUACAAAAUCCAUCUCAGCAACAGCCACAAGAGCAAGUUCCAUUGGUACAAGAACAACAAUUUCCAGGGCAGCAACAACCAUUUCCACCACAACAGCCAUAUCCGCAGCCGCAACCAUUUCCAUCACAACAACCAUAUCUGCAGCUGCAACCAUUUCCACAGCCGCAACUACCAUAUCCGCAGCCGCAACCAUUUCGACCACAACAACCAUAUCCACAGCCGCAACCACAGUAUUCGCAACCACAACAACCAAUUUCGCAGCAGCAGCAGCAGCAGCAGCAACAACAACAACAACAACAACAAAUCCUACAACAAAUUUUGCAACAACAACUGAUUCCAUGCAGGGAUGUUGUAUUGCAACAACACAACAUAGCGCAUGGAAGCUCACAAGUUUUGCAAGAAAGUACUUACCAGCUGGUGCAACAAUUGUGUUGUCAGCAGCUGUGGCAGAUCCCCGAGCAGUCGCGGUGCCAAGCCAUCCACAAUGUUGUUCAUGCUAUUAUUCUGCAUCAACAACACCACCACCACCAACAACAACAACAACAACAACAACAACAACCGUUGAGCCAAGUCUCCUUCCAACAGCCUCAGCAACAAUAUCCAUCAGGCCAGGGCUUCUUCCAACCAUCUCAGCAAAACCCACAGGCCCAGGGCUCUUUCCAGCCUCAACAACUGCCCCAGUUUGAGGCAAUAAGGAACCUAGCGCUACAGACGCUACCUGCAAUGUGCAAUGUGUAUAUCCCUCCAUAUUGCACCAUUGCUCCAUUUGGCAUCUUCGGUACUAACUGAGAAGAGAAGAACUCUAGUAGUAGAUAUAUGAUACACCGUUUUCUUAGUCCAUGGUUUGGUCGUUGUAGCGGUGAAAAAAUAAAGUGACAUGCACUAUCAUGUAAGAACCUGAACUAUACUAGUUCAAACUUGGGAAUAAAAGACAAACACAGGUCUUGUCUACAUAUGAUUGUUUGUUUGAGUUCCACUCAUGUGCCCAUUCACAAGUUCACCCCUAAUUAUAUAUAUUAUGCAUUAAGUAGAUAUUUAUGUUGCAUUAAUCUAAAGAUAACAAAAUGAGUCUGAAAUUUGAAUUAAAUUGAAGUAUUUCCUUGGACUUUCAAAUGGAGUAUUAUUAAAGUAGUAAGGACUAUCCACAUCCUUGGCUUGCCCUUGAUCAAUUAUUUGCUGAGAAGCAUUCAAUUCGUCAAUCAAUUACAUUGAUUUUUGUGGCUGGUACUUCUCCUCAACAUGAGUAUAUUCAUCGUGGCUACUCCAAAUCGGCAUGAAUGAGGUACCGGUGCUCUGGAGCACUAGUACCUAACAGCUUCUCAUGUGAAGGGGUGCGGGCACGGGAGAGGUGUUUUUGGUGGGUCAAGGGAGUAAGAAGCGGCCGUGGCAGCGGUCCAGACGCCCACAAAGCCUCGUAGUUUGUUUUUGGUUUACAGGAAAAUGCACAUCCAGACUGGCCUGCGGGCCGAUAUAGGACCGUAUUGGAUGGCAAAACAUGUCCAGAUGGUUGUGAGCGGUUUGAGGGUUAGCUUUUGUAACGCCCGGUUAGUUAUGCUAUGGUAGUUCCCUGCUAAUGAUGUCACGUCACCACGAUUACUGUUGUUAACCUCACAAUGAUUCAAUCCCAUUCAAAUCCAAAUUUAAAAUAAAGGCAAACAUCAAAAGUUUCAAACAUUAAAACUAAAAUCUUCGAGAGGUGAAAAAUAAUGCAUAAGUAAUUAUGGUGGAGAAACCACACUUUUAUAAAAUGUUUAAAUACUCUAAAAGGAAUAAAACAGUGGCUUAAACUAUUAUUUAAAUGCUUUUAAAAUAGUAAAAAUGUUCUAACUAAAUUAAUUGGGUACCAAACUUUUGGUGGCAGUGGUAUAUUUAGUAGAAAAAAUUUAGAUGCUAAUUAUAUAAUUUACAAAAUUAAAGUAAAUUAAAAAAUAGGAUAAAACAUAAAAGGAAAGACAAAACAAAUAAAAGCAAAAGGGGGCAACCCCUCACUGAGCCUCGGCCUAGCUGGCCACUAGGCUAGCUAGGCCGGCCCAGCCGCCUCCCUUAACCCCCCACUCCCCAUCGAACAAUAGCCCGAUCGCCCCACUUCCCCCACACCCCCUCGUCAGCCUCCCCACCUCUCGAUCCCAUCUGGAUCGGGGAGGGGAUCGCCCCCAUCGACCCCGUCGCCAUCGCCGGAUCACCCGCUCGCCCAUCGCCCGCCGGCGUCGCCGGGCCUCCUCCCCGCCGCCCGUCUCCGGCUCUCCUCCCCUCUCGCUCCUCUUCCCCGACCCGAUAUGGAUCGAGAAGGGGCAAUGAGCCCGACGCCCCCCUCCACCGACGUUGUGCGCCAGCACCGCCACCCGAAGACCUCGUCGUCGCCGGACCUCGCGUCGCCUCCUCGUAUCUCUCCCCGACUCGCCUCCUCAAGCCACGCCGACCCCCUUCUCGGCAACGCUGUGAGCCGCCCCCGUUUCCCUCCUUCUCUUUCCACCGUGUUUGAUAAGUCUCCAACGUAUCUAUAAUUUUUGAUUGUUCCAUGCUAUAUUAUAUUCUGUUUUGGAUGAUUAAUGGGAUUUAUUAUACACUUUUAUAUUAUUUUUGGGACUAACCUAUUAACCGGAGGCCCAGCCCAAAUUGCUGUUUUUUUGCCUAUUUCAGUGUUUCGCAGAAAAAGAAUAUCAAACGGAGUCCAAACGGAAUGAAACCUUCGGGAAUGUGAUUUUCGGAACAAACGUGAUCCAGAGGACUUGGAGUGGACGUCAAGCAACAGACGAGGAAGCCACGAGGUAGGGGCGCGCCUACCCUCCUGGGCGCGCCCUCCACCCUCAUGGGCCCCUCGUGGCUCCACUGACCUACUUCUUCCUCCUAUAUAUACCUACGUACCCCCAAACCAUCAGAAGCGACCACAAAAACCUAAUUCCACCGCCGCAACCUUCUGUACCCGUGAGAUCCCAUCUUAGGGCCUUUUCCGGCGUCCUGCCGGAGGGGGCAUUGAUCACGGAGGGCUUCUACAUCAACACCAUAGCCUCUCCGAUGAUGUGUGAGUAGUUUACCUCAGACCUUCGGGUCCAUAGUUAUUAGCUAGAUGGCUUCUUCUCUCUCUUUGGAUCUCAAUACAAAGUUCUCCUCGUUUCUCUUGGAGAUCUAUUUGAUGUAACUCUUCUUUUUGCGGUGUGUUUGUCGAGAUCCGAUGAAUUGUGGGUUUAUGAUCAAGAUUAUCUAUGAACAAUAUUUGAAUCUCCUCUGAAUUCUUUUAUGUAUGAUUGGUUAUCUUUGCAAGUCUCUUCGAAUUAUCAGUUUGGUUUGGCCUACUAGAUUGAUCUUUCUUGCAAUGGGAGAAGUGCUUAGCUUUGGGUUCAAUCCUGCGGUGUCCUUUCCCAGUGACAGCAGGGGCAGCAAGGCACGUAUUGUAUUGUUGCCAUCGAGGAUAAAAAGAUGGGGUUUAUAUCAUGUUGCAUGAGUUUAUCCCUCUACAUCAUGUCAUCUUGCUUAAAGCGUUACUCUGUUUUUAUGAACUUAAUACUCUAGAUGCAUGCUGGAUAGCGGUCGAUGUGUGGAGUAAUAGUAGUAGAUGCAGAAUCGUUUUGGUCUACUUGUCACGGACGUGAUGCCUAUAUACAUGAUCAUACCUAGAUAUUCUCAUAACUAUGCUCAAUUCUAUCAAUUGCUCGACAGUAAUUCGUUUACCCACCAUAAUACUUAUGCUCUUGAGAGAAGCCACUAGUGAAACCUAUGGCCCCCGGGUCUAUUUUCCAUCAUAUUAAUCUUCCGUCAACAAGCUAUUUCUAUCUUUAUUUACCUUGUAAUCUUUACUUUUACUCUUUAUCAUAAAAAUACCAAAAAUAUUAUCUUAUCAUCUCUAUCAGAUCUCACUCUCGUAAGUGACCGUGAAGGGAUUGACAACCCCUUUAUCGCGUUGGUUGCGAGGUUCUUAUUUGUUUGUGUAGGUGCGUGGGACUUGAGUGUGGCCUCCUACUGGAUUGAUACCUUGGUUCUCAAAAACUGAGGAAAAUACUUACGCUACUUUACUGCAUCACCCUUUCCUCUUCAAGGGAAAACCAACGCAGUGCUCAAGAGGUAGCAAGAAGGAUUUCUAGCACCGUUGCCGGGGAGUCUACGCACAAGUCAAGACAUACCAAGUACCCGUCACAAACUCUUAUCCCUCGCAUUACAUUAUUUGCCAUUUGCCUCUCGUUUUCCUCUCCCCCACUUCACCCUUGCCGUUUUAUUCGCCUCCUUUUCGUUUGCUUCUUGUUUGCUCGUGUGUUGGAUUGCUUGUUUGUCGCGAUGGCUCUACCUAGAUUUGGUGAUCUUCCAUUAAAAGGUUAGAAGAGAUUGAAAGCAACGUCAGAAGUUUCAUGACUUUACAAUUUGAGCAUAACAAUUUCUUUAGAAACGAGCUUAAGGAACAAAAAAGCUUUAUGGGUUACAUGAAUAAAGAGCUCGACGAUAUGUCUAAGGAAUUUUAUGGUCUAAAAUCUUAGAUUUCUCAUCUCGAAAAAUUAAUUGCUGAAAUUUCGGAUAAGCAGGCCACCUUAGUUAAUAAGAUGGCCGCUAAACCGGUAAUUUUUUAUGAGAAUAAAGAUGAAGAUCUAAAAGUUAUUGAUGUGUCCCCUAUUAAAUCUUAGUUUUGCAAUAUGAAUCUUGAUAAUGAUGGGACUGGAGAUGAGUCAACUUUAGUUAAAAGGCGUCCCAAAAAUUCGGAGUUUUUAGAUCUUGAUGCAAAAUUUGGUAAAAGUGGGAUUGAAGAGGUCAAAACUUUAGAUAUCAAUGAACCCACUAUCUUGGAUUUCAAGGAAUUUAAUUAUGAUAAUUGCUCUUUGAUAUAUUUUAUUUCCUUGUUGCAAUCCGUGUUAAAUUCUCCUCAUGCUUAUAGUCAAAAUAAAGCUUUUACUAAACAUAUCGUUGUUGCUUUGAUGCAAUCUUAUGAAGAAAAACUUGAGUUGGAAGUUUCUAUCCCUAGAAAACUUUAUGAUGAAUGGGAACCUACAAUUAAAAUUAAAAUUAAAGAUCAUGAAUGCUAUGCUUUGUGUGAUUUGGGUGCUAGUGUUUCCACGAUCCCAAAAACUUUGUGUGAUUUGCUAGGUUUCCGUGAAUUUGAUGAUUGUUCUCUAAAUUUGCAUCUUGCGGAUUCCACCAUCAAGAAACCUAUGGGAAGAAUUAAUGAUGUUAUUAUUGUUUCAAAUAGGAACUAUGUGCCCGUAGAUUUUAUUGUUCUUGAUAUAGAUUACAAUCCUUCAUGUCCUAUUAUUUUUGGUAGACCUUUCCUUAGAACGAUUGGUGCAAUUAUUGAUAUGAAAGAAGGAAAUAUUAGAUUCCAAUUUCCGUUAAGGAAAGGUAUGGAACACUUUCCUAGAAAGAAAAUAAAAUUACCUUAUGAAUCUAUUAUGAGAGCUACUUAUGGAUUGCCUACCAAAGAUGGCAAUACCUAGAUCUAUCCUCGCUUUUAUGCCUAGCUAGGGGCGUUAAAUGGUAGCGCUUGUUGGGAGGCAACCCAAAUUUUAUUUUAGUUUUUUUGCUUUUUUGCUUCUGUUUAGGAAUAAAUCUUUGAUCUAGACUCUGGUUAGACUUGUUUUUAUGUUUUAAUUAGUGUUUGUGCCAAGUUAAACCUAUAGGAUCUUCUUGGAUGAUAGUUAUUUGAUCUUGCUGAAAAUUCCAGAAACUUUCUGUUCACGAAAACAAUUGUUAAAAAUCACCAGAACGUGAUAAAAUACUGAUUCUAAUUGCAGUAGAUCAAUAAACAAAUUAUCUAGGUCUUCCUAUUUUGGUAGAUUUUUCUGAGUUACAUAAGUUUGUGUUAGUUACAGAUUACUACAGACUGUUCUGUUUUUGACAGAUUCUGUUCUUCGUGUGUUGUUUGCUUAUUUUGAUGAAUCUAUGGCUAGUAAAAUAGUUUAUAAACCAUAGAUAAGUUGGAAUACAUUAGGUUUAACACCAAUAUAAAUAAAGAAUGAGUUCAAUACAGUACCUUGAAGUGGUGUUUUGUUUUCUUUCGCUAACGGAGCUCACGAGAUUUUCUGUUAAGUUUUGUGUUGUGAAGUUUUCAAGUUUUGGGUAAAGAUUUGAUGGAUUAUGGAACAAGGAGUGGCAAGAGCCUAAGCUUGGGGACGCCCAAGGCACCCCAAGGUAAAUCUAAGGACACCAAAAAUCCAAAGCUUGGGGAUGCCCCGGAAGGUAUCCACUCUUUCGUCUUCGUCCAUCGGUAACUUUACUUGGAGCUAUAUUUUUAUUCACCACAUGAUAAGUGUUUUGCUUGGAGCGUCUUGUAUGAUUUGAGUAUUUGCUUUUUAGUUUACCACAUUCAUACUUGCUGUACACACCUUUUGAGAGAGACACACAUGAUUCAGAAUUUAUUAGAAUACUCUAUGUGCUUCACUUAUAUCUUUUGAGCUAUAUAGUUUUUGCUCUAGUGCUUCACUUAUAUCUUUUAGAGCACGGUGGUGGUUUUGUUUUAUAGAAACUAUUUUUCUCUCAUGCUUCACUUAUAUCAUUUUGAGAGUCCUACAUAACAGCAUGGUAAUUUGCUUAAAUUGAGAAAUUAGUCCUAAUAUGAUAGGCAUCCAAGAUUAGUAAAAACUUUCUUAUAAGUGCGUUGAAUACUAAGAAAAGUUUGAUGCUUGAUGAUUGUUUUGAGAUAUGGAGGUAGUGAUAUUAAAGUUGUGCUAGUUGAGUAGUUUUGAAUUUGAGAAAUACUUGCGUUGAAGUUUGCAAGUCCCGUAGCAUGCACGUAUGGUAAACGUUGUGUAACAAAUUUGAAACAUGAGGUGUUCUUUGAUUGUCCUCCUUAUGAGUGGCGGUCGGGGACGAGUGAUGGUCUUUUCCUACCAAUCUAUCCCCCUAGGAGCAUGCGCGUAGUGCUUGGUUUUUGAUGACUUGUAGAUUUUUGCAAUAAGUAUGUGAGUUCUUUAUGACUAAUGUUGAGUCCAUGGAUUAUACGCACUCUCACCCUUCCAUCAUUGCUAGCAUCUUCGGUACCGUGCAUUGCCCUUUCUCACCUUGAGAGUUGGUGCAAAUUUCGCCGGUGCAUCCAGACCCCGUGAUACGAUACGCUCUGUCACACAUAAACCUCCUUAUAUCUUCCUCAAAACAGCCACCAUACCUACCUGUUAUGGCAUUUCCAUAGCCAUUCCGAGAUAUAUUGUCAUGCAACUUUCCACCGUUCCGUUUAUCAUGACACGUUUCAACAUUGUCAUAUUGCCUUGCAUGAUCAUGUAGUUGACAUCGUAUUUGUGGCAAAGCCACCGUUCAUAAUUUUUCAUACAUGUCACUCUUGAUUCAUUGCCCAUCCCGGUACACCGCCGGAGGCAUUCAUAUAGAGUCAUACUUUGUUCUAGUAUCGAGUUGUAAUCAUUGAGUUAUAAAUAAAUAGAAGUGUGAUGAUCAUCAUUCAUAGAGCAUUGUCCCAAAAAAAGGAGAAAGGCCAAAUGAAAAAAAGGCCCAAAAAAAGGGGCAAUGUUACUAUCCUUUUUCCAUACUUGUGCUUCAAAGUAGCACCAUGGUCUUUAUGAUAGAGAGUCUCUUGUUUUGUCACUUUCAUAUACUAGUGGGAAUUUUUCAUUAUAGAACUUGGCUUGUAUAUUCCCACAAUGGGCUUCCUCAAAUGCCCUAGGUCUUCGUGAGCAAGCAAGUUGGAUGCACACCCACUUAGUUUCUUUUGUUGAGCUUUCAUGCAUUUAUAGCUCUAGUGCAUCCGUUGCAUGGCAAUCCCUACUCCUUGCAUUGACAUCAAUCGAUGGGCAUCUCCCUAGCUCGUUGAUUAGCCGCGUCAAUGUGAGACUUUCUUUUCUUUUUUUCUUCUCCACAUAACCCCCAUCAUCAUAUUAUAUUCCACCCAUAGUGUUAUAUCCAUGGCUCACGCUCAUAUAUUGCGUGAAAGUUGAAUUUUUUUUGAGAUUACUAAAGUAUGAAACAAUUGCUUGGCUUGUAAUCGGGGUUGUGCAUGAUGAGAGCAUUCUUGUGUGACGAAAAUGGGGCAUGACCAAACUAUAUGAUUUUGUAGGGAUGAACUUUCUUUGGCCAUGUUAUUUUGAGAAGACAUAAUUGCUUAGUUAGUAUGCUUGAAGUAUUAUUACUUUUAUGUCAAUAUUAAACUUUUAUCUUGAAUCUUUCGGAUCUGAAUAUUCAUACCACAAAUAAGAGAAUUACAUUGAAAAUUAUGCUAAGUAGCAUUCCACAUCAAAAAUUCUGUUUUUAUCAUUUACCUACUCGAGGACGAGCAGGAAUUAAGCUUGGGGAUGCUUGAUACGUCUCCAACGUAUCUAUAAUUUUUGAUUGUUCCAUGCUAUAUUAUAUUCUGUUUUGGAUGAUUAAUGGGCUUUAUUAUACACUUUUAUUAUUUUUGGGACUAACCUAUUAACCGGAGGCCCAGCCCAAAUUGUUGUAUUUUUUGCCUAUUUUAGUGUUUCGCAGAAAAAGAAAAUCAAACGGAGUCCAAACGGAAUGAAACCUUCGGGAACGUGAUUUUCGGAACAAAUGUGAUCCAGAGGACUUGGAGUGGACGUCAAGGAACAGACGAGGAAGCCAUGAGGUAGGGGGGCGCGCCUACCCCCUGGGCGCGCCCUCCACCCUCGUGGCUCCACCGACCUACUUCUUCCUCCUAUAUAUACCUACGUACCCCCAAACCAUCAGAAGCGACCAUGAAAACCUAAUUCCACCACCGCAACCUUCUAUACCCCUGAGAUCCCAUCUUGGGGCCUUUUCCGGCGUCCUGCCGGAGGGGGCAUUGAUCACGGAGGGCUUCUACAUCAACACCAUAGCCUCUCCGAUGAUGUGUGAGUAGUUUACCUCAGACCUUCGGGUCCAUAGUUAUUAGCUAGAUGGCUUCUUCUCUCUCUUUGGGUCUCAAUACAAAGUUCUCCUCGUUUCUCUUGGAGAUCUAUUUGAUGUAACUCUUCUUUUUGCGGUGUGUUUGUCGAGAUCCGAUGAAUUGUGGGUUUAUGAUCAAGAUUAUCUAUGAACAAUAUGUGAAUCUCCUAUGAAUUCUUUUAUGUAUGAUUGGUUAUCUUUGCAAGUCUCUUCGAAUUAUCAGUUUGGUUUGGCCUACUAGAUUGAUAUUUCUUGCAAUGGGAAAAGUGCUUAGCUUUGGGUUCAAUCUUGCGGUGUCCUUUCCCAGUGACAGCAGGGGCAGCACGGCACAUAUUGUAUUGUUGCCAUCGAGGGUAAAAAGAUGGGGUUUAUAUCAUAUUGCAUUAGUUUAUCCCUCUACAUCAUGUCAUCUUGCUUAAAGCGUUACUCUGUUCUUACGAACUUAAUGCUCUAGAUGCAUGCUGGAUAGCGGUCGAUGUGUGGAGUAAUAGUAGUAGAUGCAGAAUCGUUUCGGUCUACUUGUCACGGACGUGAUGCCUAUAUACAUGAUCAUACCUAGAUAUUCUCAUAACUAUACUCAAUUCUAUCAAUUGCUCGACAGUAAUUCGUUUACCCACCGUAAUACUUAUGCUCUUGAGAGAAGCCACUAUUGAAACCUAUGGCCCCCGGGUCUAUUUUCCAUCAUAUUAAUCUUCCGUCAACAAGCUAUUUCUAUCUUUAUUUACCUUGCAAUCUUUACUUUUACUCUUUAUCAUAAAAAUACCAAAAAAAAUUAUCUUAUCAUCUCUAUCAGAUCUCACUCUCGUAAGUGACCGUGAAGGGAUUGACAACCCCUUUAUCGCGUUGGUUGCGAGGUUCUUAUAUAUUUGUGUAGGUGCGUGGGACUUGAGUGUGGCCUCCUACUGGAUUGAUACCUUGGUUCUCAAAAACUGAGGGAAAUAAUUACACUACUUUACUGCAUCACCCUUUCCUCUUUAAGGGAAAACCAACGCAGUGCUCAAGAGGUAGCAGUGUUCACCGCGCCGCCCGCCGUGCCCCUCGCCGCGCGCACGCCCACCACCGCGCCAGCCCCCGCUCAGCGCCCUCUCCUGCACGCUUGUGCGCGCAUGACCCUAGCCACGCCCGCGCCGUGAUCCCCUUGUUCGGCCCGCCUUCGUCCCGCGCUCGCCGCGGCCCCCAUGCUCCCCCGUGCCAUCUUCUAGGGGCGUCGGCUGCCCCUGUCCCGCUGCUCGCUGCCACGCCUCGCCCGCCCGCGCCUCGCCACCGCUCUACUGCUACGCUAAUAUUGCGCUGUGGCCGCCGCCGCUUCCCGCUGCUCUGCCAGCGCCGAAGCUCCCGGUUGGCUCCGCCGCUGCUCACGUUUUACCGCCCCUAAACGGCCUACCCCCCCCCUCGCUAAUGAACCCCCACUGACCCGCUGACACCGGGACCCACAUCCCCUAAUUAACCAUUUAAUAAAUUAAAAAUCUUAAAUUAACAUUAGUGUAUGACAUGUGGGUCCCCUAUUAAUUAAACUGAUUUAAUUAAAAUCUAUUAACAUUGAGUCUGUGACAUAUGGGCCCCACUAAACAUUUGACCAGUCAACGGUCUAGUCAAAUGCUGACCGGACAGUUGACCAGAGGGCCCCACCAGUCAGCCUCUGUGCUGUUCUGCUGGGUACCUUUCUAAGUACACCUAGCAUUUUGCAUUUACAAUAUUUGUUUUAAAAUAAAUUAGAAUAAUUUCAAAAAAAGAUUAAAACUUUUAAAAUUAAAAUAAAAUAAUCCGUAACUCGGAUGAAAUUACUUUAUACAUGCAAGUUGCUCAAAAAACGAGACGAAUCCGAAUACACAGUCCGUUCGUCUGCCACACGUCCCUAGCAUAGCAAACAUGCAACCAUCCCCCUCCGGUUCGACUGUCCGAAAAUGUCAGACACGGGAAAUACUUUUCCGGAUUUUCCCCUUCACCAUUAGCACCUAGUACCGCGUGAGGGCAUACCUAGCACCACUUAUUGUAAUGUCAUGCAUCGUCAUGCAUCUGUUUGCAUUGUAUUCAUUGUUUCUUCCUCCUCUUCUCUCCGGUAGACUACGAGACCGACGUCGGUGCUGCCCCGGUCGACUACGGUGUCCAUGACCCCUCCUUGUAAGCAGAGCUUCCAGGCAAGCAAACCCCCUUGAUCAUCCCGAUAUCGCCUACUCUUUCCCUCUACUGCUUGCAUUAGAGUAUUGUUACUGUUUGUCGGUUUGAUCCUAUACUGCUGCAUGGCUUGUCUUUGAUACUACUUAUGUGUUAUUUGUGUAGAUUUGUCAAGGAAAAAUGAGUCUAUAGCCUAAUAAAUGAAGUGUUGCAUGUUACCACACAUAUGUUAAUCCCCACUAUAGAGUUAGUAACAUAGACUAGUAACAUGUGCAUGUUACUACCCAUUGUGGCCAGUCUAUGUUACCACUUUCCUCUCUUUCUUCAUUUAUUGCUUGCCACAUCAUCUAUUUUAUCUAGGUAUGUGUGAUAUUACUACCUAUGUUACUCCCACUGUGGGUAGUCUAAGCAGGCUAUAAGGAAUAGAAUAAUAUAUAUGUGCUUAUUAGUUGGAGGAAAGAGAAGAGAAGCGGGCUCUUGGUUAGUAGAGCCAGCUACAACAUGAGACCCAAGCACUUUGUGAGGAUGUAAGGUGGCCAACUAUUGAUAAACUAGUACGUAUAUAAAAAUUAUUAUUGCACAUGGCCGCUAAGAGGUUGGCUGUAUAUGACAUGACAACUUCUUAUAGCCGACCCUUGGCUGUAUUAUUAACCAUGCUCUUAGUGAGGUAGCUAGUAUAUCAUAGACGACUAGCUAGUAUCAGACUAGCCAAAGUGGGAGUAACUUCAGCAGUAACAUCGACUCCAACUCAGAAAACUUGCUUAUGUGGGAGUAAACCGUGCCCAAUGCAAAAUACAAUCCCAGUCAUAAUUUUUUCAGGAAACGUGUGGUAUCCCAAACGAAAAGUACAUGUCACUCUUGCGGCAACGAUACCCAAUAAAUCACAAACGGUCUGCAGCACUUGUAUGUGUGCGAAGAGGCUCCUGAACCGUUUGUGAUAGAACAUUAUCGUAGACGAUAAUUGUUGGCAAACGUGUGCGAUGGAGUCUAGCAUGGCAGACAGGUUACGCAGAAAACUCGUGUGCGAUGGGGCACAAAUCGCACACAGUUCAUAUGUUGGCCCGUGUGCCUUACAUACUAUUUCCCAAACGGUUUGUUACGACAGACCGUAUGGUUUCAGUGCGUCAUUAGAAACGCUUAAUCACCGAUACCACACGUGCGAAAGAAUUUAGUGUGUGCUUCAUCGCACACGAUUACAUUUUGGAAGGCCUCUGGAUCACUGCUCCAUAUCCCCGACGGUUUCUGGGUCGUGUGGGAAGUACACCCUAUCGCACACACUCACUUGGCGACGGUUCCAAAUGCCAUCGCGGAAAGGGGUUGAAAACAGUUUGUUUAGAACCGACGCGUACCAUUGUCUAUCUAUCUAUCUACCUAUCUAUCUAUCUAUCUAUCCAUCCAUCUAUCUAUCUAUCCAUCUAUCUAUCCACCUAUCCAUCUAUCCAUCUAUCUAUCUCUAUCCAUCUAUCUAUCUAUCCAUCUAUCCAUCUAUCUAUCCAUCUAUUUAUCUAUCUAUCUAUCUAUCUAUCUAUCUAUGUAUCCAUCGAUCCAUCUAUCCAUCCAUCGAUCCAUCUAUCCAUCCAUCUAUCUAUCCAUGCAUCCAUGUAUCCAUCUAUCGAUCUAUCCAUCUAUCCAUAUAUCGAUCUAUCCAUCUAUCUAUCCAUCUAUCCAUCUAUCCAUCUAUCGAUCUUUCCAUCUAUCGAUCUAUCCAUCUCUUCAUCUACCCAUCUAUCCAUCUAUCCAUCUACCGAUCUAUCUAUCCAUCUAUCUACCUACCUAUCUAUCUAGCUAUCUAGCUAUCUAUCUAUCUAUCCAUCCAUCUGUCCAUCCAUCCAUCUAUCUACCUACCUACCUACCUACCUACCUACCUAUCUAUCUAUAUAUCUAUCUAUCUAUCUAUCUAUCUAUCUAUCUAAAGGAAAUAUGCCCUAGAUGCAAUAAUAAAGUUGUUAUUUAUAUUACUUAAACUAGCAGAGUCACCCGCGCAUUUGCGCGGCUAGAUUGACUACAUAUAUUGUUAUAUUUGGGAUUAUUUUUCUAUGCCAACUUUAUGGCCUCUUACUCAGAUAUUAUCUAAUUUAAUUUACCACCACCAUAUGUUAUAUCCAUAGAUUAUAAUUAAAAGGCAACUUGCGACGAAACAUGGUCAGAUUAUUGAGUGCUCAGAAGACGGGCGCAAUAUCAUAUAUAGACUUCUAUACCAAUCUUCAUGGUUCCCAUCUUUGAUCCUCUCCUCGUCCCUUGGUAUCUAUCUUUGCACCCAAUAUGUCUUUGGAGUUCCAAGAAUUGGAUCUUAGCAUGAAUGGCUUCAAAGUGUACCAAAUGUUCUCUUGUUCCUCCCAAAUUAAUUACUGGUUGCAUUCUUAGUUGCUUUGACAUUCUUGGUUAAUGCAAUGUCUUGCCUACCAAUAUAUGCAUCCACACACGAUCAUAUUUAUAUGACCACUUACCUCUGUAUUCUGGUAUUUGUGCUUCAGAAUUUUUCUCUCAUUCAGUUUAUUCAUAGAUUAGAAACGUCGAUCGUUUCUUUAUUGGUUUGCAUUAUCUUGUUUGCCGAAUGUAAGCAUCCACACAUGCUCGUCAUGAUAUGAUUGGUCAUCAUUGUAUAUUUGUAUUUGUGUGUUGAUAGCUUAAGGAUUUUCUCGGAUUCACUUCAUAGUUUAAGGAUUUUCUCGCGUUCAAUUUAUUCUACCUUAUUCAUUUUCAUGUUUCUUUAUUGUAUUCAUAUCCAUUCUUACAAUAUAUUUUCCAAGAUAUGAACUCAACUACUAAUUACGUAGUUUUCAAUGAAAUUUUACAUGUAAAAGUGGUACAAAUGCAUAAACCCAAUUUUUUUUUAAACACGUUGACUUACAAAAAGGACAAUUCAAGCUGCAUGUACGUCCGACUCAUGUUUACCUGACAAUGUCGAUGUUGAUUUCAGCAGUAAAUGAGCUGUGUGUGACCUUUGCGCUUUCCGGUAUUCUUCUAACCUGUGUGCUUUAUGAUCAGUUUGUUGUGCUUAGUACUGGACACUGGAGUAUACUAUCAUAUUUGAUACAAACAAAUCCGAACUGCUAUAGUUAUGAUCCACUGUAUAGUUAAUGGUGGUGGUAAUUAAUAUAUGUGGUUAAAUACUUGCGCUCCUUAGGUGGGGAGUUGGAUUUGUAUUUGUCUAAAAUGAAUUUCAGAUUUCGUAUCAGUGGUGAAGCCAGCCGGAAGAACCUCUGCGUCAUUAUUAAUUUUGGUGAUAUUUUUCAUCAUAGUGUAGAAUAAUUUUAGUGCUUAUUCCGCAAAAAAAUGGCCUCAACUGACCCCAUAGCUUGUAUGUUGCGCCACCACUGUUUCGUAUAUCUUAUUACAUCCGUUGUUUUUAGAUCUUGAUGCAUAACUUUGACAAUUUUUAAUAGAUAUGUGUCUGUAUAAAAAAAUUAUAAAUGCUAUGAUAAUUUGAUUAAUUAUGAUGAAUAAAAUGGUAUUGCUUUGACUUGAUCCCUCUAACAAUUUAUAGGAAUGCUCUUAAAUAUUUCUGCUUCAUUUGAUCUCAUUAUAGCCUGCCUAAAUUACAUGGCUUAAUCGCCUUUUUUCUUUUAUCUUAGUUCAUUUCCGUAAAUUCAUUUGUACUAUAUAUGCUCCCGUAAAUUCAUUUUUUUAAUUGCUCACAUUUUUUUGAGGCAUUUUGAGUUUCUCACGUACGCUCAAACGCCCAAGAAAACACAUAUAGUGUUCGCUACGCCCAAGAAAACACAUUGAGGCAGUAAUUUCUUCAGGCAAGAUCGAUCGGCAGCUAAUUAAGUAGGCUGGAUGGCAUUGAGAAAUCCAAAAACGAUUUACAUACACAUGGUAGAUCGUCUCUCUCUCUCCUUCCACCCCUUCCUUUCAUGGCCAUCGUAGACUGCACCAUGUGGCAUUCAAACUUUUAUCAAGGGGAGAGUUUCCUCACACACACACACACACAUGCACAUACGCAAGCACACGCACACACGUGUAGUACAAACUUAGAAUUUUUGGAAAUAAUGGGAGGCCGAGCAACGGCCAUGUGAAAAUAUGAGGUAUAUAGCUUGUGGAUUUCCUUUCAGUGUACAAGGCCUGCAUGAGGAAUGGAUAAAAAAUUAUAUCUUUGAUUCCCUUAGUUAAAUCUUAUCCUUCAUCGUCAAUUAUGACUAAGCAUACAUAGUAACCGCUAGUUUCUCUUAUAUGCUUCCGAGAAGAUAAGACUGGAUAUUUUAGUUGCUAUUAAUUGUUUCCCUUCUUUCGCUAAAUAGUAGUCAAACAUGUUAUUAAUGUAUUUUGUAAGGAUAAGGUCGAGCAUCAUGGCCACUAUGUUCUAUAUAUACUGAAUUUGGUGUUCAGUAUGACAUAACAAACACAUAUUGUGAGAAGGAGUAGUGUACAUUGUUCUCUAGUGCACUUUGUUCAGCAAGUUGGGUGAAAAUGUUGAAUAGAACCAUCAAGUUUUCAUACUUUUUUUCAUGGCACAGGUUUGCCUUCUCAUGAUGAUGGCCGCACCGUUUGCACAAGCUGCUGGGAGGCCUGUGGCCUCCUUACCAUGGGUAGCGGGGUGUUGCCCGAGGAACUAUUUGUGUUGUGGUGUUGGUGCCGUUGCCCCGACAUCCCAUGCAUCACAGGCCACCUCUGUACCUUGAGUUAUGGUUUCGCCUGAUCUCCUCUCAUAACAUAGUUGAUAUAACAUAGUAGCAUCACAAAGGUUGCAUGGUUUCAUUGAUUCAUCUCUUUUCUACUCCUUGAAACUUGUGAUGCCACUUUUGAACAAUGUCAUUGCUAUGUCUUCUUAUAACUAAUAAAAUGGGAGGAUAUUUUCAUCUUAUUUGAAUUGUGUUGUAACAUUACCUACUAAUGUGGAUGAUCUGAGUGGGACUACAUAGAUCGGAUCUUCUAAAGAUGUAAUCUAGGACUUUGCGAGAUGAUGAAAUUGUCCUUUAUCUUGGUCGACACCUUUUCGUAGAAGUGUUGGUCGGCCGUCUGUGUCUUUUUGCGGUGCAUGCCGUAGAAUCCUCCAUGUUUUGUAGUUGUACAAUAACCUUUGAGGCAACCGGGGGUGGUACGUCUGAGGAAGUCGGUGGCCCAGGAAUAUUCAUAAUAAGAUCUUGACCAUGGAUGCCAAGUAAUUUGCCCCGUGCUGAUGUCGUCGGGCUGACCCGCUCACUUAUGUUUUGACUCAAGGAGUCGCUAUGUUCACCGAGUCGCGAGACAGCGGGAGGAAGGAGACGAAGGUCCCAAACGUCAGACCAAAAAGGUGGACUAGGGCUCGCCCUAGUUGUGCUCUCGGGUAUUUUCAGUUACUAGUAGGAGUAAGAAGCAUUGCAAAUUGCUCCCUCUGUUCAAUCCGUAUAUAUGUAGUCCAUAUUCAUAUAUUCAAAAUAUUUUAUAUUUGUGAACGAAGGAAGUAAUUAAUUGUAAUGCAACAAUUUCAGGGGAGGCCAGUCAACAGCUAACUAAAUGUGCUGGAUGAGACUGGAGAAAUGUAUAAACGAUUUACACAUGAUAGAACUACUCUUUUCUUGUUAAGAAAUGGAAGAAUGGAUGAUUUUAUCCGUUCGGAACAAAACCCAAUAUUCAUCCAGUUAGACGUUGUUCUGAAUUGUGACGCUUUUGAAAGUUUUCUCGCAGAAAUAUGUGUGUAUUCCAGUUGUAUCAUUAGCAAACCAAGGUUGUAUAUAUUAUAGCACAAAGAAUGUUUGGUUGAUUCGUUCAGGCGAAUCGGGUUUGUUGCUGACUGCCAAAGUCAGGCCAACUCCAGCGCACGACCCCAAACGGACAUCUGUUUUGCCUGGAUUCUGCCCGUUUGGAUAGGGCAAUGGGGUCGUGUCCGGGCCUGUCCUGUGAUGCGGUGGCCGUGCGCACAACGUGCGGACGCAUCCUUUGGCCUCAUCAUGUCCGCCACGGCCAAAAAUGCCCAUAUAUUCAUAUUUCAAUGUUCAAAACUAGUUUGCACGUUCAAAUAUUAAUUGUCUGAAAAUAAAAAUAGUUAUUACAACCCAAUCAAAAUUGUCUCUAAUAAAAUAGUUUUACAACCAAAUCGAAAUUGUCUUGAAUGAACAUAAUGAACCAAUACAUCUAUUGGUUGCCAAUGUGAUUCCACAUGUGCUCAACCAAGUCAUUUUGAAGAUCCAAAUGAGUGUGCCAAUCAUGCAUUUCACGAUGAAAUUGGGCAAACUUCUCAAACGUGGCCGGUUCUUGGUGCAGGGGCUGAACAUUUUCACCUUGAAAAUCAAAUCCUUGGUCGAAGAUGCUGUUAUCAUGCUCGUCCUCGAUGAUUAUGUUGUGCAUGAUCACACAAGCAGUCAUCACCUCCCGAAGCUUCCCUUCAUCCCAUGUCAAUGCAGGGUUUCAAACGAUACCCCAUCGGGAUUGAAGCAAACCAAAAGCACGUUCCACAUCCUUCCUAGCACUCUCUUGCAUUUGGGCAAAUCUCUUUCUCUUCUCACCUUGGGGGUUCGAGAUUGUCUUCACAAAAAGUUGACCACUGAGGAUAUAUACCAUCAGCUAGGUAGUAUCCCUUGUUAUACUGGUGGCCGUUGAUCUCAAAGUUGCCAGGUGGGGAGUGGCCUUCUGCAAGCCUUGCGAAGACUGGAGAACGCGGCAGCACGUUGAUAUCAUUGUGAGAACCUGCCAUGUCGAAGAAAGAAUGCCAUAUCCAAAGAUCUUGCGAAGCCACCGCUUCUAAUAUGAUAGUGCAAGCUUUAACAUGCCCCUUGUACUGGCCCUGCCAAGAAAAUGGACAGUUCUUCCACUCCCAGUGCAUACAAUCUAUGCUACCAAUCAUGCCUGGAAAGCCUCUAGCUGCGUUGGUCGCCAACAAGCUUUCUGUAUCAGUGGCAUUUGGCUGCUGAGGGAGUCCUGGAUUAAGGGGUCCUCGGGCGUCUGGGCUAUGUAACAUGGGCUGGACUAAUGGGCCGCGAAGAUACAAGAUGGAAGGCUUUCCCCCCAUGUCCGGAUGGGACUCUCCUUGGCGUGGAAGGCAAGCUUGGCAUGCGGAUAUUAAAGAUUCCCUUCCCUGUAAACCGAGUCUGUACAACCCUAGCCCCCUCCGAUGUCUAUAUAAACCGGAGGGUUUAGUCCGUAGAGGCAAGGAUAAUCAUACAGGCUAGAUAUCUAGGGUUUAGCCAUUACGAUCUCGAGGUAGAUCAACUCUUGUAAUCCCUAUACUCAUCAAAGUCAAUCAAGCAGGAAGUAGGGUAUUACCUCCAUUAAGAGGGCCCGAACCUGGGUAAACAUCGUGUCCCCUGCCUCCUGUUACCCUCUAUCCUUAGACGCACAGUUCGGGCCCCCCUAUCCGAGAUCCGCCGGUUUUGACACCGACAGCUGCCUCAAGUACUCAGGGCCAAACACUGCCACCACAGCCUUGUAGAAUUUGUAAAGUGACAACAGACAUGUCGACUCACUCAUGCGCACGUACUCAUCCACCAGAUCGCCUGGAAUUCCAUAUGCAAGCAUGCCGAUGGCCGCGGUGCACUUCUGGUAAGAGGAGAAUCCAAGCUUGCCAAGGGCAUCCGUCUUGCACUCGAAGUAUGGGUCAUGAGCAACCACUCCCUCUCGGAUACGAUUGAACAGAUGCCUUGCCAUACGAAAACGGCGACGGAAUUUAUUCGGCUUGAAGAGCGAGGUAUUCGCAAAGUAAUUGGCAUAGAGCAAGGCGUGGCCUCUCUCUCUAUUGCGUUUCAGGUUGGGAGCACGGCCAGGGACUGACCCCAUGUACCGAGGAAGCUGCCCAAUGUGAUCGUGAACGACCAGUGCAACCACCACCAGAUCUUCGUCAUCCGAGGACGAAUCAUCCGAUGAAUAAAUGAAGUGGUGGAAGAAAAAUUCAUCUCCACUGUCCAUACCUUUGUGGGCAAAGUGUCCAACACCUUGCGGUCGUGGUGGCAAAUAGGCCGCGAUGAUCAUCUCGAUGCAGCAGGGGUGGUUGGCGGCCGGCUACUGGCCGCUAUGGAGCACCUGGCGAAAGCUGCCGUGGUCCAUAUCCGUCGCCGGUGGUCGUAUCCCCUCUGGCACCGGCUACAACGACGACGGCCAAAUCUCCUCCAAGCGAUGGCCAGAACUCCUACGAAAGCGCGGGCUUGGUGGCGGCCGUGUCGAGACGUGGUUUGGUAUGGAUGGCCGGGGGGAAGCAGUGAGGAGGCGGUCGGAGAAUACUGGGGGCGCCGGUGGCGGGGUGGGGCGGAGGAGAGCGGGUGGAGGCGUUGGAGGCGAAUGGAGUGCUAGUGUCCCCAACAGGCGGGCCGCGGGGAGGACAAGGGCGUGUGUCCAGCCCGUCCGUGUGAUGUCCGUUUCAUCCCAAACUCGGCACAAGUUUGGGCCAGGAAUGGGUAAAAAACGGACGAAAUCCGGACAUUUGUCUAUUUGAGGCCGUGCCUUGGGUCGCGCUAUUCGUGUAUUCUACCCUAAACGGACGCACCAGAACGGAAUGGGGUCGCGUGCUGGAGUUGGCCUCACGACCGUUUCUGCCUUUGGCGCAGACAAGAGAUUCUACACUGUAAAGGAAAAAGCUGAAAGCUCGCUUGUCUCGUGUGUUUCUCUUCUCUUGCACCUUGUCGGAAAACAGCGUGCACCAGGGACGCUCGAUUCCAUGGCAGGCAUCAAUUCAAUCGAUCAUGCUACAGGGAACCGGCACUAUUUUCUUUUUCUUUUUCUUUUUCUUUUAGGUCGUGAACGCAAGUCAUUUGAGACAUUCACAUAGGACUUACAUAAUUGGUAGAUUUAUUAGCAUCAGUGUGGAGCUAAAGUGUUUGAUGUUUUGUAUGAAUGGUUUGGUCUUAACAAUCAAGCCGACCACUCAGGACCUACUUUUGGACUUUUUUUUUGUAUUAUUGUAUACUAGCAAAAGGGCCCGUGCGCGGAGAAAAAAAUUAUAAUCUUGAAUGACCAUGAUCACAUUUUUUUGCAUCACCGAGAUACACUAUCACUUUCAAUUUCGGGAAAUCAUGUACAUUUUUUAAACUUGUGAACAUUUUUCAAAUUCUUGAACACUUUUACAAAUCUGCAAACAUAUUCUAAAAUCAAGAACAUAUUUUGAAUUCAUGAACAUUUUAUAGUAUUUACAAACAUUUUUAGAAAUUACGAAUUCUUUUUAACAACUUUCUUGAAUAGGCAAACAAUUCUAAAAUGGACGAACAUUGUUUUAUAAAUCGGUGGAACAAUUUUUGAAAUUCACGAACAUUUUUUUGAUUUUACAAACAUUUUUUGAAAUGCAUGAUCAUUUUUGUAUAAACUAUUUUGUAUGUCACGAACAGAUUUUCAAAUAUUUGGUUAUUUCCCCAUUCAUGAACAUUUUUUGAAUGGUGAUAUUUUCUUCAAUUUCAUUAACAUUUUUUAUACACCAAUUUUUAAAAAGUCAUGGACGUAUUUUGAUUUCAUGAACAUUUGUUUUCAAAAUUUCGAACAUUUUUCGAGUCAGAUUCUUUAAUAAAAUUGCAAAUAUUUUUUGAAUACAUAAACAUUUUAUGAUUUAUUAAAACUUUAUUUGAAAAUUAUUUUUAAAUUUCAAAUAUUUUGUGUAUUCCGAAUUUAGUUAAAGCAGAAAAAACGGAAAAGGAUAAAAAAGGAAAUGUUAAAAACAGGCCGCCCGGACAUGGGCGGCCCAAACAGGCGGGCCGCGCCUUAUCCCUACGCGCAGAGCCCAGUAUGGGAGGUCGCUACUACAUGGCCCAGUCCAGACGUGGAUUCCCUGUGUGAAACAUUUAUAUCACUUAUACAUGACAUUUGUGGGUAAUUUGUACGACGUGCCAUAAGAAGAAAUAGCCCCUUUAUUAUUACUAGCAAAAGUGUCCGUGUGUUGUAAUGGGAGAAAUAAAAUCAAAAUCUCCAAUGACCAUGACCAUAUUUUGUUGCAUCACCCAGACACCCUAUCACUCUCAAUUUCAUGAAAUCAUGAAUAAUUUUUGAAAUCACGAACAUGUUUUAAAAUUAUUACUCAUAUUUGAAAUUGUGAACAUUUUUCAAAUUCAUGAACACUUAUACAAAUUUUCGAACAUUUUCUAAAAUCCAGAACAUUUUUGGAAUUGAUGAACAUUUUAUACUAUUUGCAAACACUUUUUAAAGAUUCUGAACAUCUUUAUAAACAAUUUUCUUUAAUCGAGGAACAUUUGUAUGGAAAUUGACGGAACAAUUGUCGAAAUUCACAAACAUUUUUUGAUUGAACUAACAUUUUUUGAAAUACAUGAUCAUUUUUUGAAUCAGUAGACAUUUUCUGAAUGACUAAACUAUGUUGUAAGUCACGAAAUAGUUUUUGAAUUUUAGGAUAUUUCUCCAUUCAUGAACACUUUUUGAAUUGGCUAUUUUUUUCAAUUUCAUUAACAAUUUUUGAUACAAAAACUUUUUAAAAAUCAUGAAUUUUAUUUGAUUUCCCAAAAAAUUGUGUUUAAAGUUUUGAACAUUUAUUGUGUAAGCAAUUGUUUUUUACAAAACAGCGACCAUAUUUUGAAUCCACAAACAUUUUAUGAUUUAUGAAAAUUUUAUGUCAAAAUACUCAUUUUUUAAAUUUUCUAAACUUUUUUGAAAUCCUAAACUAUUUAUAGUAAAAAGAACGAAAACAGGAAAGAAAAAUGAAAAUAGAAAACGAAAUCAAAGAAACAGGCCAGCCUGAAAUGGGCCGGCCCAAACAUGCGUGUAGCGUCUUCUCCCAGCGUGCCGAGAACAUUAUAGGAGGUCCCUACUGUAGAGCCGGCCCAGAUGGGGGAAUUCCCUUGUGUGAAUUUUUUGUAUCACUUAUAUGUGGCAUUGAACUCAUGAAGCAUGCGCUAUCCCUUCCAGCUCGCCGCCAUGUCUGGCUCGGACAACCAGAUGGACUUUCUUUCGUCCCUGUAAACGUUUUGAUGAUAUAAUAAAAAGCUUCGGAAUUUGUCUAAAAAAACUUAUAAGUGGCAUUGGUGGGUAAUAUUUUGCAACUUUAGAGGUAAUUCCAUGACGUACCACCAGAAGCACAAUAGCCCCUUUACUAUUAUUAGGUACUCUUUUUUCCUUGUGGAGCUUUGGAAAUGAGAGAAUUUGAAUAUAGUAACUCUCGGAAACUCUUAUUGGACGAGAGAGAUUUAAUAUGAUAUUGGCAUGGGUUCUACCAACUAAACGAAGAAGUAUUUGACUGAAUAAACAGACAAUUUCCUUUAAUCGACGAACAUUUUUAUGAAAAUUGGUGGAAUAACUUUUGAAAUUCAUAAAUAUUUUUUGAGUUAACGAACAUUUUUUGAAAUACAUGACCAUUUUUUUGAAUCUGUGAACGUUGUAUGAAUGAAUAAACUAGUUUGUAAGUCAUGAGCAGUUUUUCAAUUUUUAGGAUAUUUUUCCCUUCAUGAACAUUUUUUCAAUUGGUGAAAUUUUGUUCAAUUUCAUUAACAAUUUUUAGUGCAUAAAACUUUUUAAAAUCAUGAACAUUAUUAUUUACCAAAGAAGCAAAUUGUUUUUUGCAAAAUCAUGGACAUUUUUUGAACCCACAAACAUUUUAUUAUUUAUGAAACAUUUUUUUAAUACACAAUUUUUUUAAUUUUCGAAUUUUUGUGAAAUACUAAAUUAUUUAAAGUAGAAAAAUCAAAAACAGAAAAGAGAAAGGAAUAAUAGAAAAGGAAGUUAAAUAAUAGGCCGACCGAACAUGGGCUGGCCCAAACGGGCGCACUGCAUCUUCUNNNNNNNNNNNNNNNNNNNNNNNNNNNNNNNNNNNNNNNNNNNNNNNNNNNNNNNNNNNNNNNNNNNNNNNNNNNNNNNNNNNNNNNNNNNNNNNNNNNNNNNNNNNNNNNNNNNNNNNNNNNNNNNNNNNNNNNNNNNNNNNNNNNNNNNNNNNNNNNNNNNNNNNNNNNNNNNNNNNNNNNNNNNNNNNNNNNNNNNNNNNNNNNNNNNNNNNNNNNNNNNNNNNNNNNNNNNNNNNNNNNNNNNNNNNNNNNNNNNNNNGUAUUAUUAUUGUUUCAAAUUUAUUCAUAUAUUAUUUUCAAUUGUACAACCAUAAUUUUUCUUAUCUCUCUCGUUCCACUACAUGCUCCUAGUCAAAGAUUUUUUUUAAUAAUGGGUGUUUUUAUUAACUCAAAAUAUAGCAUCAAGCGGAUACAAAACAUAAUGAGCCACACCCGGUCUAUGCAUAACUAAGAUGCACACAGCCAAAAGCAGAAGUCUGACAAAAAUAAGAUAAGAAAAUCGACAUAUCGACAACAGUGAGUCAUGUAGUACCGACACUAUGCCUCUGUCGAAGGAGGUGGUGGAGCGAUCUGGAGAUUAUGCUGCCAUCCAUGUUGAGUAAAUAUCUCCCUGGCCACUUGCUCCAACCGCAUAGACGCCGCCAUGAACAACGGUUGGUACUCCAUUCGGUGUAGCAUACACCAUACUAGAGGCUGGGGCGCCACCUGAGGCGGGCCUAUGCGCACUUAUUUUGUCUGGGCACUUCGGUUGUCAUGUUUGGUCAUCAGUAUCACUUAUGUACAUCAAUAUGGGCGUAUGCUGUAUUGUUUGAGUUCAUUAGGAUCUAUUAGUAUCACAUCAAUCAAAGUACAUAUACUAUGUUAUUUGAGUUCAGAACCAUCAUAGGCAAUGAUACGUCUAAUAAGGAUAUAUAACAUUUAAUUCAAAAGGAAAGACAAAGUAGAAUUAAGUGCUUUAGUUUGGCCGAAGAAAGGAACCUCAUGAUGCCAUGACUAAGGAACCAAAUAUAAAAGAGCACCUUUCAGAGUACUCCAGAGGUAUGACAUCAUCCAUUUCCACAUCAGAAUCAUCGGAAUUCUCCUGAUCUUCAUUUCGAUGUACCCAACACAAAUGCUACAUGGAUUUUAGUCAGCUGCACUCCCCACUACUUCUACACUUCCCCUUUUUCACACCGACGAGCAGAGACUGAUGCAAGUUGAUCGAACACAGAACAACAUAUAAUUUCCUAGAGAUGCGCUGGGCCUGAAAGGCAACAUACCUAGCAUGCGCAUAAAAUGUGAGAGUAACAAUAAAAGAACAUACCAUUUACCGAUAUGAUUAUUAUUGCUUGCCAAAAUGAUACGUUUUGAUUACUAUUGCAUGCCAAUAUUCUUAAUCACUCCAAGCAAAUUUAACCUAAACUAAAUAUCUAAGAGUAAGCUCUGGUUUAUGUAUUUUACAGAAGUUUGGUUCAGCGAAACUUCGGAAGCAAAUGUGUGAAGGUUUUAUCAUUCUAAUUAAAGGCCUUUUGAUUGUGCAAAACUUACACUACCACAUGAGUUACUGACCAACAUGAGAUGCAAAGUAACAACAGCAUGAUAAUUUUUUUUGAAGGCAGUCAUAUUCUAAAGCAUUAAAAGAUGAAUUCCAAUGCUUUGAUUCUGUAAAGAAUUAGAUCGAUCACUCAACAGUUCUAUUGGCGCCACUAAAAUUCUGAGUGCAAUGUUGUGUAUGUAGCUAAAAUUCACCCAUCAAAGACAACCUUAAUAAUAAGCAAUGGUCAAAACAAGCAAUUGUUGAAGUUAAAUGUAAUUAGAUAGGAAGUCACAUUUGAUUCAUGACCAUCGAGCUGAAAAUGAGACCGAUAAAAGCUGAUUCACCAUGAAGAGAAACAACUAAUGUGAACCUCGGGUUGUAAAACAAAUAGGAUGAGUCGUGUGCUGAUUGCAAAAAAUUGUACUUCUAACCAAAUGACCAUGCUUCAUGAAUAGAUGACAAUAUAGUAACACGAAAGUGAAGUACGGUGAAAUUUUGUAAGCUACUAAGGGCAUAGGGCAAAGCUCACACUCCAGCUUGCACUCCUUGAAGAAAUCAACCAAAAGCACCCAGAAAGAUAAAUGGCAUUGUGGCAUCCGAUGAAUGUUGAUAACUGUACCAUCACACUAAUUUAAUCUACAAAAUUCAUGUCAACAUCACUAAUCAUGAUGUAUCAGGUUAGGAUAAAAUCAUUGUUUUUUCCCAAAAUAAAAUAAAACAAGCCCAGUUAGAAAGAAAUCAUAAGCCUAUCAGACAAUCAGGCAAUUCUGUUAGCAUGUCAACAAUCAGACAGAACAAAACCUAUAGUCCUCAUUUUUUUCUUUCUAAAAAAAGUGUAAUGCUAGAAAAGAGAGUUAAAUAAAAUGCUACGUGAAUCAGCAUACAGAAAAUUCAUAGAAGCAAUGAAGAAAAUAUGAACAAAAUUUAUGUCGAAACACCUAUACUUUCCCCACGAGCAAAUAUGUGUAAUGUUAGAAAAGGGAGUUAAAUAAAAUGUUAGGCAAAUCCGCAUCCAGAAAAUUCAUAGAAGCAAUGAAGCAAAGAUGAGCGACAAAUUUAAUCUACACACACACACACACACACACAUUCAGGCAAACAAAUUACUUCGAUUGAAUCCAUUCCUUUGCAUAUAUGGCAUAAAUGCAUCUAAGGAAAAAAAAACUUGAUGGUGUUAGUUUACCUUGCCAAGAUCAUGAAAUCCAUCUAAAUGAAUAAGAAGCUCCAACAGUGUCCGCUGGAUCUCAUGGUCGUCAUUGGUUCCCUCACUAAAUCUUCUCGCAUCAAUUGCAUCGAUUUCAUCCAUGAAGAUAAUGCAUGGCUAGAAAUAACAACUUGAUGAAAAUGAAACAAAAUUUGCAAGCACCGUAAAUAAACUAAAUGGUGAUAUAAGCUAAAAUGAUCUCAGAAGUGCACUUUUACAUAUAUAGAGAUCAGUUUGAUUUCUUCUUCUCAGGAAAAACUGAUACUGAAAUCUAAAGCUUAAAGUUUUUCUAGUGUUGAACCAGAAUACAAUUAGAUGACAUGACAUCUGAGUCAAGGGAACUAUCAAAGUCACAGCUUGAAUCUCAACACCAGUAGAUGCAUAACCAUCUGCCAACAUACGUUUCUAACAGAUAAUAAGGGAAUUAGGUUUAAGACCAAUUGGCUUUGCAAAAAAGAAAGGCGGAGCAAAACUUACUUGGCGAUCGCGUGCAUAGCCGACCAUUUCUCUGAUUAAAAGCGCACUUUCCCCGAUAUAUUUGUCAAUUAUAGCACUUGACACAAUCUGGUUUUUAGACAACACGUCAGUGUAAUGUAAUACUCACAGAAUGAAAAUACCAACCACCAUCAAUCAAGUGAAAACCACAGCUCCAAAAAGUUAGCAUGAAUGUUACUGGAUAUAGCCCUUGAUAGUAAUGGCUUCCCUGUAGAGUAGAACGCACUUGAAAAAGUUAAAGAAACAUACACUGGCUCCCAUAUAUUGAUCUUGUAUUUGACAAGUGGCCGGGCAUCAACAUUGUGCCUGCUGGUGUACCAAUUCAGCUUGUAGCUGCCAGCUAAUCUCCUUCUGAACAGUUAUGCUGUCCUCACUCACGUGCUACGCCUAUUCAAACUUGCUUAAUUUAAUUUGUUACUACUAUGUUAAUGCUGACAUAUUAACUGGCAGACCUCAUGUACUAACAGUAAAUCCCAGCAUACUUUCUUAAUUUGCUACUAUCCGGAUUUAUUCUUUUAGCGAGAGGUCAGGUAUCACUUGGAACAACUGAGUUUCUUUUUAAUCUUUGUGGACACUACACUUGAACGCCACAACCACCUGGAUAUGUCAGGCAGGACGGGCAGCAGCGCAUCAUCAGUAAGUUUAUUUAAGAGAGUAAAAUUCAGUCGCAAUCAGUCAAUCUCAAUCAGGUUCAGAUUUGGACGCGACCUUGAAUAACGAAGCCCCAACUGGGAAGAACAAGGUUGCAAGAACAAGCAGAUUGACGAUGGGUUCAUGGAAGCUUACCAGGCAGGCAGUCCGCCCGGCGGCUUGAGCAAGCUGCUGCUGGUACCCUACGCGCAGUCGCAGUCCGCACCGGCCAGGGCACACGAGCACUGACGCGCGUGCCGCCUGCCGCUUCACCAUGCCCACGUUGUAGUCGCCACCGAUUCACGGCAGGGCAGAGGGGCCUCGACCUCGUCCUCCUCCACAUCAUCAUCGGCGAUGCCCUUCCCCUCCUGACCCCAACACCAUCAUGCCCCCGCCGACUCAUCUCCCUACAGCGACGGCGACUCCGGAGGCUCCGAGACCUGGGACACCGACAUGAGUGGCUCGUCGGCAUCGGAUCUCCUCCACCCNNNNNNNNNNNNNNNNNNNNNNNNNNNNNNNNNNNNNNNNNNNNNNNNNNNNNNNNNNNNNNNNNNNNNNNNNNNNNNNNNNNNNNNNNNNNNNNNNNNNNNNNNNNNNNNNNNNNNNNNNNNNNNNNNNNNNNNNNNNNNNNNNNNNNNNNNNNNNNNNNNNNNNNNNNNNNNNNNNNNNNNNNNNNNNNNNNNNNNNNNNNNNNNNNNNNNNNNNNNNNNNNNNNNNNNNNNNNNNNNNNNNNNNNNNNNNNNNNNNNNNNNNNNNNNNNNNNNNNNNNNNNNNNNNNNNNNNNNNNNNNNNNNNNNNNNNNNNNNNNNNNNNNNNNNNNNNNNNNNNNNNNNNNNNNNNNNNNNNNNNNNNNNNNNNNNNNNNNNNNNNNNNNNNNNNNNNNNNNNNNNNNNNNNNNNNNNNNNNNNNNNNNNNNNNNNNNNNNNNNNNNNNNNNNNNNNNNNNNNNNNNNNNNNNNNNNNNNNNNNNNNNNNNNNNNNNNNNNNNNNNNNNNNNNNNNNNNNNNNNNNNNNNNNNNNNNNNNNNNNGGAGGCUCGAGCUUGGGAAGGGGGGAGGGGAACGAAGGGGUGGGGCUCCAGGCAAUCCUCACCUCCAAAGACAACUUGACCGGCAACACGGGCAGGCUAGACCUCUUCUAUGGCGAGGCCAACUUCGGCGAGGGGACGAGGUGGUGCGGGACCUUGGAGAUAUCUCCCCCGCGCGUGGAGCUUGUCCGGCGACGCCGCUGAAGAUGCCACUGCCACGACCAGCUCGAUCCUCCUUCGCUGGACUCCGAUCUGGACGAGGACUGAGCUAGGAGGAGGGAAGCGGGAGAGGAGAAGGCGCAGGAGAAGCGGCUGAGCCGGCGGCGCAGGGACCAGGGAGAGAAGAAGGCGAACGAAGAGGGGAUUGACAGAGUGGCGAAGAAGCAUGCGGGCUAGGUUUCCUUUUCUUUUUCUCCCAGCACUGCACAGUUGCUUGUCUCGUAGCUUGCCGGCAUGGCUAUGGCGAGGGCUCGCCCUUGAUGCGUAGGUUAAUGUAUUCGACUAGCGGGGCGCCUCUUGAGAGGAAGCUGAGCGGUGCUAGGUGGGACGCGCCCCUUUCCCUUUCCUGCAUAUACUAUGUAAUGUUAUUGCAUCAGAUUUAAAGUAACAUGCUCAGCUAAGUGCAAAGUGUGAUGAAUAAGUGAAACAGAAGGAAGCUGGUACAUUGGUGUAUGCCAAAAACUGAAUAUUAUAACAUAAACACAUGAAGUCAUCGACGUCUAUGGUAUGAAAUGCACAUGCACAAAAUUAGAGUGCACAUGAAGACAGAGCACUAUAGUGUCCUGAGUUGCAAGUCUCUAAGCACUGAAAUGAUCUGCAAUCAUAUGUACAAAGUAACCGAAUAAGAACAAGAAAUUUAGAGUAAAUGAGCUGUAAAAUUGUAAGUAAUGAGCAUUGGAAUUAAGGCAGAGUCAGUGACAGUUGGGUGCACUUGACAGGAAAAUCGGCGAGGCAUAAUAUGAAAUUAGAGUAAAUGAGUGCGUGCACUUCUCUUGGUGGCACCUAAAUGAAAAAAGAAACUAUUCACCUCUCGAUAUAUUCCCUAAGACCAUAUAAAAUCAGGAAGGUACUGAAGAGAGAUGCUCAAAUUCGAAGUUGCCAUGUCUAGGAAUGCUUGAAGCUUCAAAGAUUUCCUAUAAUACAGCAUGCCUCUAACUAUUCACAAUAAGAAAAACAUGUAAAUGCGGAAUCAACCAAAUGAUGGUAAAUUGUAGUUGAUUUUGGCCAAGCAAACGUCAGAUGAAAGAAACAUACAUGAGUGAACAUCACGAUUGGAUGUUUUAUUCAAAUUUAACAGGUUAAACUCACCAAAUACAUCUGGAUAUUUAGUGUUAAACUUCAACAGAUGGUCAGUUGUAGCUAGAUUCACACCACUGAAGCAAAAUUCCAUCUGCCACGGUUACAUCACACCAUCUUUUCAUCGUUACUAUUUAAAUUCCAAAAGCCUGCAACUCAUUUUUUUUGUUACGAUGUAUGCAUGAUUUUUAACUCAAGAGGAAGAGGGGAAACUAAAUCCAAGAAAAGAACACCAAGGAAGCAUCCAAAAUAGAGAAAGGAAAAAUCCAAAAUAGAGGCAGAAUCGAAGGGAAGAAACCCCAUAAAAAAUAGGAGAUCAAACGGUGAAAAAAAUCUAAGAGUCAAACAAUUCCAGGUAAGACCAAAUCGACGGCAAAAUAGCACAAGAGGGACUCACAUUAACAGGUAUACCAAUUCAGAAAGAAGUGUAAAGCAAACAGUGCAAUGGACCACUAGUAUAAAUUGGAUGUACACAAACAUGGGACUUAAACAGGAACUGCGAGAUGCAGGGUUCACGUGCAAACCCAAAAAACGGAAAACUGAAACCCACAACAAGAUUUUAUCUUCAUAUAUAUAUAUAUAUAUAUAUAUAUAUAUAUAUAUAUAUAUAUAUAUAUAUAUAUAUAUAUAUAUAUAUAUAUAUAUAUAUAUNNNNNNNNNNNNNNNNNNNNNNNNNNNNNNNNNNNNNNNNNNNNNNNNNNNNNNNNNNNNNNNNNNNNNNNNNNNNNNNNNNNNNNNNNNNNNNNNNNNNNNNNNNNNNNNNNNNNNNNNNNNNNNNNNNNNNNNNNNNNNNNNNNNNNNNNNNNNNNNNNNNNNNNNNNNNNNNNNNNNNNNNNNNNNNNNNNNNNCCUAUCUAUUAGUUGCUUCUUCCGAAUCCCCACCUAUCAAGCGUUUUCUUUGAAUAAACAAACACAAUAGUAUUCUCUGAAUUAUACUGUACAGUGAUAAUUAACCAAGCGACUGGAAUUAACAAUAUUAUGAGCUAUUGGCUUUUUAGUCAGGUAAAUAUCAUUCUUAAGACUACGGAAAACAGCAGGCGGCGAAGAAAACAUCUAUUGAUGAGAACUAUACACAUACUUAAGAAGGAAGUGACAUCUAUGGUAGCAGAACAUAUAUCAAGCUGUUGCAGCUACAUUAGCAGUUUAGCACAGUCCCUCCAUAAUACACAGGCUAGUGUAAUUUCACAAAUACAAUAAGCUAACAAUAUAUAUUUGGUAGAUGGAAAUGGCUGGAUCAUGACCAAUAUACGAUUACACAUCCGAUGAUGCAAAUAAAGAAACGAGGCCCAACAAUAGUGGAAAAUAAACCACAAUAGAACAUGUAUUUGGCGAAACCUCCAUACUGCAAUAUCAAACAUGAAUUGAAAUUAACAAUCUAGCAAAAAAACAUGACAGAUGCAGUCUUGGUCAUUUUUUCUUUUGUGACAUCCCCUAAAAAAAGUAAAAAGAAUGUUGUUCGUAUUUUACCAGAGAUACACUGAGCUGGGACAAAUCGGUCUGAAAUAAAAUAUGAUGGCUUCGGAGGAUUCGGAAGGCAAGAAAUUUGCUUUCUUCCAACAUAUAUGGUCUGCUGAACUAAACUUUGUUUCAGCGAGCUUUGGCAAAAAUCUGUAACUGCAAACAUCAAACUUGUGUGCCCUUCCUACAUCAAACUUUAAACCUGACGGAUUAAAUAUUUUAGGUUAGGCUGAGAUCAGUGUACUUUAUGAGUGUUAAGUGUACUUUCUAAAUAGCAGAGAAACCAUAACAUCUAAGCACAACCCAGCAACUUGUACAAGCUAACAUCAAAUCUGAAAGAGGAAAUGUCGAGAACAGGUGAAGGUACCAUGAUCCAUGACUGAGCAAAGUUAUCUAUAAUCCUCGGUGAAUAUCAUAAAUUAGGAUCAACAAAGCUGAAGAACAAACGGGAAAGGAACCUAGAAAGAUCUUCUGCCGGUAGAAUAUAACUGAUACACUAUCCUCAUUCUCGAGAUCAAGGUCGUUUCUUGAAUUGCAGUUUCCUCACUGUAGUAUGGGGUCAUUACACUGCGAAGAACAAAGUGUCAUAUGAAUCAUUUAGAGCCCAAUCUUUUUCACUGAAACUCUUAUGAUCACAUAACGAAUUUAAACAUAAGGUUUAUUAGAUAUUUGUUGUUGUGAACUGAUAAUAUAUUUCUGGUGUUGACAAUGUUUUGAUUAUGGAUGCACUUCAAGAUGGGUGGCACAGAUUCUGUUGUACAGGCCUCCACCUGGAAUUUCAUCACUUGUUAUUUUUGUUUAGAAUGUCUAGGUGCAUUUUUCCUUUAAGGUGGAAACAGAUGUACUUGUAUAAGCAACAAGAAUACAAAGCGCCACUGCCAUACAUUGUGGAAGUUCAAUGCUUCUGUUUACAAAAUCUGCUUCCCAAAACAGAAGGAUUUAUAAUUUUUUAUUACAAUCAAGCGGACAUGAGCUGAUGAGUACAGAUGUAAACAUGUACUGAGAGCAGCACCCUUUCAAAAGUGGAUCAUUUACAAGUUGGAUAGUUUGAUGGUCUGAAAUUAGUGGUCGUGUUUCAGAAUUGUUAUCGAAUAGUAGAGGAUAUAUAUUAACUUCUGAAAUUAGUGGCUGUUUGUCAGAACUGUUAUCGAAUAACAGAGCACAUAUAUUAACUUCAAUAAGUGGAGUAAUAUCUUUGGAUUCGCUGUGAGGAAAGAUUACCAAAACAAAACAGAAGUGAGUGCGACGACCCAGAUGAGGGCGCUCUUGAGCCUCUUCCCGACCGACCUAGAUGCAGGAGCAGAACACCGCGGAUCUAAUCAGCCAACGAAUAAAGCCGAGGCAGGUAGAGGAAGUAAGGGAGGAAGAAGACUGACUUGUCCUGGUCGCCCUCGUAGUAGAAUAUGGUGAACGGGAUGACGAGGAAGACGAGGACAGCGUCGAGGAUGUAGACGACGAGCCAGAGCGUCUUCAUGGGCAGGAUAAGGGCGCAGGCCCCGUUGUAGGCGGCGUGCUUGCAGGUCUGGCGGUUGGCGACGUCAGCGGGGAGCAUGAGGAUGGAGAGGACGGCGACGGUGAUGCCGAGCACGACGACGAGCUUGGGGAAGUAGGCCUGGUUGGCAUCAUCCGGGUGCUGGUAGUUGACGAGCAUGUAGACGCUGACGAGGAGCACCAGGAUGCUGACCACCGCCGCCACGAUCACUAGCGCCACGUUAAAAACCCCAUCUCCUCGGGGCUCCGGUCCCGGUUCCGGCCCGCCGCCUCGCCCCCGUUGGUCGGUCAGAUCUCUCUGUCCCUAGAGGCGGGGGGAUACAGGCUAGGGUUUGGGCGUGGGCGGGGAAUAGGCUGCUAUGGUGUCGGCAGCGGGGCGGCCACCGGCGGGGAGGGCGGGAUCCGCGCGGGGUGGCGGGAUUUGGGCAGGCGGUGGGCUCGGGGGAGGGCGGUGGCAGCGAAGCAGCAGGGAGGGGCUGGAGGAGAUGAAACGAAAGAGGUCGCGUGACACAGCGACAGCGUCGUCCAAUCCCCUCGCUGCCGAUUUAAAAAAAGGUAAUGAUAACUCCCGAACGUUCAGGAGUUAAGCAUGGCAACCCGAACGGGUUUAGAUGGCAAGUUUAGUUUGCGUGAGAUUAGAGAAACAUGGCAAUUUUCUGACAAAAGAAAUGAAAAAGGACGAAGUUGCCAUCCCCUAUCAACUAAAGUUGCCAUCCCUAUGAACUAAAGUUGCCAUGUAAAAACGUUCGGGAUGAAAUGCUCAAAAUCCGAACGUUCGGAAGUUAUUGGAUUCAAAAAAAAUCCCCUUGCUGCCAAUCGCUGGCCCGUUUCUUUUUUCGCCCAAUCGCUAGGUGAUGACGUGGCUAUCACGGGAAGGCGCCCUUGAUGCGUAGUCGAAUGGUUUUAAUUAAUAGGAAGCGAGUGCUUACUCUAGUUACUGAAUUAUGUACACCAAAUAAAGCCAUUUACACGUAGUUAAUGACAAAAAAAGUUGAUGUUUGCUACGCAAACGUGUAGUACAAAUUAAGAAGUGCAAGAUAAAAAAAAAUGCUGGUCCUUGAUUCGUUGUUGAUCGUCAGCAUGCCAUCAUCAAUUUGUAGUUAAUUAUCAUACAAAUUGGCUCUUUCAUAGAGUUGGAGGCUAGCUCCUUUGAUCAGCACGCGCUUAAACAUAAACAGCACGUAUAUGUUUUGUCUCCGGAGUUCAAUUCUUCAUCGGCCAGCAAAAAUGGCCCGACCGGGUAGAGGAAAAGGCAUGUUUGUUAGUACGCCUGGAGGAAAUGCCUUUGAUUAGGGCAUCUUCAACAGCGACCAGUAAAUUUCCUCCCGCGUUCGUCCACGGAUAGGGGAUCAGUCCGCGGAUACGGAUACAGGAAUCAUCUAUCUAACGCUGUCCGCGUAUAUUUCAAACACAUUUUUUUUAAAAAAAUAGGAUGAAAUUCAUGCAAACACAAUGGAUUUCAUACAAACCGGACAAAAAUGUUUACAUUUUGGACAUAUUUUUUUUACUAAAAACUCUACAGCCGGCGCCGGCGAAUAUCCACUCCGGCGACAUGGAACCCUUGACUAGUCUACUGCCGGCCGCAGCGGAUCUCCAAUGUCGUCCCCAUGUCCGGCAACUAUGAGCCCUAGAGGUAUAUGCUUCAGCGCAAAGAGCGGCUCGCCUCCCUACCGCUCAUCGGAGUGGAACAACCAGCUGAUGCUUCUGCCGAUGGAAAGGGUCCCUACGCUACACGGAUUAGAGUUGGUUUUGGGCUGGGAACGGCGGUGGCCUGCCAGAGGGCAAGACACCGACUGUGUAUGCUGGUGUCACCUGGUGUGGCAUUCGUGGGACCCAAGCGGCAGCGCCUCCUCGAUGAUGGCGGCGAGCGCGGACGUGUUGGACACCACCUCGUCGAUGUCCGUGCAGCCCGCUUCUUUCUCUGUAGGAAGGACGCGGUUACGCUCGCGUUGACAUCGGAUGACUCGGUCACAUGCACGGGAGGGGCGGUACGACAUGGCACCGCCAAUGGCAGCCAUGAUGCCCGCGCCAGCGUGCUCUCUCCCAGUGCCGACCUAGAGCAACUUGCCACUCCUCUGCUCGUGAACGGUGGGCUUGACGGGCCACCUAGCCAUUUUUUAUGCCAGACAACUCUUCUUCCUGCUCGUCAGAUGUCAUGGAUAAAACUGUUUAAGGAGGAAAAUGAUGAGUAGACGUGUGAUGCGGUUCUUGCCCAACAUCUGACAUUGUUUAAAUAGCGAGGGGACACGAGAGGAGCCAACUGGCGUUCUGUUUAAUGCCAACCGGCUCGCGAACGAACAUGUGGCUGGAGUAAUUAUCCUGGCACACACGCGGGUUUAAUGGUGGAAGGUGGGCAGUCUGCAGGAAUGAGGCGAGGAUGUGUGCUUAGCCGGCGUGCAGCAGGCGGCGCCCUCGGCCGGCGUGCUGCAUCCAUUGCGGAGGCAGUGAGAGGUCGCGUCCGCUCUGCAGCGCAUGAAUGCGGGCAGCUGGCGCAGAGCGGGAACGCGUGCGGGCGAGGGAGGAGGGGGUUUGGGCGGGUGGUCAGAAGAGGUCGUGGGUGUUGUCCGAACGCCUGCAAAGCCCCCCUCCAUGUUUGUCUCCAGUUUGCGGGAGAAAGUAUGUCCGAACCGUCUCCAAUGGACCAAUACAGGCCCGCAUUGGAUGGCACAACACGUCCGGACCAUGUGGUCCGGAUGGUUGUGGACAGUUUAAUUGAGGGUCGGCGUUGGAGAUACCUUAGAGUUUAUGAAUCCAUUGUGUUUUUCUAAUCAUAAAAAAGCACUUACAAUAAGUUAUAAGGAAAGACACGUUUAUAUGUUAGGUUCAGACUCCAGCUUUCGUUUUACAUAUGCUUUAUUCAUCCGACUGAUUCCAAUAGAGUGAGCCUAGCGUUGUUUUUCUGGAAACUCGCGGGAUAAGGAGACAUGCAUACACAUUCUUUCAAGCAAAUCACAUCCAUCCUUUUUAACUCAUUUUUCUUCUUUUAAUAAUAUAAUAGAUCAUUUAUAUUUUUAUCUGAAACAGUUGACGUGUAAUUUAUAUUGUAAUCUGAGGAUAAUGUUUGGAUUUUACUUUCAAAUAUAUUUGAAAUGGCCAUGAUGGAAUCACAUCCAUUUAUUUUAUUAUUAUUUGAAUUUGAUCCAAAAGAUAAAUAAUGAGUAGAGGUCAUGUCAACUUUUCUGAGAACUUUGCUAAUCAAAAUAUAAUUGUAUUUAAAAACAUCUAUUUUUUAGCACGCAUGAAAAAGAUAACACGUAUCUUUUCACACAUAAUGAACGGUUGUCAUAAGAACUCAUGCCAUGCCACAACCUCCCUCCGACCCUGCCAACAUUGUUGCAGCUGCACUCGCAAGCCUUAGCGUAGAUGAUAAUUUAUACAAUUUGCGUAAAACAAAAUAAGAUCUACAAAUGAAUAGAAGCUAGAACGUACAUUGGCAUGCACACACAUUGCAAGCCAUACUAAGCUGAUAAGUGUUAAUAACUUGUACAACAUAUACAACACUUAAGACAAGUAAAAGCAAUUUGAUGAGUCAUGGUCUAUCAAAGCCACAUUACUAGUCUAAUCCAUCUUAACAGGUCACACAUGAUUAAAAUCUUGUUUGUGUGCAAGUCAAGCUUAUCUAGUUUACAUGUAACAACUUGUAGAACAUUACAAAAUUUAUGUUUGCUAAUAACUUCUAGAACACUACAACACUUGACAUGUAAAAGGAAUUUGAUGAGUUAGCGUACUAAAGCAAGUUAUAUUACUAGUCUUAUCUACCUUAACAGGCCACACAAGAUUACAAACCAAGUUCUGUGCCAGCCAUGCUUAUCUAGAUUAUGCGUAACAAUUUGCAGAAAAUUACAAACUUAGUUUCAGAAAAAUAGGCAAUCUAGAUUAGUGUUUGAGCUGUAAAGUGAGUAAAAUGAGUCAUGCGUGUUAUCACACCUUUUUGGUUGUGGAAUGAUAGUGCAACAACAAGGAACUUUAAUGACCAGUUCAAGAAUACACUUGUAAGUAGUGCCACCGAACACAACAUACCAAAUUAUGAUUUUGAGAAGCAUCCAAGCACUUCCACACAAGCAAAUGCCAAUUGUGAAAGAGAUCAUGCCAUGGCAGCUAUAAAUAGGCCCGUAGCAUGACGAUCAUCCUUCCUCAUCCAUCAUUCUCAUAAGUAGAGCGCAUCAUUUAAGCCAAGCAAGCAGUGCUCAAUACAAAUCCACCAUGAAGACCUUUCUCAUCCUUGCCCUCCUUGCUAUUGUAGCAACCACCGCCACAAUUGCAGUUAGAGUUCCAGUGCCACAAUUGCAGCCACAAAAUCCAUCUCAGCAACAACCACAAGAGCAAGUUCCAUUGGUACAACAACAACAAUUUCCAGGGCAGCAACAACCAUUUCCACCACAACAGCCAUAUCCGCAGCCGCAACCAUUUCCAUCACAACAACCAUAUCUGCAGCUGCAACCAUUUCCGCAGCCGCAACUACCAUAUCCGCAGCCGCAACUACCAUAUCCGCAGCCGCAACCAUUUCGACCACAACAACCAUAUCCACAACCGCAACCACAGUAUUCGCAACCACAACAACCAAUUUCGCAGCAGCAGCAGCAGCAGCAACAACAACAACAACAAAAACAACAACAACAACAACAACAACAGAUCCUUCAACAAAUUUUGCAACAACAACUGAUUCCAUGCAGGGAUGUUGUAUUGCAACAACACAGCAUAGCGUAUGGAAGCUCACAAGUUUUGCAACAAAGUACUUACCAGCUGGUGCAACAAUUGUGUUGUCAGCAGCUGUGGCAGAUCCCCGAGCAGUCGCGGUGCCAAGCCAUCCACAAUGUUGUUCAUGCUAUUAUUCUGCAUCAACAGCAACAACAACAACAACAACAACAACAACCGUUGAGCCAGGUCUCCUUCCAACAGCCUCAACAACAAUAACCAUCAGGCCAGGGCUCCUUCCAGCCAUCUCAGCAAAACCCACAGGCCCAGGGCUCUGUCCAGCCUCAACAACUGCCCCAGUUUGAGGAAAUAAGGAACCUAGCGCUAGAGACGCUACCUGCAAUGUGCAAUGUCUAUAUCCCUCCAUAUUGCACCAUUGCUCCAGUUGGCAUCUUCGGUACUAACUGAGAAGAGAAGAACUCUAGUAGUAGAUAUAUGAUACACCGUUUUCUUAGUCCAUGGUUUGGUCGUUGUAGCGGUGAAAAAAUAAAGUGACAUGCACUAUCAUGUAAGAACCCGAACUAUACUAGUUCAAACAUGGGAAUAAAAGACAAACACAUGUCUUGUCUACAUAUGAUUGUUUGUUUGAGUUCCACUCAUGUGCCCACUCACAAGUUCACCCCUAAUUAUAUAUAUUAUGCAUUAAGUAGAUAUUUAUGUUGCAUUAAUCUAAAGAUAACAAAAUGAGUCUGAAAUUUGAAUUAAAUUGAAGUAUUUCCUUGGACUUUCAAAUGGAGUAUUAUUAAAGUAGUAAGGACUAUCCACAUCCUUGGCUUGCCCUUGAUCAAUUAUUUCCAGAGAAGCAUUCAAUUCAUUAAUCAAUUACAUUGAUUUUUGUGGCUGAUACUUUUCCUCAACAUGAGUAUAUUCAUCGCGGCUACUCCAAAUAGGCAUGAAUGAGGUACCGGUGCUCUGGAGCACUGGUACCUAACUGCUUCUCAUGUGAAGGGGUGGGGGUGCGGGAGAGGUGUUUUUGGUGGGCCAGGGGAGUAAGAAGCGGCCGUGGCAGCGGUCCAGACACCCACAAAGCCCCGUAGUUUGUUUUUGGUUUACAGGAAAAUGCACAUCCAGACCGGCCUGCGGGCCGAUAUAGGACCGUAUUGAAUGGCAAAACAUGUCCGGAUGGUUGCGAGCGGUUUAAGGGUUAGCUUUUGUAACGGCCGGUUAGUUAUGCUAUGGUAAUUCCCUGCUAAUGAUGUCACGUCAGCACGAUUACUGUUGUUAACCUCACAAUGAUUCAAUCCCAUUCAAAUUCAAAUUUAAAAUAAAGGCAAACAUCAAAAGUUUCAAACAUUAAAACUAAAAUCUUCGAGAGGUGAAAAAUAAUGCAUAAGUAAUUAUGGUGGAGAAACCACACUUUUAUAAAAUGUUUAAAUACUCUAAAAAUAAUAAAACAGUGGCUUAAACUAUUAUUUAAAUGCUUUUAAAAUAGUAAAAAUGUUCUAACUAAAUUAAUUGGGUACCAAACUUUUGGUGGCAGUGGUAUAUUUAGUAGAACUAAUUUAGAUGCUAAUAAAACAUAAAAGGAAAGACAAAACAAAUAAAAGUAAAAGGGGGCAACCCCUCGCUGGGCCUCGGCCAAGCUGGCCACUGGGCUAGCUAGGUUGGCCCAACCGCCUCCCUUAACCCCCCACUCCCCAUCGAACCCUAGACCGAUCGCCCCACUUCCCCACACCCCCUCGUCAGCCUCCCCACCUCUCGAUCCCAUCUGGAUCGGGGAGGGGAUCGCCCCCAUCGACCCCGUCGCGGUCGCUGGAUCGCCCGCUCGCCCAUCGCCCGCCGGCGUCGCCGGACCUCCUCCCCGUCGCACGUCUCCGGCUCUCCUCCCCUCUCGCUCCUCUUCCCCGACCCGAUCUGGAUCGGGAAGGGCCAAUGAGCCCAACGCCCCCCUCCAUCGACGCUGUGCUCCAGCACCGCCGCCCGAAGACCUCGCCAUCGCCGGACCUCGCGUCGCCUCCUCGUAUCCCUCCCCGACUCGCCUCCUCAAGCCACGCCGACCCCCUUCUCGGCAACGCUGUGAGCCGCCUCCGUUUCCCUCCUUCUCUUUCCACCGUGUUCACCGCGCCGCCUGCCGUGCCCCUCGCCGCGCGCACGCCCACCACCGCGCCAGCCCCCGCUCCGCGCCCUCUCCUGCACGCUUGUGCGCGCAUGACCCUAGCCGCGCCCACGCCGUGAUCCCCUUGUCCCGCCCGCCUUCGUCCCGCGCUCGCCGCGGCCCCCAUGCUCCCCUGCGCCCUCUUUUGGGGUCGUCGGCUGCCCCUGUCCCGCAGCUCGCUGGCAUGCGUCCCCGCCCGCGCCUCGCCACUGCUCUACUGCUACGCUACUAUUGCGCUGUGGCCGCCGCCGCUUCCCGCUGCUCUGCCAGCGCCAAAGGUCCCGGUUGGCCCUGCCGCUGCUCGCGUUUAACCGCCGGCCUAAGCGGCCUAACCUCCCCCCUCACUAAUGAACCCCCACCGACCGGCUGACACCGGGACCCACAUCCCCUAAUUAACCAUUUAAUAAAUUAAAACUCUUAAAUUAACAUUAGUGUAUGACAUGUGGGUCCCCUAUUAAUUAAACU